rnacentral:lncRNA from 1 species
AAUAAAAAUGAUCUUGAACUACAGCAUCUGACAAUAUAUGUAUUACAAUAAAGAAGGAGGAUUUUCAAUGCGAGAUCUAAAAACAUAUCUCUCCGUGGCACCUGUGUUAACUACUCUAUGGUUUGGGUCUUUAGCAGGUCUAUUGAUAGAAAUUAAUCGUUUAUUCCCAGAUGCCCUGUCAUUCCCCUUUUUUUCAUUCUAGUUAUUGAUAUGCGAAGAAAUGAAGAAAUAGAAUUCCACAUGACGUAACUAAAAUUUCGCCUCUCCCUUUCAAUCCUUUAGGAUAGUAAGGAAAGAGAAAGAAAAAGUGUAUUGAACCUCAUAAAAAAUCCGGUAGAUCCAAGAUCGAAUUUUGGAAAACAGAAAAAAAAUUCAAACGUGUAUCCAGUCUAGGGCAGGCUCCACAAAAUCAUAGCAUAGAAAGAAGAUACUUAAAUGAAAUAAUGGGAUUUAGGAUAGAAAUAAAUCUCCCCCUCUAUGCCUUACGGUAAUGAUUCCUCUGGCAUUACGACCUUUACCACAAUGAUGCCGUCCAUAGAUCAAAUUAUUUCGUGGAUUGGAUUUCACUUGACUGUCUACGGCUCCAUUGCGUGUUCUCGGGGUAGAAGUUUUGUAUAAAUGUAUCGCCGCGUUAUUAAGUAUUUUGCUUUUAAGUUUUUUUCUCUAUAAGAGGUGGAAUAAAAUAAUCCGGUUGAAGCGUAAUGAUCUUACAUCUAUGAAAAGAAUGAGCAUAAAGCUCAUACAAAGUAAGCCACUAAAUUUUUAAUUUUUGGUACAUAUUCUUCUACAUAUGAACAAGAAAUAAAUUUUCAGAUUUAUGUUUUAUGAUUUGUUUUUUUAUUUUUCUCCAAAAAAAAGGAAAAAUCUUGACUCUGCGCCCUUUAAGUUUGCUAAAAAAAAGUAGGCCUAUAUUUCACAUCAUACCUUGGGCUCCUUUUUGAGCUUUGAUUAUAAUUUUUGGGAUUUAGACCAAACAAGCCCAUUAUCACACUACUAUUAUUUUCCUUGCCUUUUCUUUACAUAGAUUGCUUAGAGUGAAAAAAAAAACUUAUGAAGAACUUUAUAAAAUGAUAGAAUAAAGAAGAGUCCGGCUGAGUUGCUUCUAAUAGCAUCAAAAUUUUCACCGUUAGAUUUAUUUUUUCGAUAAUUUUCAUCCGUUAGAUUAUACUAUUCAACCAACUAACCGCUCAACUCUAAAGGAUCAUUAUUAUCCUAACCACACAUCCUUUCGUUCAAGGGUUGAAACUUAAUCUCAUUAGAGUUUGGCAUGGCAUCAAGCACUUGGUGCUAUCAAAUUUUUCACUUUUAAUUUUUAAUUAUUUUCCCCAAUUAGAUUAUAUUAUUCAAUCAAUCAUUCACUCAAUAUAAACCAUCAUUAUCCUAACUGCAUAUUUUUUCAUCCAAAUACUGAAAACCUAAUAACACCAAUGAUUUGAUGCUAUUGGAAGCAUUCCAGUCUAAUUCUAUUAGUGUCCCGCUGGAGUACUUCUAAUAGUACAAAAUGUUUGGUGCUAUUAAAUUUUUCAUCGUUAGAUUUAUCCUUUUAAUUAUUUUCAUCUAUUAGAUCAUACUAUUCAAUCAAUCAAAAAUUUAAAGUAUUGUGGCACGGAGUCGUGCUGGAAACUUGCAGGCACAGUGCAUACUGGACUGUAUCAAUGUGUGCCAGUUACAAAAAAUAAUGUGUGCCGACACACAAUGGCAUGAAAUAUUUAUUUUCUUUAGCAAUAAAAUAUUCUAACUGUUUAUUAUGUAUCUUUAUCAAAUUUUUGAACUUUAUUAAAAAAAUUAUUUUCUAAUUUAAAAAAUUGAGGGUUUUGAGCUGCACCAUCAGCACGGAAACUGUAUCAUACCGAUAUUUUAUUGAUAAGAUACAACACUUAAAUUCUUCCAAUUAAUCACUUACUCAAUAUUAAGAGAUCACUAUUAUUAUUGCCACACAUUCUUUCACGAUUUUUCAAUCGAAUGCUACUUUCGUGGGAAGUGUCGAAUAUUAAGAGAUCACUAAAACUGUAGCCACACAUUCUUUCACGAUUUUUCAGUUGAAUGCUACUUCCGCGGAAAGCGUCGAACAUUAGCCAACUUCUCCCCAACUACUAGACUAGUCCACUAGUUUUGAAGUAAAUAUCAAAAAAAAAAAAUCCUUGAAACUAAAUCACCCAUUUAGAUUUGAUGACUCAUAAAACUGGGAUAACCGCUCGAUUGGGAGCAAGAAAAAAUCAUACUAUUCUUUCGGAGAUGGGAGAGCCAAAUGCCAGAGAUAUCCGUGAUAUUUUCUCCGAAAUCAAAUGAGUCGAAUAUAAGAGAGGCGUGAUAUUCUCACCUUCGAAUGUGUGGAUUCCCUCGCCCGAAUUUUUGCAGCCGGUGCUCACGGACAUAUUUAGUUGAGGCUUCAAAGAGUCCGAUUUGCAUGGGACACUCAUUUUACACCACCAAAAUUUUUAAGUCCUCUAUCAAUGAAUUUAACAAAAGAUGUCAUCAUCAAUGAAUGAAUAUGAUAAUUUGUUAAUAUCGCGAUCGUUGGUAGCUUCUUUGAGUCUCUUUCCACACAGACCAUCAGUUUCCGAACCUAGUCUAGUCCAGAAUCUUCUUAUUCUUCUGUUUAAUAUUAAAUUUUAAUAAAAUUAUAUAUAAUGACGUAGAGAUAUUAUACUGAGUCGAUGCUUUCAAUUUUUUUUUAGCUUUUAGAUCAAAAAUUAUAUAAUUAAAAUAAUAAUUAAUAAAAAUUAUUUUGCUAUACUAUUGCUUGAUACUAUCGAAUUCUCGGCUGUUGGAAAAAAAAAAUAUCUGGUUAAUAUGAUAGUGAUCUCCGAAGAUUAAGUAGGUGAUUGAUUAAAUAAUAUAAUUUAACGAAUAAAAAUAAUUAGAAAGUAGAUUUAACGGCAGAAAACGAACUUGAUAUUGUGGAUAUAUAGCAAUAGCCGGACUUAUAAAAAUAGUUACCACAGAGUUUAAUUAGUAGUCGAAGUUCUCUAGAAAAAUAAUUUUAUCGUAAGGUCUAAAAAAGGAAGCACCAUAGUAGUGUUUUCAAAAGGACUAUAGUGGGACUCAUAUUUCGAUUGAUCUAAGAGAGAAAAAAAAAAUUAUUUGUAAAUUGUAAAUGGAAUAAAAAUCACUUCCUUAAUUUUUUUAUAUUUUAAAUUAUUUUAAUUACUUAAAUUAACAAUUUUCUUCAUUUAAUAGAUAAUUUCAUCACAUUUAAUACCUUAUUUUUUUAAAAAAAUAUAUAAAAAAGUAGCUCCAGAAAAUUUAUAUUUCCAAAUUUAGGCACCACAUGGACAUGAAUAAUAAUUUAAAGGGACAAUUAUUUAUUUACUCCUGAAAAAUUUUCGGCUUUUUAAUUUACCCUUCUUAGAAAAAUAAUAUUAAAAAUAUUUUUUUUACUUUCCAAACUAUUUCAAAUAUAAUUUUAGAGUUAAAUUAUGUUAAUGAACGGUUAGCAAUAUCUGUUAUAUUUAUAAAAUUACUCUUUUACCUUUUCAAAUAUAUUGGCUUAAAUGAACCAACAUUCUGCCAUGUGGCGGAAGGCUAAGUGGACCGAAUCAUGUUCGAAAUGGCGGGAAGCUAGGUUGGGCUGAAUCAUGUUCGAAACAGCAUGAUGCUAAUUGGGUUGAGUCACAUUCGAGACCCGUAGACGCUGUAUCUGUACACUUUAAGUGAAUUGGUUGCGUAUUUUUUUAACAGCUCAAGUUUUUUGGAUAAAUGAUUAGGGCCAACGAUCCAACAAGUAGUAUCAAAACCAGAAGUCACGAGUUCGCUGCAAAUAUGCAAGUGCCGGAGAAGGAAUUUUUGGCUUAAAUAGAAGGGAUUUUUGGCUUAAAUAGACCAGCAUUUCGCUCUGUGGCGGGAGACCAAGUGGGCCGAGUCAUGUUCGAAAUUGCGUGAGGCUGAUUAGGCCGAGUCACAAUCGAGACCCAUGGACGCUGUAUCUGUACGCUUUAAGUGAAUUGUUUGCGUAUUUCUAACAGCUCAAACUUUUGGGAUUAUUGGUUAGUGCCAACAAUCCGACAAAAUAAAUCCUCCGACAAAAUAUAUCCUUUUAUCAUCACCGACACCACAUGGACAUUAUCCCUAGAAUUAAAUUCUGUUAACAAACUAUUAGCAAUAGUUGUUAUAACCAUAAAAUUACUAUUUUACCCUCUCAAAUAUACCCUUCUAUCAUUACCGACUUUUCUUAUUUGCCCUUAAAUUAGGGGUACAAAAAGUAUUUUAUUUUUUUGAUCAAAUAUACCAUUCUACAAUCACCAAUAUUUUUUAUUUGCCCUUAAAUUAAUAUGUGAUUAUGUACUUAAGAGCAGUAGAAAUUGAUUGAAUUUGAUAACUGAACAUAACAAGUGUAUGAACAGUGAAGUACAAAGUACUAAAAUUCACACUCAAAAACAGUUCUCAAUAUAUACAUAUUUUUUUAGCACACAAAAAGGAACAUAUUUGCAAAAAGAACUCAUUCUACAACACCUCUCGAAUCCACGAUAGAAAGAAAGAGGAGUUAAAAACCUCUUUUCUUUUCUUUUUUUACAGAUCUAAACCCUAUGAUUCGGGGCAAAAAAAAAAAACACUAGGGCUCGCGAUCUCUAUGUCCACGCACCUGGUACGAGAGAGAAUUAGGGUUCAGGGUUUCAAAGGUCGGCGCCUUCGGCGGCGGACAUGGUGGAGAGGCGGCUCGGCCGCGGCUGGUAAGCGGCGCGGCGCCGCAGCUGAUGGGACGAGGGGCGGAUGGGCGCGGUGAGGGCCCGGCGCACCCACUCGCCCUCCACGGCCCCGAUCCGGACCAGGGAGUUCGCCAUCGCCGACCUUCGCAUGUUGAGCUGGGCCGAUACGGACCCGCCGCGCCCUCCUCCGCCUCCGCCGCCGUGGGGGGGGACGGCGUAGCCCUUGUGGAGGCUGCAGCGGAAGGAUCCCGGGUGCGUCGUCGGCGAGCACAGGCACGUCUUCGGAUGGGCGGCGCCGGCUCCGUCGCCUCCGCCGCGGCGGCGGUUGAGGUGGCGUUCGGCGACGGAGACGGAGCGAGCGGGGUGGGGGGCCGAUCGCGGGAGGACGACGACGCGAACGCCGACGCGGAGGAGGAGGCGAACGGCGGCGGCGACGGCGCCCGCGUGGUGGGCGAGGACGAUGGCCGGAGGGACUCGGCGCCGCCGGAGAGAAUCGGCCCGCCGGAUCUGGUUCUGGAGAGCACCGCCAUGGGAACGAGAGAGAGAGAGAGUAAGCAAUUUGGGAAGCAACUUGGGAAUCCGUAGUUUCGCUCGUGUAGUGUGAUAUUUAUAGAAAAACGAGGUUUCUAAUUCAGCGUACGAGGGUAGUAAGUUAUGAGGUAAAUAAGCACCGAGGCCCCUUAACUACACGCAAUUCUAAAAUAGGUUCUUCCACACCACAAAAUUAUUAUUAUUCACAUAAUAUACUUAAGUAAUUGGUCUACUAAGAGAGACACUGCAUAAUAUAACAUGCAGUAAAAAAAUGAGAUAAUAAAAAAAAUCUGUAUUUAUUUUUAUACGUAAUAUUAUCUUUUACAGUAAAUUAAUUAUAAUAUAUUUUCUAUCAAUAUCUUUUAUUUUUGAUGAGUAAAUUUACAAUAAUAAAACGUAAAAAAAAAAUUUGUUUUUAACUACGUUUUAGGCUUCGUUUGGAAUAAAAUAUCAUGUUUGUUGUUUCCGUACGUAAUAUUGCGUUUCGCAUAUCGCGAUGAGUCGGUUACGAUAUAUUUUUUACGGUCCAUCGGAGAACAUAAAAGCAUAUCACUAUAUGCCUAGCAUUAGAUAGGAUAAUCUAGUAGUAGUAUAUUGGGAUAUUUUUAAGUUUUCAACACCAUAAUAUUAGAAUAUUAUUAUCUCAAAAAAAAAAAAAAAAACCGAAGAUAAUUUUGGAGAGUGCGUGGGUUAAGCAACCCCUACUAUGGGUUAGGAUUUUAACCGGAGUUAGUAGCAGAGUUGAAGACGUUCGGCGCUCCCGGGAAAAAUGCGAAGAACCAGCGGAGGCGGCAAAAAUGCGGUGGGCGUGACAGCGCGGACCCACGUGGCACCGGGACGUUGAAGCGACAGUUGCUGUGGUCCCCACCGCCCAGACACGUGUCCUAAUCCUGAUUUGUCGUUCUUCCCACAUGACGUGGACGAGUUGUUUUUUAACCAAUUGUAGUUAUACACGUACAAAUAUCUGAUCAACUUCAAAUAUUAUCCUUAUAAUUUUUUUUUUUAUUUUAGUAUUUUAUGGUUUAAAAUAUAUCCGGUAAUUUUAUUUUAUUUUUCAUCAAUUUUUUUUAGUUAAAAUUUUGUUGAACCAUAUACGAAAAAUUUCAGAUAUCUCAUAUAUAAUUUAUUGAACAUUCACUUUAGUAUUUUUUAAUUUUUAACUUUGUCAAUAAUUUAAUAAAAAAAUUAAUAAGAGCAUAUUGUAAGAAAAUGAUAUGCUUUAAACUAUAAGAUACUAAAGUGAGAAAGUGUGAAACUAUAUAUAGGAUGGUAUCUGAAGUUUUUUUUUAUUUUAUUAAAUUUAAGCCUAAUUAUCUUAUGUUAUAUUAUUUUUUAUUUUUUAUUUUUUUUUUCAAGUGCUUUACAAAACUGUUGUUCUAUUUCAAAUCCUAUUCUAUGAGAAAUAAAUAAUAUAAUUUUAAAUAAAAAAUAUUAUAAUUAUUGAUCGAAAGUGUGGAAUAUUUAUUAAGCUUAUUCAUCAAAUAAUAAUAAAAUAUAUAAAAUCAACCAAAAAAAAUUACAAAUAAUUUAGUAAAAAAAAUUUAAUGAGUUUAUCAUGGAGAUUCCAUAUUUUCCUACCAUUUUAUCAUUGCUUCUUAAUAAAGUUACUGAAUUUUAUCUAAAAUAAUAAAUUUUUUUUAUGGUAAUUACUAAUAAUGUACAGAUUGACGAGAAAAAAAUUACUCUGUGAUAUUUAAGGAAAAAAAAAGAAGACAAAAAAAUAAAUUUAAAAUACAGUGUAAAAAUUGAUAAAAGAUAAAAAUAUAAUAGUAUCUUAAAAAAAAAUAAGUAUAGUAUAGUAAGUAAAAAAAAUUUAUUAUAAACCAUGGUGUGGUAUAGUGUAAUUAAGCAGUGAAUAUGUACUAUGAAUCAAAUUUAAAAUUUAAAUUAAUCUUUGGAUUUGGGUUUAAAUUUAUAAGUAAAAAUUAUUUAAUGUGAAACCAAAAUAUAAAUUAUGAGUUCGUUAUGAUAAAUUAUUUAAUCUUAUAAAAAAACUAUGAGUUCAUUAUUGUAUAAUUAACUAAUUAGAAACUAACUAUCAUUUAAUCUUAUUCUAUGUAUAAGCAAGUCUUAUUAGAGAUCAAAACUAUUACUUAAUUGAACUCAUCCUACGAAUAAACAAACGGAAUAUCGAGGUGUUAGCUAUAGCGAUUGGGAGAAAUUUCGUUUUUUUUUUUUUUCUUUUUGGGAGAAUUUUUGUUUUUUAAUUUUUGUUUUUUUGUGUAGGUAGAAUGUAUUUUUAUACUUUUUUUAGAUUACGCUUGAUGUUAUUUUUUUUUAAUUCAUAAUUGGAGUUGUCAAAUAUUAUCUAAAUAAUAUAAAAAAUUUUCUGUCCACUGUUUAGAUUGCUCUACGUUGUUAAAAAAGUAAACGGUUCAUAUAGGUUAUAAAAUAUUGUCAAUUAUGUGAUUCUUUAACGAUUCCGAUCAUCGAUUCGAAAUUCCUAUCAUCUAAAACGACUUAGAAGUACGAAGGUCUCCGUAAUCCUAGAAAGGUAAUAAGCUGGAUUCUAUGUAGAUAUAUAUAUUAUAUUACGUAUGCGGAGAUUAUGUGCUUCAAAAUUAAAUGAUAUAAGACUCAAUAAAAUUUAGUAUUAAGUAUUAACAUGGUUUUUCGAGCUUGUUUGUAGAUUGUAACGCUACUUUUGAGCAAUGAAUUGCUAUAUUAAAUAUUUUUAACGGUUUUGAGAAAUUUUAAAUUGAAAAUUAGAAUUUUUAUUUUUAAUAAAAAUAAAAUUAACAGUGUGCAAGAUUUUUUUCUCAUUUAAUUUAUUAAAAAUUUAUUCUGGACCCGACAUUUCAGAUGCCGGAUCUAAAUCUUAAAUGCUAUAAGAUUAAAAAAAUUAAUUGGACGUGACAUGGAGAAUCAAAAUGACUCGGACGUGAAUUAGCAUAGCGUGGUGUAACGAUCGAUGUGACUCAGCAUAACGUGGUGUAACUUCACACUUGUUCGAUCGUGUUGCUCCAGCCUCAUUUUUUUAUUUAUUGGCUUAAUUAUAUUUUACAAUUUUUGUGGCAUUGCAUUAACCUCAUCUUGAAUAAUAUGAAAAUAGUGUGAUAAAUUUAUAAAUAAAGAACAAAUUAAUAAUAAUAAUUACAGUUAGAUAUUUUAGCCUAAUGGUUUAACUUAAUUCAAAGAAUUAUAAUUGCUAGUUAGAUCGGCUUGUUAUAAUUUUAGCAUCAUAUAUAGUAUUUUGAGGUAAUUUUUGUUUGUUAUAUAAUAUUAUUUUUAAAAUAUUAUUGUAUUAUUAUUUUUUCAUCAAUCUUUGUAUUUAUUUUUUAUUUUUCUAUCCUGUACUAUGUUUUUUCUCAUAAAUAUUACUAAGAUGUUUUUUUCUNNNNNNNNNNNNNNNNNNNNNAGAAUAACGUUGUAACGUAAACAAGGUUUUAGUUAACUCCAAAGUUUAUAACCAAACUACUCGAUAAGAGAUAAGUUUAACUCCAGAGUAAAAAAAAUUAGAAAAAUGAGCGCGGAGGAAAAAGACUCGGCUUAAGUAAAGAAAUUCUAACCACGGGUUAUCUGUAAAAAAUAACCGUUUAUUUUGACGGUUUAAUUCAACAUUUAUUAGAUUUUUUCGCAUUCUUGUUUAUUUUUAUUAAUGUCAUCAUAGUGUACGCCACUUAGUGCCUAGUAGAGAUCACAUUCACUAUUUCUCGAACUAGAAAUUUUAUAUCAAUAAAAUAUAAACGUUACUUCAAAUAAAAAUUUUAUUUACUUGUUUUUAUUAUUGUACAACCCCUAGUGUUUCUCGAACAUAUAUAUAUAUAUAUAUAUAUAUCUCAUCUCGAUGAUAUGAGAAUACUCAUAACCCGGGAAGCAUGAGUAUUCAACAAAAGCUAACAUCCCGAAGGCUUAGCUGCUAGGUGAGGCAAUUUAUACUAUAUCUCGUAGACUUUGAAAAUUUUUUAUUUAAAGCAUUAAAAAGCUUUAGUAUUAUUUCAAGUAGUUUGCCCGUAUUUUAUUUGCCAGUUUUAGCUUGUUGCAGGAUUUUUACCUAGGCUAGUUUUAGCUUGCUGCGGGAUUUUUAUCUAUUAGCCUAGGGAAUUAAAUUCUAGCCUCAAUAACUAGAAAUAGAUCCGUCACUUAUCUUAAAAGAUAUUUUUUACGUUGGAUAAGGCUAAGAAAAUAUGGCAAUUUGAUCGUUCAUGGAGUAUGGCCGGCAAUUUUUAACAGUUAAAACAUUCGAAAACUAGCAUUCCGUUUACUACAGCUUUUUAAUACUUUAAAUUAAAAAUCUUCAAAAUUUAUGACAUCUAUUCUAAAUUACCACACCUAACAGCUAAGCCUUCGAGAUAGUAUUUUUUGUUGAAUACUCAUGCUCUUGCUAGCAUGAGUAUUAUUAUAUCAUCCGCCUGAGAUAUAUAUAUAUAUAUCUCUCUCUUAAAUCGAUCUUAUGAAAAUCUUUGUGGUUGGGGAACUACGAAGAUUAAAAGAUCAGGAAACUAGAUGAGGUACUAAUGAUUAUCGGAAACCUAGUUUGCGAUGAGGUGGAUGGUGGUAGUAGAGUUGGAGUGUAGAGAGGUAGGUUACCGAUUUUUGAGUUUUUGUGAUGGAAGAACCACGAAAACUCGCAUUAGAUCGAGUUGAUAUAUAUAUAUAUAUAUAUAUAUAUAUCAAUUCAAAUUUAAAAGUAUUGGUUAUGGACAACUUUUUUUUUUUUUCUCAAAAAAUAAAUGACAACAAUGAAAAAACAAAAUACACAAAGUUUUACCAGCAGUUCUAGGUCACAUGCCAAUGUAGAAAUAAAUUUGAAUGUGACAUUAUUUUUACUAUUAUUAUUUUCCUCUUAAAUCAUUACCAUAGAAUAUUCCUGAGAUAUAUGAUCCAACUAUCUAAACUUUAAAAAUUUUCUAAUUUUGUUAUCUAAUUGAUUUAAACCAUUUAAUAGCUCGUACUUCAAAAUUAGAAGUUGAUUACCAAAAUCAGAAUUUUAAAGAGUUAGAUACUUUAAAUCAAACAAAUCAAAGUUCUGAUAAGCUCUAUACAUUUUUGCCUAGUUAAAAUUAAACACCUGUUAAAUCAAAUAUUAAUUAUCUAUGUUCAUCAUCACAACCAGUUUAACAAGAAAUAUUAUGCUCUACUAGCAAACCCCAAGCAUUUAAAAUCAUCACACAUUACAAUCUUACAAGUUUUUACAAAGUACAUAACUUUGAGACAUUACAAACAUGUAGAGUAUUUAAAAUAACAAAAAAAUACAAGCACUCUUUCCAAAAACACCUACACAAUAAUAAAAUCAAAUGAUAUGAGAUAUAAGAUUUGCUUUUCUAUGUCACCAGCAAACAUGAAAAAAAAAAGAAGAAGCAGAAUCUACAAUCCUGUUUGAAGAAUGGUUUCUAUAAAAAGUUCUGUAGUCGUAAAAAUCAUCAAAUCCUUUUUCUGUAUAAGAAUGAAACAAUCCCAAAGUACCACCCAAGCGCAAAUAAUCUGUAGAGAAAUAUAGAGAGAGUUAGAAUUACAACAAAAUGAGAGUUUUCACUAAUAUCAAGGCAUUUUGAUAAGAUAAACCAAUCCUACAUGAAACAAUAGUCAAAUUGUCCUUCUUUGUAAACAGAAAUACAAGUAAAAACAACAAGAAAAAAAACUAUUUUGAUUAGUGAAAAGAUGCUUUUAAAAGAAAAAAAAUUCUAGACAAAAACUAGAAUAUAGAGCACAUUAGAUGAAGUAACUUACAAGAAAGUCGGCAUAAUUUUGAGUGGACUAUGAGUAAUAACAUGAAGUUAUCAAAUAACAUGAAUUGUUCAUUUCACUUUUGAUCCUAUUCAUGAACAUACUCUCUGAACGAAUAUUUCAACACAUUCUAGUCCAUUCUAAUUCUAUGUCCAUAGUUCAGGAGACCACCGGAAUUAACAGCCAAAUCUUCCUAAAAUUAACAACCAGGUUGAUUACUUCCUGAGGGAUUUGUAUGGCAGUAUGGCACAUUGAAGAGAACUAAAAUUUAUGAUGCAAGAAAAGUACAACAAUCUGUAGUAUCAUAUUCAUUGAAUCAUAUAAAUGUGUGUAAUACAAAAGAACUAAUUUGCCCAAAACAUGAUGACAAUCCUCAAGAUCUAAUAGUCAUAUGCAAUAAUGCGGCAAAGGUACUGAGAAGCUAAACACCUCAACAGUUUGCACCAAGUAAAUGAAAAACAGUCCACUUAACACAAUAAUAAUCAAUGCAUAGGCAUCGAGUUACCUAUUUCACUAUGAAUAUAUGCCUUCAUUUCGUUGACGCCUAUCAACUCUGCUUUGUUGCUGUCGGUAAUAACUUGACUGCACUACAUAUGCUCUAGUACAUGAUGCAACUUUGGGGCUCUCCUCCUGAACAACGGCUCAAGACGGAAAGAUGAAACACCACUGAUCCACCUUUUAGCAUCAUACAUCUCAUUCCAUGCCUGCACUAUCUCAUCAAUAUUAAAGCCCAAGCCUACAAAACAAAGAAAAUCUCCAAGUCAGUGCCGCACAAAAUGCGUUCCAGGUACCGCAUGCUUGACUACUAGUACUUCUAGCUUACCGCGCUCAUCCCAAUUAUGCUUAUUAGUGCUAAAACUUGCCUCAAUCAUAUAAACAGUGGUUGUAUCAUUAUCAUUUUGAAGUUUGAUAGAGUAUUACAAGAAAAGCAUAUCCGCACAAGUGCAAGCAUUACUAACAAUAAGUAGAAAAGCAGAAGAAUAAUCUUGCAAUACACUUCAAUUAGUACAUACAGCAAGUUCUCAACAAAAACUAGCAGAUAACAAACAGAUAUAAGUAUGAUUAGAACUUAAUGGCAGCAAUAUCAUAAGCAUACGAAACAUAGUAUAAUUCAAUCACAGCAUGCAUUCUCAAACUGCAUUAUUAGGCAGUUGUUAUGUUAGUAAAAAAUCAGAAGGCUAUUAGACACUAGAUUAUGGAGAAAAAAAAUUGCUUACCUUCUUGGGCAGUUUCAUUAGCACAGUGGUUCUUUAUCAUCACAGCAAUGUCAAUUGGGGAAGUCCCAGCAAGUUUAAACUUCUCAACAGCGGCCAUGAGACACUCCUCCCAAAUAGGAAGCCCUAACUUAAAUUCCACUACCGACCUCUCAUAAAGCAUGGUACCCCACAAAAUAUUUAUCUGUGACUUCAUAUUGGAAGCCUGUUCAGCCGCUUCAUCUUUGGAUAUCUCAUUAAAGUAUCCUUCCAAUCCCAUCUUCUGCAACAGUAGAGCUUCUUUAUUAGGUUUAGACAAUUCUUUGAUCCGCUUCUCUUCCAUCUCCUCCCACAUCUCCAUCCCUCUCUCCAUAUUAUCCUCGGAACUAUCAAACAGUUCCAACACCUCAGACGAUGGCCAGGUCUCUAAGUCUACUUUAGAUCCGAUGGCAUAGUACCAAGAAAGCCUUGCCUGAUCAAACUUUUGCUGCCCGAGUGCAAGAAGUCCUUCGUAGAAGUCCGGUUUGAUCUUCAAAGCUUCCUCGUAUCUCUUUCCUGCUUUUAUAUAUUCUGCCCGGGCCCAUUCAUAAGCACCCUUGACCUGGUCAAGUAUUGAUUCAUUCGAAGCAUCUUCCGAUAAGAACAAUCUCUUCCUAGCUCGAGACAUAUGAACAUUACCCCAAUUGAACAAGGCCAACGCCGCCAUCUCCUGAAAUUUCUCCUCGGAAAUUUGAAAUAUUUCCUGGGCUUCUUCGCUUGUUAUAGUGUCUUCCAUUGCUUCAGCGUACAACUUCAUGCCGAUCUCGUGAAGAUCCAGACACCCAUCAGAAUCGAAACCCACAUGGUUUUUAAAUAGCCUAGCAAACUGCACGAUCCAGUGGUCUAUAUAGUUGGAAGAGUUUCGGCCCUCGUCAUGCUUACUGCUCCCAUAUUCUGAUAUGCCGUUAUGACUUCUAUCUAGCCCUUGAACCGAAGAACCGUUAUUAACCUCCUCGAAAAGAGGUUCCUGCUCGGGAUUGACUUCUACAACGUGCAGCCUAAGCGAACCUUGAGGGUCAGCCGAUUCCGCAGCCCAGCUGAGCUCUUCGGUCGUAGUGAUUGUGACCAAGUCACCCUCUUUAUCCUUGUACUUAACAAGCAUCGCCUUCAAGCCUGGAAACUUGUUAAGAACGAUCUCUCUCAACUGCAACAUGGUACAAUUAGCUGGUAUUUGGGCCCAUCUUAUGUCCUCUCCAAACACUAAUUUCACAACUUUCGUGGGUUCCUCCUUAACUUCGCUAUUCUUCUCCUCCUUGACAACCACCUUUUCUUCAGAUUUCGGAGUCCUCUUCCUCCUAGUCUUCUCCUUCACCACGACAGGUUCUGGAGGCGAGACAACUUCCUUGUCAUCCAACUUGAUGCCUUUCUUCUCCAUCGCCUUCUUAACCCUCUCAGAAAUCUCCAUCGCGGUGAGAUUGUUCGGCUCCGAAUGCACUACCGUAUCAACAUCUCUCCACGCCAAAUCCAAUCGGUUCAAGGCCUCGAAACACUUGGCCCGCUUUAAAAGAGCUUUACUGUACUUAGGCGAGACCUCGAGGGCCAUAUUGCAUUCGUUGAUUGCUUUAUAGUAUUCCUCGGGCCUCAUCUGCAUGUAGCAAGCCGCGAUAUUGCUGUGGAGGUACGCAACAUCGAUGUGGUUCUUGGGGAGAAGCUUAAUAGCUUUAUCAUACUUGAGAAUGGCCCCUUCGUAAUCCCUCCUCUGGAACAGCUUAUUCCCUUCUUCUUUCAAUUCAUGAGCCAUUUCGAUGAAGAUCGUCAUGUCCUCAUCGAAGACUCUCGGGCUGUGCUCGCCGGAUCUACUAUUCCUGGAGUUCGUCUCGCUCAAUCUGCCUCCGGAAAGCUUCUUCUUCUUUCCCGAAGGCUUACCCAUUAUCCAAUUAUAACCCUAGCUCCCUCUCUCAAACCAAGCACUCCAAGUGUUCGAAGAAAUGCUCCGACCAAAUAGAAAUUUGGGGAUUGGUGGGAAUAACAAGUUUUCUAUCAAACCAAGCUAGCUAGAAAAACCCCAAAUCCCGCAUCAAAAUCCCUCCUUCCCCCACUUCCUGACACACCAGAAACACCUCGGAGAUUCCCCAACAACCAAACAAACCUAAUCUCGCAUCCAAAAAUCCAACUUUUCCCACACAAAUCCACGAAAUUAACCAGGAAUCGCCCAAAUCUGGGAGGGAAAAGGGACUUAUCUGCGCGUUCGCCUCCUCCCCAAACGGCUCAGGGAUCGCAAAAACUCCACCAAAACAAACGCGAAAUUCCAAUCAGACCUAGGGUUCUUCCUCACCUUUCUCGAUCGAAAUCGCAAGCUCCCGACAACGGAGUUCCAAAUCGAGGGGAAUAGGGAAAUUGUAUGGAAUCCGAGAGGAAGAACACGAGGAAAAGAGCCCUAGUUGUCGGUUCCCUUUAUCGAGCAAUGUGGCUAUCCUUCGCGGCCUCUCGAUCCGCGAUGCCGAUCACCUCACAUGGCGACACACGACCCGGAUCCAACGGCUCUCAUUCGCCCGAGCAUUUUUUUAAUUUCGAAAUUUAAUCUAUUCCACUGCACCCGGUGUACCCUACAAUUAUGAACCGCGAAGCCUAAUUUAUUCACUUUACUGUUUUUCGAAGAAAAAUUUUAAUUUAAUAAUUGAUAAGAAAUAAAUGCUUAAUUUUUUUUUUCGAUAUGGACUCUUUUAGGAUGUAAUUAAAAAAUUGCGGUGCACGGUGAACCCGGUGCACGCAGAAGGCCGUUUGCUUUUAGGUCAUGGUGCUUCGCGAAGAAGCCACGAAAAGGUGCGAUUCUCUAAUCACGGCAUCGACAUGCGUUGAAGAAAAGAUCGUGGACCCAUCUCACCAUAAAAUCAAUCGUAGACCAACAAUAUUGUACCUCGAAUUUUAAUCCUAGCCGUCCUACAUUUAUUUUUUUAAUGCCUUAGCGGUUUGGAUUCGAAACUAGGCAUCGGUCUACAUGCUUACGUGGUGCACUCGGCCCAGUUAAUAAUGCUUUCCCACUCGGGGAUCAAAAAGGAGCCGUGACCGUCCCAAUUUGUGCGCUGUUUAAUGCGAUUAUUAUUAAAUUCAACAUGUGUUUUAAUUAAAUAAUAAAUAUUCGCAAAUGGUCCUCGAAAUGUACACCAAAAUGGAAAUUUGAAGAGUUGGGGUAGCGUAGGGGAAUUUAUCCGGUCAGCUUUAUUUGUGAGGUUUAAUGGUGGGGCCCGCAACAGCUUCCUUGGUCUCCAAGUUCUCCGGGGGGUGUGUCGCAAAAUUUCAAGGAGUAAAGGCAAAGAAAGAAAAAAAGGGUCACAACCCUUUUUAUUAAAAUAAUAUAUUUAAUUUUAUUUGAUUAUUUGUUCAUUUUUUAUUCACCUUUGACUAGUUGGGAAGUGUGGGUUGACCCAAUAUUAGGCGUUUUUACUCCUUGUCUAAAGCAUAUAUGUUUUUUCUAAAAGUAAAUUGCCACUAAUAUUAGGGACGAUUGGUAGAAAAAUGCUUUUUAUAGGAGUAAUGAAAAGGAUGUUUUACAAUGAAAUAUAAAUAAGUCAUCCUAAACAUAAAAUGCAUACAUUAAUCCAACAUAACAUAAUAUAUAUAUAGGUCAUGACUACUAUACUAUUAUGAGUAUUAGAGCCCUCGUACUCAUAAGCUGUUUUCAAUGAUGGAGCUUUCAAAUCGACGAUCCACUCAGUUAAAUAUAAUCUAGAGUAUUUGAAACUUCUAAAAAAUAAAUUUCGUAAAUUUUCGAAAUCAUAAUAAAGUCCAUCAAGUGGGCAUAAAAUGAACGGUCAAAAUCGAACGAUGUCCUAGAAAAGGAUGAUCAGAUCCUUCAAUUCAAGAUCGGAGUUAUUGAUCUUUAUCUAUGUAGUGAAUAGAAUUUUUUAUAAAAAAUUCAACAAAUUCUGAUUCUUUUACACCGUUAAACUAGCAAGCAUCCCAUACCGGCCGUUAAAAAUUGUCAAAUUUGCGACCUCCUGAUCGUGAGGUAAAUGAUGUCGAAAAAUUAUAAAAUUUGAUUUCUAGAGUUUUAAAUGCUGUAAAUAACGUUUAACGGUGUGGAUCGUCGAUUCAGAAGCUCUAUCAUCGAAAACAACUUAUAAGUACGAGGGCGAUCAUACUCAUAAUAGUAUAGUAGCCGAACUCUAUAUAUAGAGUAGGGCUAGAAUACUUGUAAAAGUAUCAUGGGGGUGAUACUUGUGUGUUUUUAGUCCUUGGAUGGAGAGAUGUGGGGUUGAGAUGAUGGUGGUAGGUGGUGGUAGGUGGUGGUAGGUGGAAUAGCGUUUAAUCCAAGGGCUAUUAAUAAUCAAAAAGUAGAUCCAAUGGCUUAAAACCUAAUAGCACCAUGAUGGUGAUACUUGUAAAAGUAUCAUAGCUCAACUCCUAUAUAUAUAUAUAUAUAUAUAUAGUCCGGCUGGGGUACUAUCGAUAGCACUAAGGAUUUGAUGCUAUCGAGUUUUUCACCGUUAGAUUUAACCCUUUAAUUAUUUUUACCCGUUAGAUUAUACUAUUCAACCAACCACUCACUCAACCAUAGGGGGCCCACAUCAUCCUAAUCACUCAUUUCUCAAUCCAAGAACUAAAAAAUCAAUAGCACCAAUAGUUUGGUGCUGUUGAUAAUAUUCCAUCCUAGUUCUAUAUAGCUUGGUGCUAUUGAUAGUAUUUCAGCCUAUAUAUAUAUAUAUAUAUAUAUAUAUAUAUAUGUAUGUUUUUAACUAAAAUUUUCGAUCAAAAAUAUUAAUCUUACAAUAAAUAGUAUAAAUUUUUUUAUUAAAUUUUUAUUUGAUUUGAAUAUUUUUAUACUGUUAAACUUGCAAACAGUAUAUUUCAACCAUUAAACUUUAUUGAUUUUGAAUUAUUUCUAUCGCUAAGUAAAUGAUAUAAAAAAAAUCACAAAAUUUAUUUUCUAAAUAGUUCAAAUACGUUAGAUCAAGUAUAACGAAGUCGAUUGUCGAUUCGGAAGCUCCAUCGUCAAACAUGGCUUAGGAGCAUGAAGGCCUCCGUACUCCUAAUAGUAUACAAGACCUACUACAUAUAUAUACAAGAAAAAAAGAAAUAAAAAAUAUUUUAUUGCUUUUUAUAAAUAAUAGGGUAAACUUUAAAUACCACACCUGUAGUUUUGUAUUUUCUCACUUUAGUAACCUGUGGUUUAAAGUGUAGCAAUUUAGUAUCCUGUGUUUUUUUUUUUUUUUUUUUUUUUUUUUUUUUUUUUUGUUUUUUUUUUUUUUUUUUUGUUUACAUGGAGGAGUUGGCGCUGCGUUUCCCAGAACGCUUUGCGCUCGGCGUCGUUUCCGAUCGACCCUUCUCCUUCGCCCUCGCCGUCGCUCUCGGGAUUCGCGUUUCCCUCGAUCUCCUCGAAGAACCCCACUACCAGAUCCGAGAGGCUCCCUCGGCUGCUUAACGACGUUUCCCUCACCGUUUCCGUACCCAUCUCCUCCUCUGGCCCCGUUUCCCCCCUCCGUUUCCGGCUCUCACUUGUGUUUGUGGUACAAUUUUCGCCCAUAUCCCCCCGUUCCCCCCUUUUAUACGCCGCUUAGAUGGGAGUAGUUAUUGCUUGCGCCGGGUGCAUGAGUGCAUCGCGUGCACCGCAUCUCAAAAAUCCUAGGACAAAGAUGUCAAAAUCAAAUUUUAACUUAUUAGCUGUGCUUAAUCUUCCCUAAAGUACAUACUUAUGAAAAAUCACAAAUUUUGUCACCACAUAUUUUUGCAAAUUGCAAUUGAUUUUUCCAUGUAUUUGAUGCAUCAUGAGCUUCAAAUACAUUAUUUCUAAUGUAUAGACCUCAUGGACAGUGUACAUCAUAUUUAUAGAAAUAGAUCUUAAUUUUUUCGCUGUCACAAGCACAAUAUAUAAACAAGUAAUUGUAACUAAUUUAAUUUUUUGAUUUAAAGAUAUUAAUUAUCGAAUAUUUAGGGAGGAGCAUGAAGCUUACAUAUACACCGGGCGCAGGUCAGAAUUUCUCGUGGGUGGGUCCCACGGGGUGCUAGAUUGAUUAAGCAUCCGAACGAGGCGCCGCGAAGAAUCGCGCGACAGCUCAGCAAACGGUCGACGUGGCGUUUGGGCAGUGGACGGGCCCGGAGGGUGGGGCCCGCUCUUGGGUUGGUGGCGGCUGAGGAGAAUCGGGCGAGUUCAAACACCGAGGCACAACGCGGAUCCACGUCGACGUACGCCGCGUCCGGUUGCGCAAUUAUUUUCUGGGCCCCAUUUUCUUGGGCUCAAUUUUAUCCGCUCCGCCUAUUCUUACGCUCGCUCUCGGAUAUGCUCUGAAUCUGACCCAAUAACACGGCACUAGAGCCGUCAACGAGCCGAACAUGAGCAUCUUAGCGUAGGGGAACGAUUUACAAUUAGCCGACUCCAACACCGUGGCACGGUGCGGAUCCACAUCGACGCUGAUCCAUUGGGUCCCACUCUUCUGGGCCCGAUUUUAUCUGUUCAGCCUAUUAUUACGCUCACUCGCGGAUGCGCUCUGCGUCGAAUACUGCCACAAACACGAAAUUAGGGUUAUCAACGAGCCGAACAUAAGCGAAUUGGAGCCAGUGCCGCAGGGGUGGAAGAGAAUUGGGCGAGUUCAAAUACCGGGGCACAGCGUGGAUCCACGUCAACGUACAAACCCAUCCAUUCGCAUGAUUAUUAUCCAUUGGGCCCCACUUUUUUGGAGGCCAUUUUAUUCACUCGGCCCACUAUUACGCUCCUCGCGGAUAUGCUCCACAUAGAACGCCGCCACAAACAUGAAACUGGGAUUGCCGAUGAGCCGAACAUGAGUGAGUUAGGAUCAGCUCGUAGGUUUAGGUGUGGAAUGAGAAGAAUUGGCAGAGUUCAAAUGCCGGGGCACAGCGCGGAUCCACGUCAACGUACACUCUUGAGCUGUCGCGCAAUUAUUGUUCCUUGGGCCCCACUUAUUUGGGCCCGGUUUUAUCCGCUCGGCCCAUUGUUAUGCUCACUCGGAUACAAUCCGCCACAAACACCUGGAAUGUGAGAGAUUAAUUGCAUGCACCUGGUUCAUUAUACACCAUGAUCAUAAAGCUUUAAAACUCAAAACUAGAGAAAUAACCUUUAUGGAUCGGUAUUAAACGCGCAUCCCAAAAAUGUCAACAUCAGAAACAUGUUCGACACUGACACGCGAGGUUGAUAGAAGUGUCCGUAAUACGUACAUAGGUUAUGACUCAGAAUGAUUUGAUUAUUUUCUUUGAAUUUGGAAUUGAAAAUUAUAUGGACGUUAUUUUAUUUUAUUUUUACAUAUUAUGACGGUGGAUAUUGGAACAAGUCGAGUGACCAGGAUUGAGCACUAUAUUAUGAUGGGGUUGUACAUCAUAUUAAGAAUAUAUAAGUCAAUUUUUCCAAUAUGUAGCAUAUGACCUAUGUGAAUAAAUAAAUAUUUAUUCAGCGUAUUUUAUAUAACAAUUAUAAUUAAUUGACUGUUCUAACAUAGAAGGUAAAGAAUUUGAUGAUUGAUACUCAAAAUUUUAAAUUUUAAAUUUAAUUAUUUUAUAUUUUUAACUAAAUUUAUUAAAAAAAAAUGAAGCGAGUAAUAUAUACAUUUCUGUCCAAAAAAAAAUGUACUUGGUUGCCAUUGUAAAUUAAUGAAGAGUAUGAAAAGAUUAAAAUAAAAAUUAUGAUUCUCAAAUUGUACUAUUUUGAAAAUCAUGAUUCUGUCUUAUAAUGGACAAAAAUUAAACAAUUGUAUUAUUUUGAAAAUCAUAAUUUUGUCCUAGAAUUAAUGGACAAAAAUUAAACACACAUCAUAUUGUAUGAUUUGUUUUUAUUUUUCAAAAUUUUGAACCGAUAAGCGUGGACAAUUUAAUUAAUUAGUAAAUUCCAACUCCUUCGAAAACGAUGAGAUGAAAAUAAUAUGAAAAUAGGUUCAUACCUAUAGACCUACGAGAAAAACCAGUGGGUUCUAAAAAUAAAAUAAAAUUAGAAUGCACCAGUUAUAUAUGGUAUUUUCAACUAAUAAAAUUGUAAAAAAAUAUUUUUGCUAUACUUUUUUCUUGAACAAAAAUAAAUAAUUAACUUGUUAUUGAUGAUAUAAUAUAAGUGUGAUACAAUAUACUUUCUGGUGUGCUCAGACACGGUCCUUGCAAAGAAAUUUCUAAAACAUGUGUAUUACAUGUAACCUUAAUAAAAUAAAAUGAAAUAAGAUGUAUAUAUCACAUGAUGAAUAAAGCCAAAGAUUUGUCUUUGCGACAUUUAAUUAAGAUAGAGAUACACUAGCAGAAAACUAUAGGGAGGUUGCCAUUCUUAUCACUAAUGUCACCUCAAAAAAUAAAUAAAUAAAUAUAUACUAUUUAGGUGAUUUACUUAGUAUUUUAAUAUAUUCAACCUAUAAGAAUAAGCCUAUUGAUUUGAACCCAGUAAUACAUAUUACUCAUAGUUUUCUAAUUGUGAGUUUAAAUUUAAAUAAUUUGGUAAUGAAGACUAAGCAAUUUGUGUUCGCAAUUGGGUAGGAAAAAAAAAGAUUCUUAUUAUUUUUUAGAAAUAAUAAUUCUAGAUAAGUGAUUAUCACUACCCACGGGACUUGAAAAUUUUGCAAAAUUCGAGAACAUCUAGCUAAUAGGUUCGUAGGAUUUUUGUGGGGCUCAUUAGCAAGAGAAUACAAAUACGUUAUCUAUAUCAAAAUAAAUAAAUAAAUUUUAUCAUACAGUUCAAUAGAUAUUUUUUUUCUCAAUUAAAGUUACUGAUUACAUAGCUGUUUUGAUCGUAUAUACCGUAUAUACUCUUAUAUGAAGUUUUAAAAUACAUAAGUUUUUCUAAAUUUGAAUCGAAGGUAACUAAGUUUACUUACUAUUCAAUCCUUAUACUUAAUUAUAAAAUUUGGAAGAGAAAUAUAAAUAUAUAUAUAUAUAUAUAUAUAGAGUUGAGCUAGAAUACUAUNGAAUUCAAAAGUAUAAAUAUUCAAUAUUUUCAUCUAAAUUAAUAUUUUGAUUAAAAUAUUAAAAAAUUAUAAAAAUAAUUAUACUAAAGUAAAUAUUUAAAUUUUUAAAAAAUAAAUAAUUUUGUAUUAUUUUUUUUUUUUUUUAAAAAGAGAGAGAUUUUGGUCCAAUGGACCGCAUGGCCCAAGGCAGUAGGCCCCAAGGCAGUAGCCUUGGGGCCGUGGGGGUCCGGGCUGUGCUUGUCCAGUUGGCACGGCUCAAACGGGCCGUGUCGCCCGUCUUCCCUCGACCCGACACAGCCCAGACCCGUUUCAGACCGUGCCGUGCCGGAUCGUCGAGCUCCAAAGAAGAGGCCCAGCACGGCCUAAAGCAUCAGGCCAGGCCGACUCAACACAGAUGCUACACUACCCGUGUCAUGCUGUACCUUACCUGAGGCCGUGGCGGGCCGGGCCCGGCGGGCAGGUUUUACGCUCCUACUGUGGAUUAAAUUGAAGUGCGAGAUGAUUCGAUUUAGAAGGCGUGUUUCAAACGCAAAGGAAAUGCCCAAAUCACCACGCACAAAGCCUUGUUACGAGCGACACGUGGCAGUUAAACUUCGGGAAUUAUUAUUACCCGUUAGAUUAAGAUAGCGCGCAGCAUCUAAAGUCAUUGCACGAAUCUUAGUGCAAGUGAGGCAACACCGGAUCAAAUCCUCGUUAAGUUGUCUCCGCAGAACGUCGCGUUCGCUUAUCCUAUCCCACCACGGUAAACAAUGUGCUUGGACCCGGUCCACCACAUCACUUAUUAAGUCUUUUUAUAAUUUAAAAAUUAAAACCUUUUUAAAAACAUAAGAAAUUUAAGUAGCAAUAUCUCUUAUAGAAAAACUUGUAUUUUCUUUUGAGGUAUAGGUCAAGAAUUUAAAUUUACUAAAAAAAAAAAUCUAAAGCCUUAUAAAAUGCAAAAUAAAGUUAAUACUCCAUACUGCUUUAAUUAAAAGUUAUUUAUUAAUUAAAAAUUUUAUCAUAUUACAUUUAUGAAAAUUUAUCCUUUCUAAAACAAGCGGUUCUAAUAAUGUAAAUAUAAAAUAAAUAAUCAAGACUAAAUGAAAGUUUAUUAUUAAUCAAAACUUUUAUCACUUCACAUUUUAUGAAAAAAUAUCUAUUCUAAAACAAGUAGUUUUAACAAUAUAUUUAUACUAUAUAUAAAAUGAAUAUAAAAUUUUGAGUUGAAAGACUGAAUUCUAGAUAGAAUAAAAAAAUAUUCAAAGUAUAUUAAAAAAUAAAUAAUUAACUAACUAAAAAUAAAUUAGAUUUGAAAUGUAAAUUAGUUAAAAAAUAAACUCAAGCAAUCAAUAACCAUUUAUAUUCAACAUACAACUUCAAAAUCAUUGUACAACUUCAAAAUCAAUAACCAUUUAUAUUCAACAUACAACUUCAAAAUAUAAUGUGAUCGCAAGCCCAAUAUUUAUAUGUAUGCAAUAAUGUAGUAAAUAUAAGAUAAAAUAGCAUAAAAAAUUUUAUUUUUGUAAAUAAUAGUGUUUGAUUAGAUGAGCAGGGCUACUGUGUUUUUAAGAGCACGGCAACUUUUGUGCUCCUAAUUUUCUAACCACCCAUCAAAUUUGAUUAAUAGUUAGAAUAAAAGAGAAAAAAGAUAUUAGAGAGCAAUUUAAGAAAAAGAUAAAUUGAUAUACUCAAUUUCUCACCAAUAUCUCUUCUUUUUUUAUUCUAACCAUCAAUCAAACUUGAUGGAUGGUUAGAAAGUUAUGAGCACAAGGGAUGCUGUGCUCCUAGUAGCACAGUAGCCUAGCUUCCAUUAGAUUACAUACUAUUAUAAUUCUAUGCAGAAACCGAGAUGAAUUAUCGGGCGGUCCACGGAUGAUGUGGUGAACAGGGUCCAGGCGAUACGUUCAUCACCACUACCGCUGCAGCGUUGCUCCCUUUUACUCCCAACUCCUCCAAAACUCCGCGAGCUUCUUCCAUCUACUGCCAUAAACAAAUCGAAAACCCAAAGAAGCUUCUUCUCCCUUCUCUCCUCUCCACCCACCACUCUCUCUCUCUCUCUCUCUCUCUCUCUCGAUCGAUCGAUCGAUCGAUCGAUCACUUUUGCUUCGAUCUCUUUAACGAUCCAUCGGAGAUGGAGAGGGUAAGAAGAGCCGCGCACGCCGGAUCCUGGUACACAAACAAUGGUGAGUCACAACUCCUUCUUCCUGAUUUGACGCUUCCAUGGCGAUUACGGUGGGUUUGAUCGGAGAAUUGUGGAAUUAGGGGUUAGGAGUGGAUGCGGAGGAGUUUUGGUGGGAAUCGGAUGAGUUGAGAGAUUGGGGGUUGUGAUUAUUAAGUGUAGGAAUUGAUUUGUUGUUUUUUGUUCUCUGUGGAAUAUAUGUAGGGAAAUGAUCUAGUUUAUUAUGUUAAUUUACUCUCUUUUAAGGGGAAAGAAAUGAUUAAGAGACGAAUUGGAAUCGCUAGGAUGAUGUUCGAAAUAGAGUGAUUUGAGUGCGUACAACCUUACGUUUUGGAGAUUUAAGGAAUCUUAUCGAUAUGAUCUUCGAUUCUGCGUGGAGUAGCAGCGGCAUUUGUAAUGAGGGAGAAGUUUCAAGUAGGACGACGACAUGGAGGUUAAAUGACCUUAAUUGGUGUACAUAUAUGAUGUCUGAUCAUGGAUUAAUGGUUGUAGAAAAGAUCGUAUUCACAAUAUGAAGUUAAAUAUAAAGAUGGAGCUUGUAUGCAUUUGUACGUCUUGUUGAAAUGAUGGUGCUGAGGAAAAUUCUCUGAGUGCUAGUGAAUCUCCUAUUGUAAGUGCAUCACCAUCCAUAAAACAAUGGAACCACUGGGAUAAUCAGUGUUGCCAACCCUGAAUGUACUCUGAAGCUUAUGUUAAAAGACUCUUGAAAUAUAAUUGUCGGUGAUUCUAACCAGGUAACAGGAGGAUAAUUCAUGGAACAGAGUUAUUUCAUCACCUUUUCUACAAUGUUGGUACUUACUAUGGUUACAUAGUAUGACUUCUCACUAAUAACAAAUUUUUAGGCCUAAUAUUUGGUGAAUGUUUAAUACAGAAGCUGAUUCUGGUAUUUAGAAUUUGAUUUGCUUACAUUGUUGAUGUUUGUCUAUUGAGUGCAAUAUCCUCUUUUGAUUAUGUAAUCCAUAACUGAUAUCUUCUCUUGUAUUGGGGGUAAUAUUAUACGUUGAUAUUGGAAGAGAACUUUGAUUGUUUCGAAGUCGUGGCACUACGAACUUAAAGUUGAAAACUGAUUGUAGCUACCUAUUAAAAUUUAUUUAAUUAUCAUAAACAUCUUAAAAAUAGCUUACACCUUUUGGACAGUAGUAGGAUACAAAAAUUUGUUUUACAGUAAUGACUUGAUAGUUUCAUUGUCAUAAUAAGCUUCUGAUGAUUGAUUUAUGAAUAUAUUAGCCAGCAAGCUGGACGAGCAACUUGAAGGCUGGCUUAAGGCAACGGGCCUUUCUAAGUCACCUGAUGUUAGAGGCAUAAUAGCACCGUAAGUCAAUGCAUACAUGGCAAAUUUAGAAUUGGAUUAUGCCUAUGCUUUAUCUCUGCUAAACAUACAUGUACAACUAUAGGCAUGCUGGUUACUCGUACUCAGGGCGUUGCGCAGCAUUUGCAUUUGCCAACAUUGAUCCAGCUAACAUGUAAGUUUUUUUUUUUUUUUUUCCAGUGUGAUUUGGAAUAAUAAAUCUUCACAUGCUAGGCUGUUCUGAUGUAAUAAUAGACAGUCACCUGUAUUCUAUGUAACUGUUUCUCUCUCUCUCUCUCUCUCUCUCUCUCUCUCUCUCUCGCUUACUUUUCUUUUCCCUUGAUGUUGUUGAUAAAAAAUUCAGAAAUCUGCGAAUUAAAAUCUUGUCUAGAACUCAAAAUUUCAAUAGUAUGAUUUGUAUGUCAGUUCUUAAUUAUGGCUGUUUUGUUCGUAAUUCUUAUUUGAAACGCAAACUUAUUUAAUUGUUCAAUUUUCCUGUGAUUCUUUUGAGUCCUUCAUUCUUUUGAGGUUGUCUAGAGCUGCUAACAAUUGCUUUCCUCUUCUUUUGUAGUUCUUUUGUCAUGGUAACAUAACUUGGCUAAUACUUUCUUUAUUUAAAUUUUCAGUUCAAGGGUAUUUCUUCUCGGUCCUUCUCACCAUUACUACACUCCAAAAUGUGCUCUAACCAGAGCAACAGUUUACAAAACACCUAUAGGAGAUUUGCUGGUUGACCUGGAAGGUACCAACUUGCGUGAACAAAUUCUAUUGCCUGUCCUUAGUCACUUUACUUUAAAAUUCCGUCCAUUGAACUUUGUUCUGCUACAUCACAUGCUUCCUAUAUAUAAAUUACAGUUUUAACAUAUCCAAGUUGGUGGAGUUACUUCGACAUGUUUCCAAUUUUUCUUUUGUUGCAAAUGGUAGUGGGAUGGGAGUUUGAUGCGCUGCAAUGCAAAAUUGUUGCUUUGCUGUUUAAUGGAUAAAAUGCACUUCUUUGCUCCUGCAUAUUCUUAUCGCCUCAUUAAUCCCAAAUUGUCAUAUUUUAUAUCUAUUACUUAUACAGUCAUUGAGGAGCUGCGGGCGACAGGGAAGUUUGAACUAAUGGAUCUCCAUGUAGAUGAAGCAGAACAUAGCAUGGAAAUGCAUUUGCCUUACCUUGCCAAAGUUUUUCAUGGGUAAAUAACAUGUUUAAUAAGCCUCUAAUCAAUGUAUUAUGGCAUGCAGAUUUUAGAUUAAGGUUGUUUUAUGGUAUCUUUUUAUAUUACAGCUAUCCUGUAAAAGUUGUACCUAUUCUUGUUGGUGCUCUUAACUCGGACAAUGAAGCCAUGUUUGGGCGGUUGCUUGCUAAAUAUGUGGACGACCCUAAGAAUUUCUUUUCUGUCUCAUCAGAUUUCUGCCAUUGGGGAUCUAGGUAUUGUUUACAAAUUCUCUGUUUAUUACUGGUAUCCAUGUUUUGGCUUUAUGUUUUGAAUUUAAACCUAAGAAAAACAAGAGUGGUUUAUCCCGGUUCAAGAGAAAAUUGUUUAGUUUGAACCCAGCCUGUCCCCAGGAUUUAUAUAGCUAUUUGAAGCCUAAUUCAGGUCCAGAAAUGGCCAACCUGGGCAGGGUCAGACCAAGUUAACUGAAGAAAAAGGCCCAAGGUCAGACUCAGAUCCUUGGGCUUUAGUUUGUGAGACCUAGCACAGCCCAGUGAAUGGGGAGCCAGGCCUUACCCGACCUGUAAAAGAAAAAAAAAAGGGCUUCUCAGGACGGGUCUUCCUUGCUCAAAUCUUAAUUCACAAUUUUCUUAUAUGAGCUGCCUUUCCAGAACUAGGGGGCAACAUAAUUAGUUCAUAUGAUGCAGUUCCUGACUGUUCAUUAUUUUGUUAAUGAAGUAUUCCAUUAACUACAGCUGUAUUGGAACAUAGUUGAUAUAAGUUUUGGAACAUAAGAUGUCGUUUUAAUAGUUCGUAUGAUGCUGUUCCUGACUCUACAUUAUUUUGUUUAUGAAAUAUUUCUUUAACUAGCCAGUUUUUACUGAUCAAUUUGCUAUAGUGUUGAGAGUGUAGCAACGUAUCCCCAAGAAUUAAAAGCAGGUUAUAUGGGGAAUCUUAUUAGCCAGGCAAAUCCCAUCAGAAUAUCUGCUAUCAAAGAGAACUUUAAGAUAAGACUACAUUAAAUUCUGAGGACAAGUUUCAAGAAAGUAGGCAACGCUUAUUGCUGAAUGUUUUUCUAUAAUCUACCUCUCUUUAUAUAUUUAGGCAAAUAUUAAUUGUUCUCAUAACCUUUUUCGAGAGAAAUUAGUGAGUGUUAUCCAGUUCGCAUUUUCAAUCUGUCUUCUUUGUCUUGUAUAAUGAUGUCUCAAGGUAAGUGGAUGGUCAUUUCUAUUCUCUGUCCCUCUUUACUUAACAUGGUAUCUGUGCUAUUGCAUUAGGGUUCUAGAGUAAAUAGUGAGGCAAUAAUAUGUAAUGCAAUCUCUACACACACACGCACAAGUUCAACAUAAUUCAAUCCAUGCAGGGGUAGAUGGGGUUUAUAAAUUGUUGGCCAAACCUCCUAAAGGUGUAGUUUCAGCAGUGUUGGUAUCAAAUCAAUGAAACUUAAUUAUUUUUCUCCAUUGAUGCGAUUCUCUUGCAGUGACAAACCAAACCUAACCAUUUAGUUUUAUGAUGUCAUGCUCACCUUAGCACAUUGCCUUUAUCAGGUUCAGCUACACAUAUUACGACAAACAGCAGGGUCCGAUUUACAAGUCCAUUGAGACCUUGGAUCGGAUGGCUAUGGAAAUCAUCGAGACCGGAGAUGCAGACGCAUUCAAGACCUAUCUGCAGGAGUAUGAGAACACCAUUUGCGGGCGCCACCCCAUUAGUGUUUUCCUCCAUGUCAGUACAGACCCAUUGCUCGAACCCUUUUUGAUAUUUCCUUCUUAAAUUCAUGAAAAUUUCUUUUCUUUGUGUGCUCCAGAUGUUAAAGAAUUGCUCGACAAAGAUCAAGAUUGGCUUUGUCCAAUACGAGCAGUCGAGCCAGUGCAAAAGCCUAAAAGACAGCAGUGUUAGCUAUGCCUCAGCCGCCGCAAAGGUGGAGAGUUGAUUGAAUUGAAAAGCUUGGUUCUUGGCUUCUUAUUGGCAUAAAGUUGAAGAAAGAAACUAGUGGUACAAUGACAAUUGCUGAACAUGCUGUUACAACUUGAAUGCUUCAGUGUCUGUGGAAAAUUAGUAGAACUGUGGUCCUGUUCAUGCUGAUCAAUGGCAUCACCUAGUGAUGUUUCAUUAUUUUUGUGCACAUAUUUGCUGCAGCUUCCUGUGCAGAAAAUCCAAGGAUAAAAGGCCAGAUUGAUAGAUCAGUGCCACUCAUACUACUUUUAAUGCCACUGUUGAUGUCAACCAUAAAACCAUUAUUAGGGAUGCGAUCUUCUCUUUCUGAUGUACAUCCUAUGCAUGUAGGAAAUCCAUGGCAACUAUUCUCUGGCUUCAUCCCUCGUUGUUUCCUACCCCAUGGAUAUAUCCUUGUCAGAUAGAAACGUAAAUUUGAACCAUCGACUGCUACCAAAUGAGAAAAGAAAUCCCUCUCUGGGCUUGAUUUUAAUUUGGUCAGUAAACAAUAAGACAAGCAUGAUUUUACACAUUAAACGUAUUACAUUCUGCGAGUCACUGGACUUGAUGGAAUCUGCUAGAAACACUUAAUUGAUAUCCAGCCGGGUUUGAAUCCGAGGAUGAACGUCCCAUUCAUUCUUUCUUUUCAGUUUGAUGCUAUAAAAUGGUUAAAUACUGGUCUACAGCCUAUGGAAACAACAUUUCGCAACCACGGCAAUCAACAUAAGCCCAUCUAAUGAGUUCGCAAACUUCCAAAAAAAAAAAAAAGAAAAAAAGAAAAAGAAAAAGAACUUGUCAACAUACUCGGGCUGAAACUAACAUUUCUGAAAUAGUAACUUAAUAGCAAAAAAUUUGCAAAACUGUGGUUCUUGUUCUCACUAAUUUACAUCUGCAGAGAGCAUAAGCUCAAGCUCCCGCAUGGGUCCAAGAAAUCACAAAGGAAGAACAGACCUUGUAUUGUUCCGAGCAUUUUUUCGUCCUAGCCCUAAUCCCAACCCCAAGGGUGAAUUCUCACUCUUUUUCUUAUUAUGAUUGCCCUGUGAAGAACUCACACAGCCAUGAUGAGAUUUUGAGGCUUUAGAGUGAGCGUGAUCGCAAACAUGGCCGUUGCAGUUGCCGUGAUCAGAGUGUCUCUCACCAUUCAAAGAAACUAAGCUUCUCGUCUGAAUCAACCCCAUUUCCUCAUCAGACGGCAAUGGCUGCUCCGGAACCUCAGUGUCCUCGUUGUAGCCGCUUAUCAGGAAGUCGGAACAGUUCUUGCGGAUUCCAUGAUCGUAUGGGUUUCUGAAACGGCCGCCCGGCCCCCUGAGAUAGCUGUAUCGCAUGGCAUUUGCCAAUUCGUUUGUUGUUAUGUUCCGUGAGAUCUGCAAUGAGAUAAAAAGGAGGUUUAGUUUCUCGACCAAAAUAAUAGUUGCGAGAACCAAGUUAUCGUACCUGUGAUGCUUGCACUACAGUUAGAAUUGCAACGCCGAAGAAAAGAAAAAAGUCCGCUAAUAAAAAUGCUACUGCACCAGAAUGAUUAGUAGCAGAAUACUUCAACCAUGCACCAAAUGAUGCCGGAGAAGUUGGAUCUCUCACAAUACCUACAUUGAAUUAAUCAAAAUUUCAGAAUAUUAAGUGAUGAUAGUCAAUACAUAAGGAAAAGCACAGAAAAAAUUAAAGCCUCAUAAGUGACAUACAUUUGAUGGUUACUGCACCGGUGAUAACCAUGGCAAAAACUUCUAGAACAAGAAAUAUAAAGAAAUCCAACUUAUUUUUCUGCAAUUACAAGCCCAAUCAUAUGUGGUAUUAGAACGCAGGAUAAAAAAGCUCAUGGUAAUAGGAAUAGCCGGUGCUUCAAGUACAAUUUUUAAUGAUUGAGCUAGAAAGAAAAAUUAGAUGCAAUACCUUGCCAAUGCAAUUAGAUACCCAAGGACAAUGGUGGUCAAACUGCUCAACACAUCGAUCACAUGUUGAACAAUGCUUUGAUCGCAGAGGCCUAACAAUCUAAGUCAAGUAGUUUUAAAUUAAAAUAUAUCACAAACUCCAAAAAAUAGUAGAAAUAAAUCCAUUGUUGCAAAUGAAAUGAAGUACCUUGCAUGUUGCACAUAGCUGGGACCAAUUCCCUGUCAAUAGAACAGGAUUGUCUGGUUCCAUUUUAAGCAACGGUUCCUAAAACAAAAAAAUUCAAUGAUUAGAAGUCUGUCAAUUUUCAAGCAUUACCAAUAGUUUGUGGCUUUGAAGAUGGCAUAUCUGUAAAACAACAAAACUUUAGAACUCUAGAAAUAUUGCAUGUGGCACGGAUUUCUUCCAAUUUGUGCUUUAUCAACAAUUUUAAAAGAUAAAUAUGACAAGAAAUGAAAAUAAGAAGCAGCAGACAAUAAUUAGAUAUCCAUAAUAUCAGCUUUAAAUAAUCACUUCUACAUUGACUAAGAUCAUCCAACUUACAUCAUCUCUAAAAUUUUGUGAAUCACGCAUGUUCAUUCUGAUAAAACCAGGAUCUUUCCUGCAGAAAUACACAGUACAAUGAGAUGGAUCACCAAACAACCAAAAUGCCGUGUCUCUGCCAUGUGGCAGAGGAUAAAGGUAUAUUGUGUAAUGAUUGAUUAUAAAAUAGUAUUUGUUUGCUUGGAAGCGUAAACUUUUGGGAAUUUCAUAGCCCAACCAAUUAAAGAGGCAAUACUAAUAGAAAAGCAGAUCUGAGAUUCCAUUUUCACUGACAAAUGCUAGAAUGAGAAUAAAGGUUAGUGCAACAAGCGAUAAAACAUCGAGUAUCAUGCCUUUUGAUUUUAUGGAAUUUUUUGUCAAUGCUCACCAGUGCUUAUGUACUUCGAUUAACAGAAUGUCUAAAGUUAAUCUUGGCACAUCAGUACAUAUCAAAAUACCGAUAACAAGUUUAUAACUUACAUGCUUAACAAUAAUAUUAUUAUCAAGUUACUGUAAACGGAUGAUCAUGACACAGAUGACAAUGUUUCCAUGUUAGCAUUUAAAUGUUUCAAUACAGCAUUAUCUUGAUUCCUUAUCUUGAUUCCAAGACAUCAGGUGUUUGUAACCGUCACACAUUCUGCAAUAAAACAUAACCGAAAAUCAUAUUUGCUCAACCUGAGAAACAUGACUUACCUGCUACACCUAUGAAACAUGACUAGACCAGCAGUGGCAAAGAAAACACCGGACCACUCAAACAGCAUGAAUGCAGCUGUAAAAUUCAAAAGAUAAAAUCCUGCAAAAGAACAAAAAAAUUCAGAAUUCAUUAAAAUUUUUAUUCCAUAGAAUGGUUAUGCUUUGACUCGCCAAAUGUAAAGCACCUGAGACGACUGAACGUAUAUAUGUGAGAAGCAAUGUCAUUAUGGUACACCAGAGGAGAGGAGCAAGUCCUAAUUUUGAUAGCUUUCCAAGCCGGCUGUUUCCAUCGAAACGCCUGUCAAAUACUCUUCGAGCAUUUUCCUGCCAACAUAAAUUUGAAGUAGGUUCAAUCAGAUCAUAACCAUAAAUAUAGUUUCUACCAUGGGACUGAAACGAAAUUAGAAAAAGAAGCAAUCUCUCGAAACUGUCAUUGGAAAAAAAAAAUGCCAUGUAGUUAUUUUCUCAGCAAUUCAAUAAAUCUACACAUAGAACAUAGAAACAAUGAAGUAACUAAAAAUGUGUUGAAAACUAACUACAUACGAAAUAAGGACAAGGGCAAAUACUCUUCUCAGCAAUUUUCUCAGUUUUGAAGUUCUCUGAACAAGGGCAAUUAAAAAUUAACUAAAAAUUAUCGACUUCCACGGAUAAAAGAGAAGAGCCCACCCGAGCUAACACUGGCCUCCAACUAACAUCCAGGGUAGAAAUAAAAGUUUAAUGCUAAGGAAAGAGAAAAUAUGAACCUUUUAUUCCAAUAAGUAUUCGGGAAAAAAACUGGGACGCAUGUAAAUGGCUGUUUGGGCAGCACUACACAGAAUAUCAGCUAUUUGUCCCACAAAUUUUCUUAUACACAAGAAAAGUUUAGGGAGAUUAUCAAAAAGAUUGACAAAUAUCACUAACACUGGAAAAAAAUAUAAAAUCACUAGAUGAUAUCAAACAACCAAUAUAUUGACUACUACAGAUUCUGCAUACAUACAAGGAAAAAAGCAACUUGGCGAUGACUCUUAUCAGAAGCAAGCUGGGCUGGAGUUAAACCAGACUUAUCUUGAACCAUCAAGUCUUCCUUUUUCCCAGCUUGAACUAAAACAGUGCACGCCUCAAGAUUCCCCCUUAUAGCUGCCCAAUGAAGAGGAGUGCAACCUAAUGACAAUGUUUAAAGCAACAACACAAGUUAAUACAUGGACAUGGUGUUCAAUAACAGAUAAAGAAUUACAAGCACAUUAUUACCCUCUUUAUCUUGCCGGACCCUGUAAGCAUCCAGAAAUAAAAGAAGACGUAUACAAUCAGCGAAUCCCUUGUAAGCAGACCUACAAGCUCCGACAUGUAAUGAAAAGAGUUAGUUAGAAAAGCAAAGGAUUAUUUGCCAGUACCAUAGGUGAAGACGACAAGGUGCAAUUGACUUUUAAGGCACAUCUGCUGAUCCAAAAACAAACUCACAAUGUAAAAGAACUGUUAAUAACAUAUUGAUUAUGCAAGUUUUUUGUGAACAGAAAACUGGUAGGCAACAAAGAUUUUCCCUGGUUUUAGUGUUACUGACUUAAUGAAGCAUGCAUGUUAUGGUAGAAUACAGUAAAAUUUAGAAGAUUGUAGUCGGCUAGUGGGAAAUUGCUCAACUAUUAUUUAUGUGAAAAUGCCACACAAGAAAGGUAAAAGCAUGGUUGGUUCUGUACCAAUGCAGAGGGCUUCUUCCAUCAUUAUCAGGGACAUCAGGAUAAGCAUUCCAUUUGGCCACGAUAUUGCAGAGAAAUGCUGUUUGACCAUACUGGGCUGCCACAUGGGCAGUCUGCAGUUAAACAGUAAAUAAAUAAAAUUCUUUCAAGUUAGCAGCUGUAGCUGAGUCAUGAACUCAUGAUGGAGGAUAAAUAGAUAAUAGUUAAGAAGUCUGUCAGAUAAAGGCGUCAACCCAAUCAGUUAGUCUGAACACACAGACAGCACAAUCAUUAACAGUUCGAAUCUGAAGAAAAAGGUUGAUCCCUUCUCCGCAAGAAAAGGUUAAUGCAUGCCUCCAAUUACAAUGGCAUGUCUAAAAACUAUUCAUUGUGGAUGUUUUGGCCACCAUCUCAGCAUUUGCAACUUAGUAAUGUCAUCAGACCAGUGUUCAAAAAAGCAGCCCUGCCAGCCACCAUGGUAGAAAACCACCUCCACCUUUUCUAGUAUAUCCUAUGGUGAGCGUCCAUGUCAGAAUGGGCAAAGGUGGACUGCUAUAGUGGGUCUAACCUGCAAUUUCACCCGCUAUAUGGGCUACCUUACUCUCUUUAAUGGGUAUAGUCAUGUCUCAAAUGGGUUACAAAACAUAAUAUUUAAUGAAAAUGGUCUCUUAUUGUUUUCCCUGUCUAAGCAAAUUAUGAAUCUCUGAGAAUAGGGCAGUGGCAAGUAAACCAUAGGGUAUUCUCAGAUUGCAAAGAGAUCGGCAGAAGCAGAAGAGAAAUCUCCUCCCUGCAAAGGACAGGCUUUGACGUCAAGCCUCGCCAACAGGUCCAUUCUGAUUGCCGUCCAAUAAACAAGACAUAUUGUUUGCAGUAUAACUUGCUUACGCUAUUUCUCUGUCAAUACCGAAAGCACUUGAUCCUAUCAGCAAGUUAAGUGAGGCUUUACUAAUACGACUGAAUCUGGCAAGAGCAUUAGAUCAUGUAAUAGAAUAUAGAAGAAAAAACUACUAAUAAUCAAGUAAAUAAUAAGACUAAAAGUACUCUUCGGAAUCAAACCUGGUAUCCAUUCAAAUCUGCAGCAUCAACACGAGCACCUUCUUUCAGGAGGAGCUCCGCAAUCUGGAUUUGGCCACGCACUGCGCUCCAGUGAAGUGCUGUCUGACCCAUGUUAUCUGUGGCAUUCACAUCUCCUCCAUGCUGCCCAAACACUGUAGAAAUUAGUCAAAGACGAUACUAAUAGUAGAGUACAGGAUCCCUCUAAAUGACCCCCUGCACGACAGCUUGACUCAGCUUUAGCAUAUAGAGGUUCAAACCGUAACACUUUAACUGCCCUUUAAGUUUCCGCUUAUAUGAUUGUCACGUGCUCAAUUCUGAUCAAUUUUAAUGGUAACUUCUAACAGGCAACCAGAAAUGCAAACUCAGGGCUGUAAAGAGCCGCACUUUCAUUUAGGGCAUGUUUGGUUCACCUAUUUUAGACUAAGGAAUCGGAAUGGAAUUCAUUGAUUCCGAUAGUUGCCGUUUGUUUUAUAGGAAUCGGAUUCCGAUUUUCAUUCCACUCCGGAAUGAGAAUGGCCAAAUCCAUUUAUGAUCCAAUCCGGCUUUGAAUUCCGGAUUGGCUCAUUCCAAAGUAAACUAUUCAAAAUCCUCUUUCAUCAACACCUACCUCCUCUCCCUUUAUCACUUUUCUCUCUCUUAAUCAAGACCCUAUCUCAAAUAUUUUAAAUUUUCAUUUCGAUUUCCAUUCCAAUAAUGAACCAAAUAUUUUUGGAUGAUUCGUCAUUCCAUUUUCCAUUCCAAAGCAAUCAAAUUCUAUUUCCCAUUUCUAUUCCAAUCAUGAACCAAGCAUGCCCUUAGUGUUUCUUAAAGUGGAACAUGACAACAGCACUAUCUGAAGUUUUCUCCAGAGGAAUAUAAAGAAAUAGAAAUUUCCUCAUGUAUACGAACUGUGUUCGAUUGAUUCAACAUGGAUGAACAUUGAGAAGGUUUGGAACAGCGUAUACCAUAAUUUCUACACUCCAGAGAUAGUCCCUGAACUAAACAAAUAUUACAUUGUAGUCGCUGGACUUUUCACUUCAACGCUUCAAGAGUCUCUAAACUUUCUGAUAUAUUGUGAUCGAUCUCUAGCCACUAAAAACAUUAGAAAAGCAACAUUUUACAGGAGAAAAAUAGUCAUUUUACAGGAAAAAUCUAAAUUUUUUUUUACCAGUGAGCCAGUGAGGGAUUUGAACUGCAAUUUGUGAGAAAGCUCAGGUAGUAAGUCACAGUAUCCGAAAAACACAGGGACUAUUUAUACCAAGUGAAUAGAGAUAACCACAAUUCUCAAAACAACAACAAUCAGAUCAAAAGGCUCAAACCCUAAACAAACCACACCGUAGUCAACCAUCAGAAACCUCUAGAGAAAAUCACCUCGAUUAUGUAGCGCGCGGCGGCGGUGCAGUUGUUGAGGGCGGCCCACUGGAGCGCGCGAUAGCCGAGCGCGUCGGGGUCGGCGACGGAGCGCCCCUCCGCCUCCACCAGCCUCUGCAGCUUCUCCAUGUCCCCGUACGCCGCCGCCGUGUACACGUCGUCCUUAAGCGCCUCCUCUCCUCCACCUCCGCCGGCGCCGGCGCUUCCUCCCGCCUCUCUCGGCUCCUCCGCCGCCUCGAUCUCCGGCGCCAUCUCUCCGGCCGCGGCGGAGGAGGCGAGGGUUUACGUUUAGGGAUUUGGGGUUUUGGAUUUUGGUUCUGGGGAGGAGGGGUGGGGCGAAGAGGACGAGGUUGAAGAAGACGACGAUGACCUUCGAAGUUUGACCCGAUUGUUUUACUUAUUUAUUUAUUUACUUAUUUAUUUAUUAAUUUCUGUUUGAGAAAGCAAAGUAUUGAUUUGAGAGAUCCAACGCGGAGUAUCCUCAGGGGUCUUGUGAUAAAGUAAAGAAAUUGUUGUGUGGACCCGGUCUAUAGACCGAACUUGUUUACGUGUUUAAAUUAAAAAAAUAUUAUUAUAUUAUAUUUAAUUGCACUUUUUGCCAAUGAAAUUAGCGCAGAGUUUGACUUGUAUGUUCAAUUUUAGCAUACACCUUUUUCGUAAGAACAGAUUAAAUUUAUUAAAUUUAAUUAAAUUUAAUCAGUAGAUAAUGAUUAGAUUUGAUGAUAUGGUAGCUAAUUUAUCUUUCAAAUCAUUAUCUUAAUAAUAAUAUUAUUAUUCUUUAUUAAGACAUGUUAUCUCUUACAGGUAAUGCAGUAGCUUACUCAAUUGUUCUAAAUUAAAUUUAAUGCUUAAAUUAUAAUAAAUUAAAAUUUAAUAACUUAAUUUACUAACGAACUAGGUAAUUUACCGUAAAAUAAGGAGCACAUUUUACAUGUUACACUUCGGUGUACCAAAAUUCUCUCGUAAAGUGGGAAGCAUGGUGUUUCCAUUGGCUCGAGAGAUAAUAGUGGGCUCAUUCUAAAACGAAGAGCAAGUUUCCUUGAAACCAUGCACUUGAGGGUUAUUUUUAUUUUUAUUUUUAUUUUUUGGUUUUGAGAUAUGAUGACUUCAAAUAAAAUACGUAAUUCUCGUAGUGGUAUGCAGUAAAAUCCAUAAAUCCUGGUAGUGUGAUGAUGGAAACUUCUUGUUCAAAGUUUUAAGUGACAUUUGUCGAUUAUUAAUUGUUGAGAUACAAAUUUUUGAGUUUUUUUAAACAAAAAAAUUGUAUGUAAUUCAUAUGACAGUGAUCUAUGCUAGUUAGAAAUUUUGUACUUAAACUAGCCAAAUAGGCCGCGCUGCAAAUCUCAAUUUUUUUUAAGAAAAAUCUGACUUUCAAAUUCAAACUAAUGAAACUUGUCUUGUUUGAUUGAUUCACAUCAGUUUUUGAUAAUAGAAGCAUCAUUAAUUAAUUUUUUAAAAAAUUAUUUCGGACAUAUAGUAAACUGCCAAAAUCAAGCAAACAAAUCUAGAAUAACCCCAACAUGCAAAUUUUGGUUCAUUAAGAGUACUAUUUUUUUUCUUAUUUUGAUAUAUCAGUAUACAACAGCUCCAUUCCAAACUUUCGAAAAAAAGCAUUCUACCGAUAGCCGGCAGCGGAAUGCCCAAUCUUCACUUGAGUUUAGCCUUAAUAAAUGUAACUUGCGGCAAUAACCGGCAGACGAAUUCCAAUUCUAUGCAAUUAACAUAUAUGUGAAACUGAAGUUUACUUUUUCAAACAUAAGCACACCUAUUACAUGAGCAAUCUACUUGAUCUCCCUCAUUUCAUAACUCACUUCACUUUCAUGAGCAUCUACUUAAUCCCCACCUCAUUUCAUAACUCAAUUCACUUUGAUUUUCUCAUGAACGCUGUAAAGAAGUGACAGAGGCAAUGAUAUGUUCAUUAAGCCAUAUCAUCUUAAAAUGUUUACUUGUUCCGUUGUUUCUUUAGUAUAUAAAACGAUGUUUCUAUAAUAUUUUUAUAUAUGCUAGCAGUAGAAACUGGGUUCUUUUGAAAUCUCUGCCGAGUUCAGCCUCACGCAGAUUUGAUUUUAGCCUUAUGCUGAAGUGGGUUGGUGUAGGAUCAUAUGAAAAUUCAGACCUAAACACUAUCAAAAUUGGGUGGCAAAUAAUUCCAACUAUUUUUAACUAAAAUUCAAUGCUAUGAAUUGGACAUAUAUCUUGAAUUGAAAUUCACUUUAAUACCAAUGGUAUCACCUAAAAUCUGAAGCAUUAAAAUAUAUAAUAAUAUAAAAAAGAUAGAAAUGACAUGAAGGAAAGAAAAGUAUAUUCUAACUCCUAACACAAGGGGUCAAAGUCGCAGAUUUUCAACUUGGAUCUUGUGUUAGGAGUUAGAAUAUAGUUUUGAUCUACCCCAAACACAAGAUCCAAAAAGGUAUCUAUGCACAGAGACAGCAGCGUUGGCAAAGGCUUUGGCAACAGCAAAAGAGGCCUUGGUAGUAGAAGUGGCGGAGGAACGAUGAUAGCGAUUAUCUCUAGUGAAGGAAAAAGAGAAGGGGAAUGGCAUAAGAAGCUUUGUUCCAUACCUCACGGUGAUCUCAACUUCCUAUACUAUAUAGAGAGAUUUUCAUAUAAUAGUCGUGAAGCUUCAACUUUGGCGUGACACAACCAACUAGGAGAAAUGGGAGGGUGGAGGACUCAUGAACCAACUAAUUAGGACAUGAACCACCUAAUUAGGAGUGCGCAGGUGAACAUCACCAGGGGCAUGAUCUGAUCUGUGGGAAGCAGAUGAAGUGUAUGAGUCCCUAUAGUUUCACACCCAACAUAUCUAUUUAAUCCUCAAUUUCUCUAAAUUAAACAACCAAAAUCCAAUGAUACUGAUUAACAAGCUUUAAGGACUAAAUUACUAAAACUAAAAUGAGGAUGAAAGUGGUACAGAGGUCAAACUUGAGGAACUAAUUAUAAAUAACAUGUUUCCAAAAACACUAUUUUCUCUCCCUUCAUUUCUUGUACAUGAACAAGGAAAUUUUCAUUUUCUUUUCUUUUCUCCAAUUUUUCUUUGUUUCCUCCCUCUUCUCUCUUUUCUCUUAGGCUCAAACCAACAUUAUUGUUUGCAUACAAUUUCGCCAUACCAUGCCUCAAUGGCUGCAUCACAUCACACAACACACACUUAGAUUGAGUAGUUUCUUGUAGCAAACACAACAUCCAUGGUUUCGGAAGCACCAGUAGCGAAUUUCCUUGAAGUAUAAAAGCUCCAAAUUCAUCACACAAGCAGAUUUAAAAAGAGCAUCUUAUUUCAAGCGAAAAAUUCAUGGAGAACAUUGUUGUUUAUGAGCAUUUCAAAUUGGUAAAGAAAUGGGGCAGGAGGAGGAGGAGGAGGCUCACGUAUCAGGGAAGCAACUUCCCCGCCCGGAAGACGGCGAACUUGUUCGACUCCGAGUACGCGAACGGCACCCCGAUCCCGCUCAAGAAGCCCUCGAGCAUCGCCUUCGUCCGCUCCGGCUCUGUGGUCUCGCACUCCACCUCGUAGAUUGUCCCGAAGUCGAACUGCGACUCGUCGAGCUCGAGCACGAGACCCUCCUCCCACUCGUACACCGCCCUCACGUUCCGGAAACCCCCUAAGCACACCAAAGAUCCGUUUUUUGCCCCCAAUUUGAACUCUUCCACGACUCUGGCCAUGAUCUGGGAGGAGCCGGCCUGGGCCAUGGCGGCGAGGCGCCAGGGCUCGGCGGCGCAGGCGCGGGCGAGGGCGGGGUCGAGGUCCUCCUCGACCUCCUCGACGCGGCUCACGCCGGAGGCGAGGUUGGGGCGGAACUUGAGGGAGAGGACGCAGCGCGCGUCGGCGUCGUAGAAGCGGAGGCGGAGCGCGGCGAAGGCGGCGGCGAGCUCGCCGGAGGGCGCGUCGAAGAAGAGGUUCUCCUGGAGGUGGGUGCGGCGGUGGCGGGGGGCGAGGGCGUCGGAGAGGCGCUGGUGCGCGGCGGCGUCGGGGAGGCGGAGCUUGACCUCGACCUCCAUCUAGGGUUAGGGCUUCUAGGGUUGUAGCCCGAUGCGGUGGGAUUUGGAGGUGGGGUCGAGGGGCUCGAGGAGCUUGUGGAGGGGAUUAGGAUUAGGAUUAGGGUUAGGGUUGGGGUGGGGUUUGGAGGAGGAUGAGGCGCGGAGGCGGAGGGCUUCUUCGAGCUCUUCGCGAUCCUCCGCUUUGACUUCGAUUUUGCUGGGUUUUCUGGGAAGCAUAAUAUCUUCUUCUUCUUCUUCUUCUUCUUCUUCACUGCAGCGGCUUCAAAAAUUAUAAUGAUCGUUCUUCUUAUUUUUAUGUGGUGGUUCUUGUUCUUCGAGUUUCGGAGAACCCCCUCAACUACAUGAAUUUUGUUAAAACCCCCUCAGCCCUAUUUUUGUAAGUAAAAAAAACUUUUAUUUUUUUUUUUAAAAAAAACUGAGGAGACUAUUUUACAACCAUGCCAAUGACUCCGAUCAAAACAAACACAGCCUUAAGUUGCAGUGAACGUGCCAAUGAUUAUUGAGCUUAUUGUGGAGUUUUAUUUAGAUCAUCAAAUUUUCAUUUAUUGUAAUUGAGCGGCCACUGUUUUUGCUUCCAUUGAAUCACUUCGUCUACCUUUUUUGUUGUAGCAAUCAAUAACAACAUUAUAUCUUCUUGACGGAAUUAAACAUGAUUCAACAAGGUGAUCAAUUGAGGCAUUAAAAAAAAAAAAGGAAAAAACUGUAGAAUUUUCUCUCUCUUUGCACAUACACUAGUCUCUCAACUCUCAACAUCGGAGUUACUGUAGCACGGUGAAAAUUUGACUCCACUUUAAACUAAAUGAAGGAUGAUAAAAACAAUUCUUUCGACUCAGGGCGCAAAAGAGGGAGAGAGAUCCGCAAAUAUGUGUAUAAAGAGUAAAAUACGAGUAGGAUUGGUAAGGCAUGUGAGCUUUUAAACGGCGCAUUUUAGCUCUCUUCUCUUGUUCCUUCUUUCUUAGAAGAUCUUGAAGAGGAGACCCCCAUGUGUGGCGAAGAAGGGAGCGAACACGAGCGACUCGACAGCCAUGAGCUUGAUCAGGAUGUUGAGCGACGGCCCGGAUGUGUCCUUGAGCGGAUCACCGAUGGUGUCGCCGAUCACCGCGGCCUUGUGAGCAUCCGAACCUUUCGGGCCGAGUGUCCUUGCAUGCUGUGAAGCUCCAGCCUAAACAAUAUAGGCACAAUAGCUCCAUUACCACAAACAUAAGCUACAAAAUGUGGCAUAUUUGUUUUUGAAUCCCUCCAUACACACGGCACUAAAUGUUGUUUGUUUAAUCAAGGUUCUAUUUUAGUUAACUUAAAUUCAGAAUAUGGACAUGCUCUCAGAAAGAUCCUAACUGUACAGGUUCCAAAAAACCAUCUACCAAUUUACCAAAAUUAAAGAGCAAUACUUAGAGAAAUAUGGGAUUAAGAUCAUCAUUCCACCUGUUUAAUGUUAAUAUAUUUAGAAGUUUUGUUAUAGAAAGUUGAGUGAAGGGGCAUAUUCAAAACCAUAGGGUUGUUUUAAAGAUACGGACACAAAUUUUAACUUUUAGGGCGUAUAUAUUCAAAUAUCUAUUUUACGAGGAAUAUGACUAAGCAUUUGAAUAAUUUAUUACCUCGAUAUAUUUCUUUGCGUUAUCCCAUGCACCACCAGUGUUAGAUGCUGAAAUAGCAAUCUGUAAUGUACAACAGAAAAAAAAGAAGUUAAGAAUGAAAAAAUAAACAAUGAAAAAAACCAUAGAUAUAACUUCACUGAUUUUGAAUCCAAGGAACCGUGCUACUAACCUGAACACCAGAUACAAGAGAACCCGCGAGAACUCCCGAUAGGGUUUCCACACCAAAGAAGGUUCCAACGAUGAGAGGAGUGAGCAUAACAAGAGCACCAGGAGGGAUCAUCUCUUUGAUCGAGGCGUCAGUGGAGAUCUUGACACAUGUCGCAUAGUCUGGCUUAGUAGUUCCCUCCAUUAGUCCAGGAAUGGUGUUGAACUGCCUUCGAACUUCCUCCACCAUCUUAAGGGCCGCACUUCCGACGCUCUUCAUUGUCAUUGCCGAGAACCAGUAAGGAAGCAUUGCGCCGACGAUGAGACCGAUGAAGACUUUCGGGGUGAGGACAUCGACAGUGGAGAUUGCGGCUCGGCUCACAAAGGCACCAAAGAGCGCAAGGGAGACCAGGGCAGCUGAGCCGAUAGCAAAGCCCUGGAGAUAGAAAAUAUUGAAGUUUAAGUUACUUGAGGGCCGAAAAGGAAUAUGGAUUCGAAAGGAACUUUAAAGUUGCUCGUGAAUUCAAUUGAGAAGUAGUAGAGUAAAUAAACAGUUGUUAUAGAGGAUAAAUUAUCUUGUUGUUCAAUCAAAAUAAAUUAAUGAAAAGCUAACAAUAAACAAAGAUGAUCAUCAAACAGAGCUCUGACCACUAAAGAGGAGACAAGGUACCUUUCCAAUGGCGGCAGUGGUGUUUCCUGCAGCAUCGAGAGCAUCAGUUCUCUCACGGAUUCUGUGGCUCAUUCCGGCCAUUUCAGCAAUUCCUCCGGCGUUAUCACUGAUGGGCCCAUAGGCAUCAAUAGCAAGCCCAGUUGCAAUGGUGCUAAGCAUUCCAAGAGCAGCAACUGCAAUGCCAUACAUAGCCGCAAAACUGAAACUAACAAAAAUGCUAACAGCAAUAGCGAAGAUAGGGAUGAUCACGGAUUUGUAUCCUAAAGCAAGACCGAAGAUGACGUUAGUGGCCGCUCCAGUUCUACAGGAGUCGGCAACAUCUUGAACAGGGCUGCAAAAAUAGAGGAAAACUUGUCAAAAGAGAGAGAGAGAGAGAGAGAGAGAGAGAGAGAGGGUGAGAGAGAGACAUUAAACUAGAAGCUAGAUAAAUAGAGAUGACGAAAUCAAUCACCUGUAUGCAUUGCUGGUAUAAUAUUCAGUGACAAAGCCAAUGACCAAACCAGCCCACAAACCGAUUGCGACGCAAAAGAAUAGCUCCCUACCAAUUUCAGGACAAAAAAAAUCAAGCUGCUGAAAUAAAAACCAAAAUUUGAACCAAAAGAAGGAAAGGAAAAAACACAAACACAUCAAAGACUAUACAAAAAUUUACAUUAUAGAGGGAUAUAUAUACGUAAACAAGAUUUUUGUAUAUAUGUAAAAGGCCCAAAAGACAGAUAUGACAUACCAGUUCUUUACUGUCUUCUGGACACCGAAAUUGUAGAUUGUGAAGGACGAAGGAAGGGCUAACCAACUGACAAUCGCAAUACCAACAGUCAUGAGUGCAGUGGAGAUUAUAAGCUGCCUCUUAAGAGCAGGCUCGAUUUCCUUCACUGCCUUAAUCUCGAAGAAGUCAGUUGCAAACAAAGUGGUGAGUAAACAAACAAUGAUACCCAUGGAGCUAAUAAGCAAGGGAUAUAGCAUUCCGGUGAGGUCGUGGUUAACUCCAAAGGAAGAAAUCGAGGCAACAACAAGAGCAGCACAUGAAGAUUCAGCGUAUGAACCAAAGAGAUCCGAUCCCAUUCCAGCAAUAUCACCAACAUUAUCACCAACAUUGUCAGCGAUCACCUAUAAAAUGUAGUCAAGUUAAAUGACGGAUAAUGAUAAAUGUGAUAUUUCCGUACAUAACCCAAUAUAAUAUCUAUUCACAUACAUUCCUUUGCGAAAUCUAAAUUACCAUAUAUGCCCUUCAGAAAUUUAGUUUCUUAAUUAUCUGCUAUUGUACUUUUACAACUGUCCCUCUAGGCAGAAAGGUUUAUAAUACAACACCAAGUCACCAACUUUCCGUCAUGAAUAGGAUGAAUCCCCAACUUCAAAGUGGGAAAUUUUUGCUAAAAACUGCACUUUAGAGGGUACGGAUGAAAUUCACAAUUUUGCAGGGAUCUACAUGCAAGGUCCACCAAUAUAGCAAAGAAUUGAAAUACAAUAGCACAUAGUAGUUGUUACAUAUGAAAGGAGGUCACUGAAAACAUCAUAGACCAUUAGAACUAAUAUCUAUCUAAUUUUAUUUAACAUGCCAUAGAAAGGGAUCAAGUUCAAUAUAACUGCUGUUGCAAAGAGAAGAUUCUUACAGCUGGGUUUCGAGGAUCAUCCUCGGGAAUGUUCCUCUCGACCUUCCCAACAAGAUCGGCCCCAACAUCGGCAGCUUUAGUAUAAAUACCUCCGCCGACUCUCCCGAAAAGCGCCAUUGAAGAACCACCAAGGCCAUAACCAGUAAUAGCCUCGAAAAGCCCUUCCCAGUCAUCACCAUAAUACAGCUUGAAUAAGUUGAUUGCAAUGUACAGGACGAGGAGCCCAUUCGCAGCAAGCAAAAAGCCCAUCACCGCACCAGAACGGAAAGCAGCAAUGAAAGCCUUCCCAACACCUCUUCUGGCUUCCAAAGUAGUCCUGGCAUUUGCAUAUGUCGCAAUCUUCAUACCAAGGAAGCCAGAAACCACGGAGGUAAUUGCACCAAGUAAGAAAGAGAGAGUGCUAAAUAUGGCAUUUGCAAGGGCUGGCUUGCACAUUUUAUCCUUGCUGUAUGUGCAGGGCUGGCUUUUCGUGCUGAAGCCUUCCACAGAACCGAGGAAAAGGAAGAUGAGGACUGCAAAGGCCACCAUGAAGAUUCCAACAUACUGAUAUUCCGUGAAAAGGAAAGAUGUAGCUCCUGUUUGUAUUGAUAGGCAGUGUGAAAGUUAAAUCACAUAAUAUUAACCCAGAAUAAACAAAGAUUAUCUUAUAUUAUCACUACUGAAGUAUUACAAAGGAAAAAACGUCAUUAUGGAGACUCAUCAGUUGAUAAAUCUCACGAGAAAUCUAAAAAUGGAAGUCGACAUACUUUCUUUUAAGUUGUAAUGAAUAACAUUAAGUAAAGACAUCUUAUACGAAGAUUUUGCCAUUCUCGACAACGAAACAUUUAUACCGUUUCUUCUUAACAAACAGGCUUUUUGAAGAAGACUUUAAAGCUGGUAAGAUUAUUUAAUUUACAAUGAGGUCCAAGUUCAAUCAAAAUUAGCCACUUAUAUUGUAAUUGCUAGGUCGAAAUUUAGGAAGCAAAGAUGAAAAUUCAAAUUAUAACACAUGUUGUGCAAAGAGAAUUUACCAACUAUUCAAUAAGGCUAAUUGAUGACGAUCAACAAGAAUUAAACUUUUUAGAAGAGGGGACAACAAAAUUAGGACUAUCCUUCAGUUCAAUUAUGUGUUUUCAGUAGAAUGCAUGCAAAUUGUACAUGCUAGUUAUGGAUUGAAAGGUGAAUUGCACGAUAUCCAAGGUUGGCAAAAGGAAAGAGUUAACAACAGAAGAAAUCAUUCUCUCUUCUAGAAGGUGGUGAUAUGGAUGUGGUAAAAACUGCAUUGCUUCCGGCGUCCAAGACACAAGCUCAGAGUAAAGUUCCUGUUUAAGAGUUGAUUUCAAACCACAACUAAUGUCCAUUUGGUUGAGAUAUUUCAAUCAGUUACAUAUAGGUCAGUUGGAAUGGUAUCCUUGACUCCAGAGUUGUGAUAAUUUUAUUCAGUGCUGAAAAUAUGAAUCUAAGAAAGCUGAUACCUUUUAAAGUAAUGCAGUAAACAAACACAAUUAGUUAUACCCUCUUAGAGUUGGCAAAUAAACUCUUAGAUAAAAUGAUGCUAAAAAUAACAAGGUCAAUGAAUCGUCUUAGUAGAAAAUACUUGGUGACAGGUUUCUCAAAAGCAAACACCAAAUCAAGCAACAAUAUCCACUCUAAUAAUCGUGUUCUAUUAUCCAUCAAAGAUUUAACCCAAAUGUUGGGACAAGUAACAGCACACAUUCAUGAUAGGUAAAGCAGUUCCAAAUAGUCAUCAAAUUAGAUGUUGUUUUGAUGCUGGCCUCUUAACUUCCAAUCUUUUAGCUUUGGUUUUCCUGAGUUGAGCACUUACAUCCAUUUAAGUAGAUAACUUGUAUGGGUUUAGGCGACUGUCAUUUACGUACCAUAUUUAUAAUAAUGGCAAAAUCACAGUAGUCCUAAGUCAAUGAAAUUAAAAGUUACAAGGGUACUGAUAAAAGACAAUCUUGACGUAAAGGGUUCGAUAUUAAGACCAAAAAUAGUUGUAUGACUGACUGUAGUUAGAGAUGCCCAGUACUACUGUAACUUCCAUACUAUCAUCACGUAAACGAAUCUGAACCACAGAAUAUUUUCUCGAUACGGACUAAGAAAUAAAUGGCAUGUAACUUAAUAAUAUUCCAAGGGGUACAGAUCAAAGAGAUCUAAGUAUAAAAUCUCAUUCCCAAAGCAUUUUGAGGACCACAAGCAAUAAUUGCUUUGUCUUCUCAGUAUGCCUAGGAUUAAACAGACUUUUCAUGAGGACCCCAGAAGAGUACUUUGAUCAAUGACCACCCAACAAGCACCUCUGCUGUAAAUAUUUUAAGUUAUAAAGAAGAGAAACACAAUACGUCUCAGCAAACACAACAAAGGAUAAAAGAAAAAGAAACAAAAGAAACGAAAGCAAAUUACAAAGGAAAAAAAAGGGGAGAUUGUAUAACUUGAAUAAAGAAACAUAAUUCAAAAACAAAGAUAACUUCCAAAAAAGUCAAAGCCGUUACGUACUCAUCGAAGAUUUCAAGAAAAUAUGAACACAUGUUCAUAUUAAUCAUCACACAAAAUAAUCAGAAUAAUAGAAUAUUGGCCCACAUUAAAGAAAUGGAGGAUACGUAAGUGAUUAAAUACGAAAGGUGAAAGUAAAAGCAAAAUUUCUUUCAAAAAGCACUUUUGAGUCCCACAACCAAUAAUAAUUUACCUCCCCAGAAUGUCCAAAGUUAAAACAGUAACUUUUAUGAGGACCCCAGCAUAGUAAUUUUAUAAGUGAAGAUGACAAAGAACAGAAACAUCAAGAAUCUUAGCACAGAGAAUAGAAAGCGUGUGAUGGAAACAGAAAAAGAAGAGGAAAUAAGAUUCUUAGCACAGAGAAUAGAAAGCAUGUGAUGGAAACAGAAAAAGAAGAGGAAAUUAAUAUAUACAAAUUGAGUACUCAUUGUAGAAAUCUCAACAACUAUUGCCUCUGCUAAAGCUUCUGACGCACAAAAUAUACACCAAAAAGGGAAAACACAGAAUCCUCACAUGAGAAUUUGUAGAAGGUACUCAAUAAUAGAAGUGAAAGAUAGGAGAUCUCAACACGUAUUGCUUCUCUAGCACAAAAACAAAAUGGAAAAAGCAGACCAUUUUCCCAGAAACCUGUUGAAAUGCUAAGUUCUGAACUAAAAAGCUAGUUUGUACUGAGCAACACGAAAAUUGAAAACACAAAUCUAAAAAUAUGGUCCAACUUCUAGGUUAAUUUCUCCUAAAAAUGAUAAAACAAUCCAAAAAAAUCAAAAUCGAAGGGAAGUAACCAGAUCUAGUUGUUUACUACGAAAAAAAUCCUUUUUUGCUCGUCCCAACAGUGAGAUCACCUUUCCCCACAUUCCACAUUACCAACACCGAUAUCAUCACAAUUAACAAAACGAUACUACUAGAUCUACAGAAAAAGAGAGUUGAAACUAUAGAUUGAGCCAAACCAACAACCCAAUGCCCUACCGAUCCCAAGCGAUCUCUCUCACCUUCCGAGAUGGCGUUCUGGAUCUCGGCGCACUUGACGACGACGUUGUGGUCGUUGAGCCCCUCCUCCUCCUCGAUGAGGUAGUCGCCGGAGCCGUUCUUGCUCUCCGCCGCCGCCGCCGCCGCUUGGUGCUCCGGCGUGAGCUUCACCUUCGAGACGAGGAGCCACUGCACGAGCGCGAACGCGAUCCCCACCGCCGCCGAAACAGGGAUCACGACCUCCGCCACGAGAUCGGAGAGCACCGCCGCACCCAUUGCGAGGACUCCUCCGAAGGGUUUCGCUCGAGCUCUUCGAGGAGGAGAUUGGGAGGGUUUUGGGGUAGGAGAGGGGGCUCCGCGUAUUAUAUAGAGCGAAGCCGAAGAGUUGGAGGAGAGGGAAAGCGAGGGAGAGAGAUAGAGAGAGAAUAGUUUGGGAGGGAGGUGUAGAAUGGGAAGAAUCCUAAAUUUGGGCGUUUACCGGAACAAAUUUCGGUUUAAUUUGUUGUACCCCUGUAAUAAGAGGGAUUGGAUAUUUUGGGAAGGUAAAAAAUCGUAUGGUGACACCCCAACUAUAGGCAGUUUUGAAAUUGACCCCUGAACAGUAUUAUUUUUAAAUUAAUAUUUUUCUUUUUUUAAUUUAUUUUGAUUCAUGUUAUCUUACUAUUUUAGUCGAAUUAAUUAUAGAUUUUGUUAAAUUGAAAGAUAAUUUCAUGGACUCCAAUAGUGACAGCAAAGAGUUAAUAAAACCAUUAAUUUUUAAUAAAAUUUAUACUCGAUAAAUAAAAAAAAAUUGAGUCAAACUAAUUAAAAUAAAUAAAAAAAGAACACUAUCAUUGAGGGGGCUUUUAAAUAUUCCUAUUUAUUGGAAAUACAGAAUUUUAAUUCGAUUCUUUUACUGUGUGUGCAUAAGCAGAUUUGUUUAAAUUAACUAUAUCAAUCAAUGAGAUAUAAAUAUGAUCGUAAUUAGUAAUGGAUAAUAACAUAUUCACUUACUAAAAAAUAAUAAUAAAUUUAUUUGAAUAAUUGAGUUGUUAUUAUAUAUGGUAUAGUCUUAAACAAGAAAAAUUAAUCUAAGUAGAAUUUUUUAUGAAAAAAAAAAAGAAAGUAUUAAUGCAACUUGAGAGGGGUUGAAAUGUGAAAACUCUUGAGCGAAAAUGUCACUAGUGCGUAAAAUUUCAAAAUGUCGGGGCGUGUGUCGUAAAAGCGUAACCGCUUUUUUAAUCCAAUGACGUGGAUCUAUUCGUUUGUUCCUGCGCGGAUUGGAUAAUGCUCCAACAAAAUUACACGUCACUUGCUAUUUUGGGGCUGGUUAAAUUCAGUUUAACUAAAUUAUUAUCUGCAAUAAAUUAAAUUAAAUUACUAAAAAUAAAGAGAAAUUAAAUAGUAUUUCAACUAAUAUCAUAUAAUUAAUUAAUCAAUUUAAUAAUAUUUUUUUAAAGCAUGAAUAAAAUAAAUAAAUAAACAUAUAUAUUAUAUGCAUAUACUUAAAUUCAUCACAGUUUGCAUCAAAAAUUUCGCAGAAUUAGAAACAGUGUUUGUAUCCAUAUUUUUAUUACCAUCUUUGCAGAGACUUCAUUUAUAGUAAAUUUAUUUGUACGCAUUUAUACUUGUGGCAAAAUAUAAAGUAAAUAUCAUAUUAUUUUCACAUAGUAAUACAUUUUUAUUUAUUAAUUAAAUUAAAUUAUGAUACUUAAUUAUAAUAAUUUAAAAUUUGAGAAUUAAAAUAUCAUACACCGACGCGAAGCGGAACGGUGGAGUUAGUUUGAACUUCUCUGUCUCAACGGCUGGAUAGCAGCUGUCACAGUUUGGCGCUUUAUUUGUGUGGGUUGGAUUUGGACCUACUUUACAUCAUUUUGUUUUUAGUUUUAUUUUAUUUUAUUUUAUUUUAUUUUGUGUUGUUGCACCAUUAAUUGCUCCUCCUAAUCUUGCUUUGAGUGCGAUUCUUGCUUCUGGGAAAAGCCAAAAAUUUGGCAAACAAGCUGGUACAGGUGAGUUGGAAGUGCUUUCACUAGAAGCUGCUUAUUAAAGAUCCUCGCUUUACUGCACUUUGAUGAUUGUAGAUCGUUGAAAUUUUAUCUGAUUAAAAUCAAAAAUCAAGCUUAGCCGCAUCAGUUUCAAUUAAGAUUGUAGUACUACCUGACUAAUUUUUAUGGCAUGUAGUGUCAGAUCGUUGGCGCUAACUAUUAAUUAUAAAAGUUCGAGAUAUUAGAAAUACACAAUUAAUUCACUUAGCCUCUGUUUGAUAUGGGGUUAAGGGGUGGAAUAACCACUUAACCCCAUAUUUACUUCCAAACACCCAUAUUUUGCGGUGGGGUUAACAAACCCCACCCCAAAAGGGGUUAUUCGGGAUUAGGCCCUCAAGGGUGGGGUUUGUUAACCUCCCCCCUCACGAGUUUGGCGUUACCCUCGCAUCCCUCCCAACGCACUACUGUAGCUCCUCCCCCAACCUCCAAACUUCUUCCCCGAUUUUCUCUCACAGCCGCUGCUCCCAUCAACCUUGUCGCUGCAGGUUGGACAGCGUUGUGUCCUCCUGAACCGACAACUCCCUGCUUCACCUCCUCGCCGUCGGUCGCAGGCCGUUCACCGCCGGUUGUAAAGGUUUCGGCAAGCCCGAAAAUCCGAAGCCUGUUUCGUGUUGCCGUUGCUCGUAAAGCCUUCACUAACGACAGCACCGCUUCCUCCCUUCUCCUCCUUGCUCCAAGUUGCAUCACACCCCUGAAUUGGGUAGAUCUGGGUAGAUCUGGGUAGAUCUGAGCCGCCUUCACCUCUAAUUUGGGGGUUUUGUCUGUUCCCCUUUCCUCUUGUUCAUCUUCUUCCUCCGAACGCCGAAUCCCUCCCUCUUCUUCCACCGAACGCCGAAUCCGCCCCUUCUCGGUCGCCGCGGGUUGGACGGGCUUGCGUCCGGCCGAAGCAAGUCCUCUCUGCUUGACUUCAUCGCCGUCGGUUGCAAGGGUGUCCGGCCGAAGCAAGUCCUCGGUCACCGAAAAUCCGAAGCCCCCCUAAUCGUCGCCGUUGCUCGUAAACCCUUCAUUGUUGGUCGCCGGUUGUAAGGGCUUCGUGUUUCGUGUUGCCGCAUUAUUUGUGGAAUGAUUUGAUGUACUUAAAUAUUUGUGUAUUAUUAAUGAUAUCCGAAUGGUAAUGCUAAUUUUUAUCAAAUUUCGCAACGUCUGGCAUGAGCGUCAUAAGUGAAGUGCAAAAGUUGGGACUUGGGCGUACGCGUUGUGAUGGUUACAGGUGUUUAUUGGAAGUGAAAGUGUUAUCGGCACAAAUCGAAUUUGAAAACGCCUAACGGUACUCACCUCUACUAGAAGCUAAAUUUGAAAUGUUGAAAAUUAAUAUUUUUCGAGGGUUAAAAUGCAAUUAUAAGUAAAAUAUUAAAAUAGUUCGGAAAAUACAAACAACAAAUGAAAUUUGAAAUUAAGACAAUUUUAAUAUAGUUGUUCUUAAAUUUUAGGAUUUUUUAAAGUCACAAAAGAGUAUUCGGAAAUAUUUUUUGGUACAAAAUUACACUAAAAUUUAUUCAAUUUUAAUCCUCACAAUUAUUUGCAAGUAUUGAAUUUUAAAAACCAAAAAAAAAACUUUUAUUUCAAUACAUUAAUGUGAGGGUAUUUUCGUCUUUUUAUUAUUUAUUUUACCAACCACUAUUCUUCUUAUUCCACCUACUCCAACCAAACACUAUUUUUUACUAUCCUGGAUUAACUUUAACCCCCAACCAAACACAAAAAUACUUUAACCCCACCUUAACCCUGAACUUAAUCCUAUCCCUGGAAUAACUAGUUUUUUCUUAACCCCGAACCAAACGGUAGCUUAAAGUAGACAAAGCACAUACGGAUCUCAGUUAGUUUCACGCCGUUUUGAAUAUGACUUGGCCUUUCACAAAGACUUGCCACGAUAAGGGAGAAGGGGGAACAAGCACACUUAAAGAGCGCAGUACAACGGAGAGCCUAACCUAGCCUUCCGCUAUUUCAAGCGUGAUCUGGCCUCCUACCACAGAGCAGGAGGUUGGCCGAUUUAAGCCAACAUUCAGUACCAAAUAAAUUGUUUAAAAAAGUAAAUAAGUCUAGAAGCUUCAUAUUCCAGACGGGUCAAAUAAAAGCCUACAUAAAUGUUACAAUAUCAAACCGAAUUUGCUUGUUGAGUUGAAACUAAUGCUUAGUUUGGUAUUAAGACCUAUCUAACGUUAUUAGACAAAAUAAAGUUGGGAUAAAAAUAUAUUGGAAUAUGCUUCUGCGUUCUUUGGUGGGAUUGUAAAAAAUAUAUCAUAACCGAUUCAUUGUAAUAUACGGAAUGCAAUAUUACGAACGAAAACAAACAUGAUAUUUUUCCAACGUACUUUCUCACCACACGUGACGCAAUCUCCCCGCAAUCCUAAAUGAAGCUUAAUAUUUGGACCGCCGAUUGCCGUAAGCAUGCAUCAUCUAGUUAAAAUCUUCUCUCAAAAGGGGGCAAUUAUGUCUAUAUUUUGAACUUCUCCUGAUGAAAUUUUGGUAUCGAGUUUUUUAAGUUUGUUUCUUCAAUUAAUGUGCGAGAUACACGUAUCAAAUUUCAGAAGAGUGAGACGUUUUGAUUUUACUUUCUUUUCUUCUUGAAGUUGUAAGGACACAACGUGAGAAGAUCAAACACAAACACUAGCUAUAAUUUAGGUUUUAUUGACUUGUGAUAUUUAAUACACAUAUUAAAUUGAAAGGUUAGUGCAUGUGAUCAUCAUUGUUUGCGAUAGAGCGCUGCUACAAGUACCCCCAAGUGUACCAUAGAAUAUUCUCGAUCACAUGAUAAUAGUAUUAUUACAUUUUAAUCAUUAAUUACGAAACUCCAAACAUCAUUAUUAAACCUUAAGCACUAUCAUUACAUCUUAAAUUCUAAACUCUAAUCUCUCCAUAUGCGUACCCAACACAUCAACAAUAUAAAUAAUAAACAACCUGUACUCAUGCAUGUCGUGACAUGCUAAUCAAAUGCAUUAGACCAUGAGUUUCGCCUUAAUUCAUGUGGUUGGGUUGUACUUAUCAUGCAUGGAAACAUUAGCAUGUGAAUGGAUUCUUCUGAGUUUGAGGUUUCAAUCACAACCCCAAAAAAGUACGUUGCGAUUCCUUUGAAUAUGCUUAUCUUAGUUGUUGCCAUUAAACAUCUUAUAAUGUGGGAUAUUCGUAUCUUACUGGGGACAGAUAUAUAUAUAGAGAGAGAGAGAGAGAGUGGGCUGGUAUGCUUAUCGAAGCACGGAAGCCUUCAUGUUUUCAAGUUGUUUUCGAUGUUCGGACUUUCGAAUCGACGAUCGGUUUCAUUACAGUUGAUCUAGAGUAUCUGAAGUAGCUAGAAAAUAAAUUUUGCUAUUUUUUUAUAUCAUUUGCCUAGUAAUCAAAGGGGCUCAAAAUCAAUAAUUUUAAUGGCCGUGUGAGCCGGUUGCAAGUUUAACGGUGUAGAAAUAUUCAAAUCACGUGAAAUUUUGAUAGAAAAUUCUUUAUACUAUAUAAAAUAAGAUCAAUAUCUUUGAUCUAAAUUUUUAAUGUCAUAUCAUCACAUUUUGUGAGAUUUUUAUUUUCAGCCGUUGAUUUUGAGCCUCUUCGAUCACUAGGCAAAUGAUAUCGAAAAAUCGCAAAAUUUAUUUUCUAGAUACUUCAAAUACUCUAAAUCAAGUCUAACAGAGCCGAUCGUCGAUUCGAAAGCCCCAACAUUGAAAACAAAUUGGAAGCACGGAGGCCUCCGUGCUUCCAUAAGUAUACUAGCCGCACUAUAUAUAUAUAUAUAUAUAUUCCCAAUUCACACUUAUAGACACAUAUUUUAACUAAUAAUUAUCCACUUGAAGUUGUUUUUCAUCUUCUUUUUCCUUUUUUUUUUCUUUUUUGUUUUUUCAAACUCAGAAUCUAUCAACACAGGAAAAAGGGAGAUUUCUAUAUAAUUUUAGUUUUAAGGGCGUAAAAUGCAAACCACAAUAUGUUCGAAAUCGAUUUCGUGUAUUUUAGCCUUUUCUUUUUCGUAUAUCAAUAACAGGAGAACUUCUCGACGUCCGAAUUAAAUGUUUGACAACUAUAAAAGUCUAAUGUGUUAGGUUGCUUUCAGGCUUGAAAAGACAGAAACUUAAAGCUAAAACUUCUAAUUCGAUUGCACUAGAAAGCUAUUCGUGAAAUUUUGACAGAAAUAACCAAUCGAGACAUAUUUGAAUUGUUUUUAAACGAGUGAUCAGCGUCACGCAUGUGAUAUUCAAAAUUAUGUGAUAUUCAAAAUUUAUCCGCUCAAUAAUUUUAGCGAGAAGCGAAAGCUUCAUAUAUAGGCUUUCUUUUUGGAGCUCGAAAGCUUAUUUUAGCUUUGGACAUGUUUGUUUCAACGUAAGUAGAAUUGGGGUGGAAGUGGACUUUGGGUUGAAGUGGAGUUGGGGUGAAAAUUAAUUCACUUUCGUUGUUUGUUUCUAACUAUGGAAGUGCAGUUCUGCUAGUUCUGUUGUUUGUUUGGUUAGAAAUAGAUGACGUAAAAAGUGUAGCUCUUCUCCCCCGGUAUACUUAUCUUCGAAGUGAUAUCAUUAUCUAUUUUGUAACUUAGUUAAUAAUAAAUUAUAAUAAAUAAAAAUUAAUAUAAUUAUAUAUGUAUAUAAUUAUAUAUAUGUAUGAUUAUAAAAUAAAAUUUUUAAAAAAUUGAUUAUUUGUUUGCAUAUAAAUUAUAAUAAUACAACAAAUAAAAUUCUAAAGUUAAAAAAUUAUUAACAUUUAACAAAUUCAUUUUUCAUCAUUUUCUAAAUACACAAAUUAAACAAAAAAAUAUUAAAACUUACCUAACCAAAUUUGAUCAUAUUUUAGACAUACAAUCAAAAUAAAAAAUUUAAUUACUUCCACAAUUGAAUAUAUUUGGAGUUGGGUCUGGGACUCGUGAGAGGAAAGGGUAGAGAAGAGGAUAACUCUAACACAUUAAUUCCCACUCGUCUCUUUUCACCUCACCGAAAUUGACUUCGCCCCAUGGGAGGGGGAAGUCAAUUUCAUUAUUUUGGAUGAACUAGAUUUUCGGGCGUAAUAAAAUUACGGUAAACCAAACAACGGAAAUGGUCUGUUUUCACCGAAAAUUACUUCCCCCUUCCCACUUGCACCCCACUUCCGCGCAAACAAACAAGCCCAAUACUCACAGUCUACACUUCUUAAUUCUUACUCUCGAACAUUCUAGAUACUGGGCCAGGCCCAAUCGGCCCAAUGGUCUACCUCAGUCCAAUUUGAAAACUAGGAUUAUCAAAUGGGCUAGGGCCACUUGGCCCAACAUGGAAAAUUCCGAUCCAGGGCUUAGAAUUUUUCAUUUGGUACUGAGUUCCAUCUAAUGAUUUUUAGGCAAAACGAAAAUUAGGGCAAAGCCAUAUAGAUAUAUGCUUUUUUGUUUUACAGUGGAAUUAUACAGGAUGAUCAACCGCAUAAAAUAUACUGUAACUAGUUGCUAAUUAUGAUGUUACGUACGGAAUAAAUGAGAUUGAUUUUUCAUCGUACUUUCUCAUUAUUUGUAACACAAUCUACAAUCUUCACAUUAUACUACAUAUUUCUCUGUAAUUUCAAAUGAAGUCUGAAAAAAAAAAAAGUACUAAAUAUUUUCAGUAUUAGACUAUUAUUCUAUCGAAUCCAACGGGACUAAUGUUUUCGCUUGUGCCAAGCUCGAACCAAACGCGCUCUAAAUAAAUGUAAUUAAACAUCUAAAAACGGUUCUAAAUAAUUGUGUUGUGGUUAAAAAUCUAUUUAAAAUUCUUUUGACUCUGCAUGUCCCUUUCCUCGAUUAAUUGAGCUUUAUUUUGGUUACCAACAUGAUUACACUCGAACUAAAUUUAACUGUUUUAAGUAAAUUAAUUUUAUAAUUCUAUUUUACCUUGGGCGUAGUAAUUGAGUAUACGUUUUGAACUACCUAGCAUGGAAGUAAUCUUUAGCUUGGAUCAGCUUUUAUGCAAUUAUCCUAAAAAUAUACACAAUUUUUUUUCUUUAGCGUAAUAUACAUUAAUUAAAUUAAAAAUACUAAACUAGAUUAAAUAUAGAUAAUUAGACAACAUAGAUAUAGAGUAUUUUUUGAAAUGAUAUCUGAGCUUUUUUUAAAAAAAUUUGGCUAAGAAUAUAUCGUACAAAAUAAUUAAGUAAAAAUCGCUGUUAUUUGAGCGAUGUAUUACUGUUAUUUUACUGUUAAAGUUAUUAAAAUUUUGUUAUAUUUAUUGGGAAAUGUUGAGCGAUGUAUUACUGUUGCCGUGGGGCACGGGAACGGUGGGAUUCGCUCCUCGCUGUGGCGGGAGCGAAUCUUCGGAGGGGGAAGAUUCCAUCCGUCGAUGCGAAUCUAACGGCCCACGUUUCUUCUCCUCCGCGUCCCGUUGAAAUGGUUACGAAUUGUAAGCUCGGAAUAUUACGUUACAAAAGGAUCAUUCCCGGAAUAUAUUUUAUAUUUGUACUUGCAUAGCACCACCCCGCGAGUGUCCGAGUCAUCCUCCCUGAACCAAGGGCCCCACCGGAGCACCCCGUAGCCCGAUCUGUCCCGUAAGCGUCUUACACGUGUACUCUAAUGUUCGCGAGGGAGUGCAAAGUCCACGCGUCGCGACGUUGGAGGGGUUGUAGUGGAUUUUCGUGCACAGGGCGUUGGAGCGGAGCACGGAGGUUGCCUCUGCAGUUUAUAUAACCACCCCGAGCACCCUCCGAAGCUGCACCCUCUCUCUACAUCUCUCUCUACUCUCUCUCUCUAAGGAAGAGGAGGAGGACGAGGAGGACGAAGACGAAGGAGGAGGAGGAGCCAUGGUGAUGUCGGUGGUGGAGCCGCGGAGGUCGAUAAGGGAAGCGCUGCUCCACGGCGUGCUCGGCGGCGGCGGCGGCGGUGCGCGGCGAGGGCACGGCCCAGCGCGGCGGUGCGGGAGCUACGCGGCGGGCGCCCGAAGAACGUGCUCGUGCUCAUGAGCGACACCGGCGGCGGCCACCGCGCCUCCGCCGAGGCCAUCCGCGACGCCUUCCGCCUCGAGUUCGGCGACGAGUACCAGGUUCGUAUCCCCCCUACCAAAAUCUCACUAAUUCUCCCCCUUUCGCGCUUAAUUUUGAAGCACUUGUUGUCAAAUUUUGAUUCGAUUGUUCUAGUUGAGUAAUGCGGAUCGAACUGGGAUCAUCUUCGCAAUUUUUGAAAAAUUUCGAAAGCAAUUUAGGCUACUAAUCUCGAUAACUUGGGGCAUUUUGUUUCAUCUCAGCUGUCAGAUUACGAAACCCCAAAUCCUAUAUCUCUUUAAUCUCUGCUAGUAAAGUGUUUUAGGGUUCAUAGUUUCAUACAUCAUGUAUAUAUGUAUAUAUGUAUAGUUCCUGAUCAUUGAUCUCAGUAUAGUAUUGCAAUGCAUGCAACUGCAGGUGUUUGUGAAGGAUUUAGGGAAAGAGUACGGGGGGUGGCCGCUGAACGACAUGGAGAGGUCCUACAAGUUCAUGCUGAGGCACGCACGGCUGUGGAAGGUCGCAUUCCACGGCACGUCCCCGCGUUGGGUCCACUGCAUCUACCUCGCCGCCCUCGCCGCCUUCUACGCCAAGUACUCUUUCUAAUUCGAAUAACGGCAUCUGCAUAGCCUAAUUCUCGAUGCCGAGCAUGCUUUGUCGGAAAUUCGAUACAAUCCCUUUGCAUGUUAUCUGAUAGACACAUUGAAUUUUGUUUAUGAUUGAAGGAAGGUGGUGGCGGGAUUAAUGGAGUAUAGCCCCGACAUCAUCGUAAGCGUCCACCCGCUCAUGCAACACAUUCCUCUGUGGGUGCUCAAAUGGCAGAGCCUUCAACAGAGCGUGCCCUUCGUUACCGUCGUCACGGACCUCAACACUUGCCACCCCACAUGGUAAUUCUCUCUCUCUCCCUUUCUCUUCUCUUCUCUUCUCUUCUCUCUAGUUGUUGUCGUCGCAAUCACUAUAUAUGUCGAUCCGUUUCAGGUUCCACACUAGCGUCACUAGAUGCUACUGCCCCUCUCAGGAGGUCGCAAAACGGGCAUUGUUCGAGGGCUUGGACCCUUCUCAAAUCCGUGUAUUCGGUUUGCCUAUUCGACCAUCCUUUUGUCGCGCCGUUCUCAACAAGGUCUAUAUACUCUUGCCUCUUCUGUAGAAUGUAGUGCUCCAGCUCGUAAUUCAGUUUGAUACUCAAAAAUGAUCAACAGGGUGAUUUAAGAAAGGAAUUGGAGAUGGAUCCUCAUUUGCCCGCGGUUCUGCUAAUGGGAGGCGGCGAGGGAAUGGGUCCGGUGGAGGAGACCGCUUUGGCCCUUGAUGAAGCUCUUUAUGACUACGAGCUCGAUAGGCCUGUAGGACAGAUUGUGGUCAUAUGCGGUCGCAACCAGGCGCUCCGGUCUACACUAGAGUCGACCGAAUGGACGGUUCCCGUGAAGGUCGCCCCUCCAUUUCAAUCACAAUUUGAUUGAAUUGAAUAUAAAUUUCCGAGUAAAUAGCGUACAAUGCAGUAUCUGGGCACUUAUUUCUUCUAGGCCGUUCGUAUUGUAGGUAAGAGGAUUUGAGUCCCAGAUGGAGAGAUGGAUGGGGGCUUGUGAUUGCAUUAUUACGAAGGUAUGAUAAAUACUCACUAUUCCUCUAAAUAAUUUCGUGGAAUUUUUUUGUUCUGCAUGUUUAUUUGGCCAUUUUUCGCUGCUGUAGGCUGGGCCAGGUACAAUUACUGAGGCUUUGAUAAGGGGACUCCCAAUCAUCCUCAAUGACUUCAUCCCUGGACAGGUAAGUGAAAAAAACUAAACUAAUUUUUCCGAAACUUCUAUGAUAAGAUUCCAUCUACUAACGGUGGAUUAGUAUUAGCAAUGUAUCUGUUGAAUAUGAAAUAUUAAAAUACUGUUAUCUGACAGCUUAAACUUUUAGCGACAACUAGUUGUUUCACAAUAUCAUUGCGUCUGUGACAACAAACAAUCUAAGUAUCUCAAAGAAACAACAUACGCUUUAUUGCAUAGACUUGUUCGAUCUUUCGCAGGAGGUGGGCAACGUCCCUUACGUCGUGGACAACGGGGCCGGCGUGUUCUCGAAGGACCCGCAGGAGACGGCCGGCCUCGUCGCAAGGUGGUUCGGCCCCGAGAAGGCGCUCCUCAAGAAAUUCUCGCGCAACGCUCUGAGACUCGCGCAGCCGAACGCGGUGUUCGACAUCGUGAGGGACAUCCACAGCCUCAUCCGGCAGCGGGGACCCGUGACGCGCGUCUCCUACUCCGUCGGUUCUUCGUUCCCUUUCUCCGUAUAUUAGAAUUCCGCUAGCUAGCUCAACAUUUUGUACAGAUUGAAUUAUUAACAUUCUUUAGCCUCUUUUAAGUGUGGCUCAUUUAAGUUUAAGGAGAAUUGCAAUGUGUAAGAUGAAAAUAAGCCGCUUAGUUUGCACUAGCUAUCAAUAAGGGCUUGUGAGAUAGAAAGAGAUGAUCUUUCUCCAAGUCCUUAGCUCUCUGUACAUUAUCCGCUAGUAAUAAUAAUUCGUUAAUUAUAAAUUGGUCCAAAAUGCUUUAACCAAUUCCGUUCCCAUUCGAUGUUGGACUAUUGGUCCAAAAUGCUUAAACCAACACUCAUGCACUCCUGGUCCAAAAUGCUUAAACCAGUUUCAUUCUCAUCCGAUAUUAGACUAUGUGAUACCCUUUAUUUAGGCCCUGAUCAUCAGGCGAUAUGAAGCCUAUCUUAUAUUUUCAGCUGGUGAAUAGUUCAAAAUACUUAAUUUCAGUUAUUAUUACUAGAGUCUACAAUUUCUUAUAUUUUCGAUCACAAGUCGGUUUUCAUUCGAUUCGAUGUUGGACUAUAGGGUGUCACAAAACUAGUAUGGGCUUUGAAGAGUUUUUGUGCGUGAAUUGAACACUUAUGGUGGAUACUGAGUUGGAUGUAAUGCAGGUAAAUUGGAGUAAUUCUAGGACAUAUUAUUAAUAUUCCUUUUAUAUUUAAUUGCAGAAACUUUAUUAAGAUUAAAAAUAUGCUAAUCUGAAAGUUUAAGCUUGUGGAGAAAACCAAUUUUUACGCCUUUCAAAGCAAAGCUCUAGAGAAAACGGAUAUAUAUCGGCUCUAUAUAUUUUUUAAUAUUUAAACAAAUUGUCCUACGUGUUUGAAGAAGUAAUCAAUGUGGGAGGCUAAUACGCUUCUAAUCUAAUCUUUUUAUCCUCGGAAUAUGCUAAUCGAAAACCUUUUUAACUCGUGAUUUAUUUGUUUCUACUUAGAUGGAGUCACGCAAGUACGCAGCUCUCUCUCUUCUCUCUCUCUCUCACUGUAGUUUCCCAGGCAUGUGGGAAUUGACCAGUGCAGCAUAUCGAGGCGCGACACGCGGAUUUAAACCCUUUUACCUGAUCAAACUCACGAGAAAAGGUAAUUUAAAAUAUAUUGAAUAUAAGCAUUAAAAAAAACAAAUUUAUUUGUGCAUUAAAAAAAAGGUGUAAACUCACAACUAGUAUUUCAUAUUUAUUAUUUAUUUUAGUUAUUUUGAAAGCUCUCCGCACAGAAUUUGGGGUACGGUUGUUAAAGCAAGAUGGAGUCAUACGAAUCACUUGAGAUAUUCUAAUUAUCUCCGGUGAAAAAAAUAAUAAUAUGUUCAAAUUUUGAUGUGAAAAAAUUUAUUAAAUAAUUCAAAUCAAACAAAUUAAAAGAUUAUAUAUAAUAAAACAAUAAUUUCGUUUUCUGAAAAUGAAAAAAUCAAAACUUUUGAUCUAGGUCGAUUAGUAAGAGAAUUGAAGAAUUACAAGCCAUUUCGGUUUGCCACGGGUCACGUUUCCCGGACCCAAAUCGAUAUCUUAAUUUACAGGUUUUGAGUCCGGUUUAGGUAACGGACUUUAAUUUCACAAAUCUCUACAAAUCCAAACCGUUUAUACCUCUCCUGUCGUGUAAAUUACAAGCCAAUGAGGGACUAAGAAACAGUUACCGCAGAGACUAAAUAAUAAUAAUUAUUAUUAUUAUUAUUAUAGUUCUUGUUACCCUUACGUGAACUAAGUAACUAACAUAUUUCGACAUUUCAAGAAUUAACUAAAAACCUGGUCCAUUAAACUCGGUAUUCCAGACACUGGCGAAGCUAUCUCCGCCGUCCAUUUUAUGCGCCCCGCAUGUACAUCGUGAUUUACACUCAUCAUUUAUACUAAUUACUAAAGAAAACAAAGAGAUGCCAUAUUUUUGGAGAUCAUAUAUCACAACCACAAAGAAACUAAUAUACAACCAUUUGCAGCUGGAGUAGAGCCUGAUCUGGAACUGCUGCUUCUGCAGCUGCUAAUCAAAGCGUAAUGCGCGAAAAAGCCCUCAAGAUAGAGAUUGAGAGAGAACAAAUCGAAUUGGACUCACGAAUCACGGUAUAUCGGCUGCGGCAUCCACUUGAGGUGCAGGUUCAGUUUACCGGAUUUAGCUCCCUCCAACGGAAAACUAUCUGUAAUCUCACCUUCCAGUACAACUCUCGUCAGCGUCAUUAUGCAUCUUCCGAUAUAAUCCUAAGACGAAAAAUGGUAAAGUUUUUAGAUCGAAGAUGAGAUAGCGACAGCGAGAACAAACACAGUUUCUGCAGAAUUAAAUGAAAUUUACUAUUGAGCAAGCAAACCAGAGAGCUUGUGCGGGAACCCACCUUUCUAAAAGUAUCGUGGUCGUAGACUUCCAAAAUAAGCAUAUCAUGAAGGCCAUCUUCCACGACGAAGUCAAAAGUUUGAUUCCAAGUGGGAUUCAAGCUAUCGUUUACUACCUGCACAAUUUCACAUUAUGUAUGACAUAAAAGAAUAAGAUUUUAGACAUAUAUACAUACAUACACACCUAGAAAAUUAUCUAUGUACAUAUAUAUGUCCCUGUAAAAUCUGAACUUUCAUGUAUGUCAUGAUGCAUAAAUGUGAUAAUUCAGAUUUUACAGUGGUAUAUAUAUAUAGAGAGAGAGAGAGAGAUGAUUUUGCAGGGAAAUGUACGCUAAAAUCUCAUAGAAGAAAAAAUAAAAAAAAGAUUGUUUGAGAAUUCUCUGAUGGAGAAGGAAGAUACCCUUGUUUUAUAUUUCGUCUCAGUUUUCUUCAUUGUGAGCGCGACGAACGGGUCGGCCUUUCCCAUCAGAUCCAUCGCAGGCAAGUCCUCAGCAGAUAUAACAGUCACCGAAAGCACUCCUCUCAAAAUAACAUCCCUUUUCCUCUGCUUUGCUUUCCCUUCAAUAUCACCAGCCUCGGAUCCGUUCACCUCGCUUUUGAGGACCUUCUCCAGAGAAGUCAUUGACACUUUACUGGCAAAAGGGUUAACGAAACCAUUUUGCAUUCCAAAGGGACAAUAAAGAAGCUCUAGGUGUACCUGAUGAUCGAUGGGACAUAAGGUUUCAAGUAAUUUGCACAAUUAAAUGCAAAAUAUACAAAAUGUCCUAGAAAUAGUUUACUGGCAAACCAGUGGCGGCCGAGAAGGUGAUGAAUACAGACCCAUUUUAAGGGCAUAUCAAUUAUACAAGCUGCUAUUUAUCAUAUAGCAACUUGUUAAUAUUUUAGUUAACUUUCAACAAUGUGAUGAGACACUUAACUAACUCAUUUUUAUGGGCAGGUAUAAGCAACCAACAAGUAAAAGCAUAAUAGGAGGUCAGGUUAGAAAUUCUGAGGAAAAUGCAAGAAUCAAAAGUUGGAAAGCUAACCUGACCACGAUUUUUCCUGUCUCUCUGUACUUCCAAAUCUUUAACAAGAUUCAACCAGACAUCUUUCACCUUUCCUGGCUCAAGGUCCCUUAAACUUACUCGAGCACAACCAAUUAGCUCCGCUUUUUGAAUUCCUUCAUCAUCAUAGAUUUUUACCGUCAAAUGCUGAGUAGAUGAGUCCUCAACUAUAAACUCAUAGUGCUCAUUCCAGAUGGGGUUUAAGUCAUUGUUCUAUAAAAGACAUACAAGUGUUAGAAGAUGUAAGGCUGAAAUAAAAAAAAAUAAUUUUUAUCUGUUCUUACAAUUGUUUUGCUUCUCUUGAUUCUGUCACGUAAUGGGCGUAUGUAUAGUUCGGCAAAAGGAUCAGAUUUUCCCACUAUGUCCUUGUUUGUUAAAUCCCUUGCUUGCACAAGUUUCACUUCCAAAACUCCAACAGGUUUUAGCUCCAGGUCACUACAGAACAAUGAGGAUGUAUUAAUAUUACUGACAUGUAUAAGCAUGUUUCCCCUACAAUAAAUCGGUUCAGGGUCAAUUUUUUCCCUAAUUGUAAUUUCUCUAACUGUAAUAUGAUGCACAAGAAAACCCACUGACAUUUAUAGCUAUAAUUGGGACCAAAUGUUUGAUUCAGUGCAAAGAAACUCACCAAUUAGCUAAUGUUCAGAUUUUUCUACCAUAUAAAAUGUGGUGGGUUGAUUUCCAUUUUUUUCACGAAAUUAAACUUCCUAAAUUAUGUACUGAGCUUUUUGCACAAAAUUCAUAUUCUGGACAAAAUUAUUCUUCGAACAGAACUAAAGUUACUGAGUUGAAGUGUAAUCAGUAAUAAGCUGGUACAUUUUCGUGGCUUCAAUCCGAGAUUGAAAGGUAUUUUCAUGAAACUACCUGUAAUCACCAGGUAUAAUAGGAAUAACUUUGCGCACAGGCCAUGUAAUUGAGUCCUCAAUAGCAUCACGUAUUGUACCCUGAGAAACGACACAUUUUUAGCUUGUCAAUAAGUAUGCAUUAUGGGCAUGCAAAAAGAAGAGCUUAAAAUGUAUUUGGUGGGGAUUAUUGGACCUCAAUAGCAUCUGAAAUUCCAGGAAUAGCCGAUAUUUCACCACCGAUAACCUUGAGGGUGAAGUCGAGCUUUUUCUACAGUCAAAAGUAUGUUGUAAAUUCUCCAUCUAAUGCUGCAUUAAUUUAAAACGCAGUUAUUAGAAGAAAAUGUAUUACCUUUUCUCUCAAAGAAUAAGAGACAGCUCCAAAGCAGGGAAAUUGAUCCACCAGAGGUCUACAGAUUAUUCGAAAUACACCAGUGAAGCCAAUGUUUUUUACCUAAAAAUUGGAGAAUUUGAAUCCAGGCAAUUACAACUCUUUCUUAGGUUAAAACCAAUGAACAAAGUUAAAAUUCCAGUCAUAUCAAUAUUUAGACAAACUUAGGAAAACAACAAAAUAUGUUUCAAACAUCAAGUACAUACAAUACAAAAAAAAGGGGGAAAAAUAAUUCCUAAUUUAACAUUAAGUGCACCAGAAGUCCUAAUAGAUUGCAAGAAAGACCAUAUUAUAUGAAAUUAGUUUGAGAGGUCGUCUGUUUGCUUUUGAAAUGAAAUUAUGAAAUUAAUCCAAGUAAUAAAAGUGACUCUAUACACGUUGAAAAAUCAUAUUAUGGAAGAAUAAAAGCUGACAAAUAUCAGCAGAGUAGUUUAGUAAUGAUAUGGAUGCAGGCAAGGAAGAAGAAAUGACUUCUCAAACAAUAAAUAAUGAAAUUCAAUUUUAAGGUAGCACUUUCUUAAAUUACCUGUACAGGAAGAGCCAUGCCAAAUGUGGUCUGGAUAUCAAGCACAAUGUUUGGAUUACCAUCCCAUUGCAUCUCUAACUCCAAAGUUAUUCCAGAGCUGUCAUCGUCAAUGGUAGAAACACCUAAAGAAGAGAAUUAUCUUAAGAACAGGAUAAAGCUUUGCAGUAAGGCAAUACAUUUAAAAGAACAUUCCCAUGCCGUUUGCACUUAGAUUGAACGUGGCAUAUGCCUUGUGGCAACUCAACAAUCAAUAUAAAAACAAAGAAGUCACUUUACAUCGCAUGUCUCAAUUAGAUAUUCAGUCUUCAGAAAACACAGAACAUAAGCACAUCGCCACAUCCUUACACAUAGGCCCUAAAAUCUUAGGCUCUAUCAUACUCUUUUAUGGUUUGAUUCUUGCAGUAAAAGUUUCAUUGCUAACAUAAUAUACAGAGCCAAUUUAGUCCAACGUAACAGGGUAACUACUCCUUCAAGCGCUGUAAACAGAAAAGUUCUAACUGAAGCUUCAAGCUUCCUAAGUAAAUACAACAUGAAAGUAUGAAACCACUAUAAGCUUCCACACUUUAAAUUUUCAGCUACAGAAGUUCAUACUAAAAGCACAUGACGGGUAAUUAUACAUAGUGUACAAAUCAUCAAACAAGAAGUAUUUUUCAGGCGUUUCUGAAGUUGGUAUUCCAUAUUGUUCCUUAACCAAAUAUAAGAAAGAUUAUUUUGAAAACCAACCUGUAAACUGCGGAGCGACAGUACCGAGUGUUAGCUUCGAAAAUUUGAGCGAACCCAAGAUGGCAGAUCUAUAUUGCUCAAGAAUCGGCUCUACAGAAGUUUUUAUCAGCUCUGAUGCAGCCUGUGAGAAAACAGGUUUCAGUUAAACCAAAUCUACAAGUCUCCAAGGAAUAAUUUUCCUUAGAUGAAUCACACAAUCGGUAUAAAAAAUAAAUUAAGCUUUCAGAGUUCGAAGCACAUGGUUACAAAGCAAUGGAGGAGAAAUAGACACCUCAUUAACAUAAGGCCAGAUUUUCGUCAAUUCGAGGUUGAGCCAGGUCAACUGAAAGAAGAAAAGAAGUCCCAAGUCAAUAUGGCGAAAGAAUCAGGAGAAGUUAAAAAUGAAACCUUGAGAAGAUAUAAAUAACUCAACUUUUGGCGCUGUGAAAAAACAACCCAUGAUGGGUAAAAUUCAGGAGGAAGAAGUUUCCUUAUAUCUUGAAUGGUCAUCUUUGAAAAAGCUGCGACUGCAGCAGCCUGCAAACGCAUGUUAUCCAGUUCAGAUAUCAACGCCGAUUUUUUUUUUUCUUUUCCAGAAUUGUCAUAUAAUCAGUUUCAAAUGAAUUAAAACAGUUACUAGCUAGUUCCAAGUUUGUAAAAAUCUGAAGACACGAAAGUGAACGGAAAAGACCAGAGUAAGUUCAUGCUUAUAUUGAAGCACAUCCUAUACUAAAAAGAUUACCAUCUAUAAUUUAUCUUUUCGGCAACAUGGCAUUGGAGCCAAUUAUGUUUUCCUUUACGUCUCGUGAUAUCGUGAGUUCAAAUCCCCAACAAACACAUUUAAUGAGCUAAUAUAUCUCCAUCCCUUACUUCACCUGCCAUUUUCAUGUACUUUCAUAUCCAUUCUACAUUUUUUUGGGGAGGGAGUAAAAAGUGGAGGUGGUAAAACUAUUCCUGUUGGGGGAACGUUGACAAUACCAAAUUCCUACAGUUCAAAGUGAUAAAAACUGCAUUUUUACAGUACAACUCUGACAAUAUACGCUCAAAAUUAUUAUCACUAUUAUCUUUUCAUACCAGUCGCGUCCAUUAAGGACACACUGAGCUCAAAAUUGAUCGACGAAAUAAAAGAAAAGAAAAAAAACUAAUCAAGUAAGCAAAAUUAUAUAAGCAAUCCAAAAACCAAAACCAAAAAAAAAAGGAAAAAAGAAGUGGGAUCAAAACUUUACCAGCUCACUUCGCUGCUUCGCCCGCGAAUUCUCGAACCGUACGAAGGCCAUCACGAGCCCGAUCCCGAACGCGAUCCCCAUGACCAACCCGACGAAGAACGACAUCCCCCAAGUCACCAAAUUUAACCCCCCCCUAUAAAAUCGUAACCACAACCCGAAUCGAUCGAAGAAGAAAGGGAGCGUUGCGGUACACGAAGGGGAUUUGGAUCACUUUAUAGGAGAAGAGAGAGAGAGAGAUGGGGAGGGGGAAGGGAUCGAAGAGGAGGAGGAGGAGGGAGAAGGGUUUCGUAUUUUGGCUCUUUGAGGUUCGUUCCUUCGAGAGAGAGGAGGAGGAGGAGGAGGAGGAAGAAACAAAGCGGUGAUGGUGGUAGGGACGAGGCGGGGUUUGCCGACCGGGGAGAGCACACGUGGCCCAAGUGAGCGGCACGUGCCCAUUUCUCCAUGAGGAAACGAUAAUAAAUACGUAUUUGGUCUAUGGUGCACCAGGUGCACUGAAAAUAGCCUUUUGGCCUAUGGUGCACCAGGUGCACCAAAAACAGCCCACAGACCAGUGGCAGCGUAACACUAUAACUCUUUCCUAUACUUAUUUGUUUGUAGUUAAGUUGGUUUUUGUCACUAGUGCUUUUUAAAAAAAAAAAAAAAAAAAUUAUUCAGCCUCAGAGUAAAGUUAGAAUAAUUUUAGAAAGAAAUAAAGUAAACCAGUUGAUAAACAAAUUUCAUAAUAUUUUAGAAAUUGUAUAAUUUAAUGAUUAAAUUUUUCAUAUCCAAAAUAUAAAUUAUAUUUAUCUUCUCAUGGUUUAUAAAUUUUAGUUAGUGCGCCAACAAUAUGCUCAUGAUAUAUAAGCUACGCAAAUUUUAUAGAAAUCGAAUUUUACGAUUCUACAAUAUCUUUUGCCUGAUAACUAAGUAAUCACAAAUUUGCUUUAUAUUAUAUAUUGAAAAUUAUCAAUUUUAAAAAUUUUAAAUACUACGUCUUUUUAUUAUGAGCUGCUUCGAUCAGCCAAAACACAGCUCUCGCCCCAACCUAUGCCGAAUAGAGCGAUAAGUGGGGCAAAAUAUAAUAUAAAAAUUAAUCAUGCCCCUUGAAUUUGCCCCAAUCCGCUAAGAAAAUAGAACGAAAGUUGGGGGACCUUUCUUAUCGCCAGAUCUGGUCCAUUUCAAUCUCUUGGGCCAAGUCCAAAUAUAUUUUUAGAAAGCAUUUCAUUUGCUUCUCUUCAUGGAAGUUUUAUUUUCCCAUAAUGUAUUCUAAUUUUUGGUCUGAUUCCUCUUCUGAUGAUCGAUUCAAUCUCUGGUAAAAAAGAUAGACAUUGGUUCUUAUAGUUUUACUUGCAAAUAUUGAAGUCCAAUUGGUGUCCAAUUACAGCUGUUCUUUGGGCUCAAUUUGGCUUCACAAUGUUUGAAUCCCAUUAAGUUUACUUGCAUUAAUAGCAAAUAAAAAAAAAAUUAUGGUUCAAAUUGUACACAUCUUAGCUGAACUACAGUGCAUUGUAACUUGUAAGUAAGAUGGUUACCUAAAGUUUAUUAAUCUUGAUCCAACUUCUAAUCAUUGUAGUUAUUUCUUACUUUAUAAAUUUUGGUCAAGAUCUGUUUGCAACAAAAUUCAAAUAAUAUCACUUUUGGGACAUUAUAGAGAACAGACAUUAUGUUUCGCUAGAAAAAUAUCAUACCAAGUAGGUCACAUUGUCUCAAUGAUUAGGUAUAAAUGUAUAAUUUCUGUGGUUCUAUAGAAAAAUAAAAAAGCGUAACUCUUUUUAAUCAACAGUGAACAAAUUCAUAGUAAAAAUAUUUUUUCCUCCUUUUUUAAAUUAACCAUACAAAACUAAGGGGUUAUAUUUCCCCUUCCCACAUUCAAUAAUUUAGAUUUUGCCAUAUUCAAAUUGCUCACUCAGUAGUACCAAUAAUUAGUGUGUGGGGUAAGAACUUGCCCAGAAAAAAAUAAUAAUAAAGACAAAAUUUCAUUAAAUUUAUAUUACAUAUAAAGACAAAAAUGAGUCAGAUGUAAGGUGCACCCUCUUAAUUCAAUCUAUCCAUACAUCUCAGCCCACGUGGGAGAAAAGAAACAGGAUAUGCUCUCCACCAACCAGGAAAAUUACCUUAAUCACCCACAAUGAUGAUGAAAGAGAAAACAAAAAAAUUAAAAAAAGAGAGAAGUAUUUUUUAUGGUAAGAAUAAUUUUUUUAAAAUUUUUUGAAAGAACGCAUUUGAAUUUCAAAUUUAGGAGGGCUAUCUAUUUAUAUGCAUGCAUAGAGACAUCUCUGAGUAAGUCGUAAUUUUUCAAGAUAAAAAAGUGAAAACCAACCCGACUAUAAACGUUGACGUUCUUUUAAUUUUACCGUCACUAUUCAAUGCAGUUGAAUAAUGUCUUUAAGGUGGAGAAUUUUAAUUUAAUUAAUUGUAAAAAAUAAAAUUAGAAAAAUAAAGUUGAAGGGCCUAUUUCAAAAAUAAAGUUGAAAAAGUUUAAAAUACACCAGUUAUAUUACUGAUGUGGUGUCCCUAAUCAAUAAGAUUAUUUUUUUUGGAUUCAACCGUCCUAUCAUGAUUAAUAAAAAAUUUUAAAAAAUAAUUUUAUUUUGUUUUCUCUUAAGAAAAAGGAUAUGAUUGAAUUGUUACUAAUGAUGUGAUGUAAGUGCGAUACAGUAAAUUUUUUCUCAGUAUAUAUAUUUUUUAUUAUUCUAUAUAGUAAAUAAGAAAGAUUUUUUUUUUAAAAAAAAGAAAAAGCAGAGAAUGCACUUCACGUUUAAAUUUAAAACAAAUGUGUCGUAUUGAAGUAGUCAAUCACAAGAGUAUAGAAGGAUCCGGUUCUUCAAAUUUUUAAUAGCUAGUGAUAGCAACUGUUAUACUAAUCCUAUCCGCCUCUUACUUUCUCCGUAGCCGCACAUCUCCCAACGUGCGGCCGUGAUUGCUCCACUCAAGUAAACUCCCCCAUCAUCGCCUUAAAUUAAAAAAAAAAAAAAUCUCUUCUUCCCUCCUCUAUCUCUCUCUCUCUCUCUCUCUCUCUCUCUCUCUGAGAGCUCUCGAGCUCAAACAAUUGCGACCAUGGCGGGGGACGAAGACGACGAGCAGAGCUCGUCGCUAACGGAGUCCCUGUUGCAACACAACUCCAUCCACCUCCGCCGUAGCUCCCCCAACAACACCUCCCAAUUCGCCAUCAUCGGCUCCAAUUCUUGCCCCAUCGAGAGCCUCGAUUACGAGUAAUCUAUACCCCAAUUUCCCCAUUUGUAUCCGUAUUUCCCAUGUAUUUUUUUUUUCAGGGUUUUGAUUGAAACUGGGGUGUGAAUUGGGCUCAGGUUGAUCGAGAACGACCUCUUCAAUCAGGAUUGGAGGAGCAGGGGACGCGCCAUCAAGUUGAGAUACGUUUUCCUCAAGUGGACCUUUUGUUUGCUCAUAGGGAUUAUCGUUGGUGCGAUUGGGUUCUUCAAUAACCUCGCUGUUGAGAAUAUCGUGGGGCUCAAGCUCGUCGCGGUGUCGAAUUUGAUGGAUGAACAUAAGUAAAAAUUCCAUCUUUUUGCCUUUUUCUUUUGGGGGUGGUUUUGGGAUUGGAAUUGAACUGGGUAUGUGGAUUUUCUUUACUUUUUUGUGAUUUGGGUGCAGGUAUUGGACUGCGUUCGGCGUGUUCGCCACUUCGAAUUUGGUUCUUUUGUUGUUCGCAUCAGCGAUUACGGCUUUCGUGUCCCCGGCCGCCGGAGGAUCCGGGAUUCCGGAGGUUAGGGCUUAUUUGAACGGUGUCGAUGCACCCGAUAUCUUCUCUCUGCGGACUCUUGCUGUAAAGGUGAGUUUUUUAGGCUGAUCACUUCAUUGGCGAUUCAAUUAGUCCAAUUUGUUUAUGAAAUAUCCCUGUUCUUUACUUUGUUGGAACAGUUGAAUUUAGUAAAUUUGAGCUUCCACUACUGUAGAUUUGGAAAAUAAUAGAUCUAAUUUAUGUGAGCCUAAAGUAAAUUGUGAUGUAAGGUUAUUGUGGUCCUGUGGGACAAUAAAGUGCUGAGAAUGUAUGAAUUUAAUGUAUUUGAGAUCUCUGUAACUUUUUGACUCCAACUUUUCAUCUUUAAUAAAGUAGCAAGUGAGGUUAAGAUUAGUCACUGUUUUCUAUAAUAAAGUAUUGUUCACAGUUACACUAUGAAAGCAGAAGAUCUCUGAGUUGUGAAUAAUUAAAUUCAACAUUUUGGUUCAAACCACAAGUUGAAAUUUCUGACAAAAUUAAAAUUUUCAUCACUCCUAUAACAAGUAAAAUUAAGAUUUACUGUUAUAUCUGUCUGUUUAAACCAUGAAGACUGAAAAUAUUUGAAUUUUAAAUGAAAUUGAUGCCAAUAGUUUGUUUCAAUUGCAGAUUAUAGGUACCAUCACUGCUGUAUCAUCAUCCCUCCAUGUGGGCAAGGCUGGCCCCAUGGUGCACACCGGUGCUUGUGUCGCAGCUUUUUUCGGGCUGGGCGGGUCUCGUAAAUACCGCCUCACAUGCAAAUGGUUGCGGUUCUUCAAGAACGAUAGAGAUAGACGCGACCUUGUGACGAUCGGAGCUAGUGCUGGAGUUGCAGCUGCUUUUCGAGCCCCAGUCGGUGGUGUUUUAUUCGCUCUUGAAUCACUAGCAUCAUGGUAUUUCUUAAAUCUUCCUUUUUGAACUUACUUUCCUGAGUAUCUUAAAUUGGUUGUAUUUUUCUUUAAAAUCCUGGAAUCGACACACGCAUUCCUCACAAAUAAAAGGAAGGUGGAGCAAACUUCUUAUUCCAAGCAAUUUCAGAUACCUGUUUAGUUAUCAGUAAAUAACUCGAGGAUAAGAUUUCUGACGAUAAUCUGGUUUUUUUAAUGAAUGUUGUUUGUCUAUGCUAGUUAAUCGACUUGCUUUACUGCAGGUGGCGAAGCGCACUGAUUUGGAGAUCGUUCUUCACGACUGCAGUAGUUGCUGUCGUGCUUCGGUUCUUCAUUGAUAUUUGCAACAGCGGACACUGCGGUUUAUUUGGGAAAGGUGGACUUAUAAUGUAUGAUGUUACCUCAGAUACUAUGACUUACCACCUUGCAGAUUUACCUCCGGUGAUCCUUCUUGGAGUUAUUGGGGGAGUACUGGGAUGUUACUACAAUUUCCUCAUGUCAAAAGUUCUCCAAAUGUAUAGUUUGAUUAAUGAGUAUGUCUCUCGCUCUCUAUGUAUAUGUUUCUGGGUUUAUUCUUGAGUUAUAAUUAUUUCCUUGAUUUGUUAUGUCUCUCUAACAUUGUCGAAUGGAUAUGUCGUGCGUACUAUUAUCAACCACUUUUCAAUUUAUGAAGAAAGAACCUAACUUCUUUUUAACAACCUUCUUUCUUCUUUAUUUUCCUUGUUCUAGGAGGGGCCCCAUACACAAACUGCUCCUCGCUGCCGUUGUCUCCAUUAUCACUUCGGUUUGUCUAUUUGGUCUCCCUUGGUUAGCGGCCUGCCGACCUUGCCCCUCUAUGAUGAAUGGAGAUUGCCCGUCCUCCAACCGGUUCAAAAGAUUCCAAUGCGCUCCCAAUCACUACAAUGACCUAGCUAGCUUAUUCUUCAACACCAACGACGACGCAAUAAGGAAUCUCUACACCACCGGCACAAACGAUAUCUACCACCCACUCACUAUGGUGAUAUUCUUCAUUUCCUCUUACAUUCUUGGCAUAUUGAGCUAUGGAGUGGUGUCGCCCUUCGGCCUAUUUGUACCAAUCAUUCUGACCGGUGCGACCUAUGGACGCUUAGUUGCAGUGCUAUUGGGCUCGCACUCAAAUCUCGAUCACGGCCUUGUUGCCAUUCUUGGGUCAGCUUCCUUCUUAGGUGGAACAUUAAGAAUGACUGUCUCAGUUUGCGUGAUCAUCGUAGAACUAACCAACAAUCUGUUGCUUCUUCCUUUGGUCAUGUUGGUUCUCCUCAUCUCUAAAACCGUGGCGGACUCCUUCAAUCACAAUAUCUACGACAUUAUUCUACAGUUGAAGGGUCUUCCUUAUCUCGAAGGCCAUGCAGAGCCUUACAUGAGGCAGCUUACGGCCGGGGACGUUGUCACAGGACCAUUGCGAAUCUUUAAUGGAGUUGAGAAAGUCGGUAACAUUGUCCAUAUUUUAAAGACGACAGGGCAUCAUGCAUUUCCGGUAAUAGACGAGCCGCCGUUUUCACCUUCUCCAAUAUUGUAUGGCUUAAUUCUUCGAGCACACCUUCUAGUUGUGUUAAAGAAGAAGGAUUUCCUUCCAACUUGUACACGGUUGGGGGAGAAGGCGUUGAAGAAGUUUGUGGCUGAUGAUUUUGACAAGCGUGGAUCGGGCAAACAGGAUAGUAUUAAUGACAUAGAUUUCACGCCCGAAGAGAUGGAGAUGUUCAUUGAUUUGCAUCCCUUUAGUAACACUUCACCUUAUACAGUGGUGGAGACAAUGUCACUGGCCAAAGCUUUGAUGCUUUUCCGAGAAGUUGGGUUGAGGCAUCUCCUGGUUGUGCCAAAGUCCUCUGACGUAAGCGCAUUUGCCUUGGUUUAUGUUCUUUUCCUUUACCUAUAUUCCUAGUAGUUUUAACUCCAUCUAUUUUUCAUUGAUUUGGAAAGGCUAAUAUGUAGGAUACUCUGUUAAAUUUCAUGAUUUUCACAUUUCCGCUCUGAAACUCAAAACCUACAUAUUACCCCAUCGAUCUGCGUGUUAAAUGAAAGAUUUUAAUUUGAAGGACAAUAUAUACGUUUCACUAAUAAGUCAGGGAGGUAAUGUGAAAGUCAUAAUAUUUAAAAGGGUUUCUCGCGAUCUAGUAAUUCGGAGUUUCGCAUUGCUUAAAGGGAUUUUUUUCUAACAAGAUAGCUCAUUGCUUCUUUUGUGAGCAAUGCAGAGAGAACCAGUAGUUGGGAUAUUGACAAGGCAUGACUUUAUGCCUGAACACAUACUGGGGUUGCAUCCCUACUUGAUGAGCAGCAGAUGGAAACGACUACGAUGGCGACCGUCUACUCUGUCCAAGUACUUGAGAUCGUUCGUUCUGUGGCUUGCUCAUAGAACCUAAUCAAAACUAUGAUCAUUACAGCAAAGCCUUGUGCAAUCUUUUUGUAUUGAACCCCGAUGGUCGGGAUUCUUCGAAUAUCUCGAGCGGAAACUGGUAAUUCGUGGAUCCACUGUUCAUGUGUUUGUUAUAGUGUAAAAUGAUAGUUGCAGCUCCUUGGUUCUCAAAGAUUUGUAUUGAGUGAGUACCGAUUCUUCAUUUAGUACCAAAAUACAGAAAAAGGUGUUUUUUUUUCCUUCAUUGUAUUAUUGUUCUUUUUUGUGCUAUGUUGUAUGAUUGUUCUUGGUGAGCAUGUAAUAUUGCUGGACUUGCAUAUCUUGAAAUAAAAGGAUGCAAUAUAUUGCAUUUACUGAACAGCUUCAUGGUGAGAUCUUUCUUUUCUGCUUUCUCAGUGGCUGAAAUUGUAUGCAGAAGUGAUGUUGUUUGUUUAGCUUAAUGCUGCUGAUACAGAUUAUAAUUUACUUACUAAUGGUUGAUUUUAUACAAUGGGAAAUAGAAAUUUAUAUGUACAUACAUUAGGGAAAAGAAUGUAUGGAUAGUCCUGUACAAUCCUGAUACUGCAACUUAGUGCCUGUAUUUUUAUCUAAACACUCUAGUUUCUGAACUUUCUCAUAUAUCACAAUUUUCUACCCCCACUUCUUGUACACUGGAAAUAUGAAACUCAUUUUACAGCUAACAGUGGAAGUGAAGUAUACGAGGAGGUUCAGGGACUGAGAAACAAUAUCCAGAUAGUACAGGGAGCUUAGAACAGGAAAAAGAAAAAAAAAAACGUAGCUUUCCAUAUCACAACAUUGUACACUUAUCAUCAGGAAACAAAAAAUGUCUCAAUUCCAAUUUUAUAAAAAUAACAUAGUGCAGUGAAAUGAUCCAUCCAAGAACAAUAUAUCAAACUGGGGAUAACGUAGAAAAUACAUUACAAACCACCAAAAUAUGAAAAUUCAGAUAUCUCAAUCUCUGCAAUCUGUUAUGAAUGCAACACGAGAAAUAAAUAAAUGAAUGGUCGCAACUUUAGUUGACGAUGAUGGUAAUUUGAGUUAAACCAUUUAUCACCAACUUGGGCAGUCUUGAUGAUGAUGGCAAUUUAAGUUGAACCAUUUAUCACCAACACAGAUGACAUAAAGAACUGAAUUUCUUUAGGGUAAAACGGGUGACACUUUAGCCUCAAAUUUUAAUUUGUUGCAAGUUCUGGCUCGAACUUUCUAAGUUUUUGUAAUAAAAUCCCACAAUCCAAUUUACUUGACUAGAUGCUGACGUGUCAUUAAUAUAGAAGUAAUGUGGUAGUGUUAUAAUUGAUGAUAUAGCAAUGAUUAAGAUGCCAUAUCACUUCCACAUCAUCAACAUGGUAACAUUUAGUCGACUAAAUUGGGUUGUAGGACUUGAUUGCGAUAAUUUAAAAAGGUUGAGUCAGAAAUUGCUACAAAUUAAAAUUUGAGGAGCUAAGUAUCAUGAGCCUCAUAGCAUGAGGGCCAAAAGUGUAUUUUACCCUUUUUUUUUCCGAGAUUCAACAAAUACACAGUUUCAUGUAUACGAGGAUCUUUCAUGUUCGAAGGCUCUUUCUGUAUCCCCUUCUUAUCUCCCAUAGCUGUUCUCCAACUUCUUUCAUGUCGGGUCGGUCGCUACGAGUCGGCGCUGCACAUUGAAACGCCAGAUUAAGCAUCUUACCGACAAUCUCUUCGUCUACUGCUUCCUCUAGCAAAGGAUCUACUAUUUCUCGCACCUUGCCUUCGCUGAACUUCUUGAAAGCCUGCAUGAAUAUAAACGUAAUUGUUUCAAUGCCUUAUUUUUUUAUUCUUGCGUAAUAAGACUCCGCUCUACUUGGGGAUGACAGGGGACAACUUUAUUUAUCACUCUUAUUUCAUCAAAUGCACAAAUUUCGAGAAAUGAUGGUAGUCCGAUAAAUCGGGUUAUUCAGAAAAACCUGGGACUAACAGUUACAACCUCCCCCUAGAAAGUUUUAACACUAUAUAAUCCCCAUGUGUUCCCAUAAGUAUAAUGAAUAUAAUCUUCAUUGUUACAAUUAUCCAUGAAACAAUUUUAUUUAACCCUCUGAUGUCAAAAGCAAAGCUAGCUUUGUCUUCAGUAGAAACAAGGAAACAAUGUUGUUGUCAUACUUAAAUUUAUCCCUCAACUACACUGUUCCCUAGAGAACAGAUAACUUUGAGUAGGCAAAUAAUUUCGAGAACAACAUCAAGCAGUGUAUCAAAUGGAUUGAAAGAGAAUGAUCUUAAUCCAUACCCAUCUAAUAGUGAUCCUCUCAUCAGGACUUCUCUUUAGUUCAACGGGACGGCGCCCAGAAAUUAUUUCAACAAGGAGAAUACCAAAGGAAAACACGUCGCUCUUUGGCGUAAGCUGAUAGGUCCUCAGGUAUUCCGGAUCGAGGUAUCCUGCUGUUCCUUUGACUUUGGUCGAGAUAUGAGUCUUCUCCGUGUCAGUAGGGCCACUUCUUGCAAAACCAAAGUCGGACACUUUGGCUCUGUAAUUAUCAGUAAGAAGAAUGUUGGAUGACUUCACAUCUCGAUGAAUUAUUGUCUUUUCUGUUUACAUAGUCAAAUUUAGAGAAGACUUGUUAGUGUUAAUAGAAGCAUAAAAGAAUAAAUGACUACACGAAAUUCUGCAACAUAAAAUGUUAAAUUGCAUGCGUGCGUGCGUGCGUGCAUGCGUGCUUGCGUGCGAAAGUUGAGUUGCUUUCAUUUUUUCACGUAAUUUCCUUGUUAUCGAUUUAUCAUCAAGACAUAUCUUGCUCCAUAUUCUUCAUUAGUGCUCAUGUCCGCUUAUAGCUAAAUGAACAAUGGCAUUCAUUGAUUUGCAAAGAAAAAGGACUACUAUUUAAGCAGGUAUGUAUAUGCAGAUAAUUUUGAAGAUUUGAAGUCCUACCUGCGUAAAGAUGGAGAUAGGUCAGUGCAUGAGCAACAUCAAUAGCUAUUUCCAGCCGUUGGUUGAAAUCUAGGAUCUUCCCCCGUUGAACUGCAGAAAAAGACAAUUGCAUAAGUAACUUCAUUUCGAGUGAGAAAAUAAAACUAAGAUAGAAAAGAAAUACAGUUUACCAUCCAAGUGCUCUCUAAGAGUACCAUUUGGAACAAACUCGGUUAUGAUAAUGCGCUCAUUUCCUUUAUCGACAAAACCUAGUAAUCUCACUAAGUUCCUAUGAUCAAUUUUUGAAAGCAGCUCAACUUCAUUACUGAAUUCAUCUCGAGAAGCUGGAAAUUGUUCCUGUGCAAGUGUUGUUAUCAACAGAGAGCCAAGAAAAUAUUAAGAAAUUUAUCAUCAAAUAUCGAUAUGAAGAAAAUGAAGAAACAUUCGAGAAGGGAAAUAGCUUAAAAGAUAAUAAAGUAUCAUUAAUAGUAGAGUCCCAUCCAAUUGUUUCUAGAUAUGAAAUUUACAAAAUAAACAUGAGAAUUAGCACAAAGAUACCACAUCGAACAUGUGGCUAUGAAGAUAGGAUGUAACGAGACUAGUAGAAAAGGUCCAAGGAUAAUACUAGUGGCAGUAUAAGAGAGAAGUACAAAGUUUAUAUUAGAGGAUUUAAUUUAGGUGUAAAAAAAUUAGCAUAAGAAAAACAUAGAAAAACACCUUCUUUGCUCGCUUAAUAGCAACUUCUUGGCCAUCUGGCAAAACAGCCCUGUAAACGGUUCCAAAUCCUCCUUCACCUAACUUAAAGGCAGGUGAAAAGUUCUGCGUAGCCUUAAAAAUCUGAUGGAUGGUGAGAUGUACCGAUCCAAUUCUACUCAGCUGUGGGGACAUUGAAAAUCUAGAUGGACUCGGAGGGACUCUUAGUGAGCCUGCCACAGUCCUUUCCGACGACGAGCUUACUUCAACGGAUGAAACAGAAUCCACUGUAUCAAAAGAAAAAAGUUGUUUAAAGUAGAAGUCAUUAUGUGUCGCUUAUUCUCUGAUAUCAAUAAAUUAAUAUGACAAAUACAUCUUACGAAACCGUGUUUUAUAACCAAAAGGAGGAAACGGUUGUUUGAUUUAGAAUUUGGAGUAAUCAGCACCUUUAAGACCACAAAGACAAGCUAUUAGAAAAGUCUGGACAACAAGAACUCCACUUAAUUCCACCAAAUCAUUUAACUACCAACCUUAGAAGAAAACUAAGAACAUGAUAUGAGAGAGUAUAUAAUUCAUGAGUUUAGAUGCUAGUAAAUAGUAGAAAACGAUGCUACACAAGAAGUGUCAUGAUCUACGUACAAACAACAAACAAAACCACUACCACCACCACCAAACGUGAGCAAGUAAAUAUAACUUACACAGCAUAUUCUUUUGAUUAACUCACCUGGAUUCAGCUGACUGGAGAUAACAUUAUGGUCGCCUGUAUCUCUCUUUCUUGGGCGAAAGCAUGGACAGAGAAAACCAACACAUAAAAGGAUCAUUCCUGGUACGGCCAGAGAGUUAUCAUCUGAUUCUGAGGAAACAUUAUGAUCUUGCACAUCUCUCUUUGAAUCACUUAUCUCGCUAGGGUAUUUUAGGUUUGAGGCAUUUACUGGCACUCGCAGUAAAAGUUUCCUCGACACCUUUUGAUGAAAACCCGCUGCAAUGAAGAUGAAAAAUGUAUAAUCAGUUGCAUCAUAGAAAAACAAACCCAAUGGAUUUUUGCAUUCAAAUAAGCUUCCCAAUUAGCUAAGAAAUAAGACAGUAAUUACAUUUUUGCUCAUAAAGAUUGAUAAGGAAAAUUAGCAAGUUGGUUAUUCUCAUCUAAUAGGAAAAGUACGCAAAUAUAUGUGCAAGAAAAAGAGAUAGUAAAAUUAGAUUAAGAAAACAUGAACUUGUUCAAGUUUAUUGAAAUAAUUUAAUGCAAUUUAACAUGCUAGAUUAUGGCCUAUCAUUAAACCAACCUACUUGGAUGAUUAUAAUACAACAACAUAAAGAUUACAAAUUUGAUGAGUUUUUACCAGAAUUAGGCUUGCAAUCCUCAUGGUGAAACAAAUCAAAGUUGCCACCGCAAUACUUUUUACUGAUCCUUAACCAUUCUUUGGAUGAUUGCGAGUCGCAGAGGAAGCAACCAUCCACCAAAUAGGAUUUUAGCAUCUCACAAGCAAGAACAGGAUCCUCAAUCCUACUCUGAUUGAGGGAAAGAUGGUACCCAUCAGAAUCUUCCCAGUAAACAACCUGAUCAUCCCCACAAACCUUUGCGAGGCUCUGAACCGAUCCAGAAACCAAAAUCCGAGGCGAUUGCAACAAAAUCACUAGACUCAAAAGGAUUAGAGCCAUCUAAGCACAAAUUUGAGGACGAAACUCCAACAAAAAUCAAAAUUUGAAGCCGAACUAGUAAAUCCCCAUUUCCAAACGGCCAAAUUGAGCAAAACCCACUUCUCAAACUCCAAUUAAUUCAAAACAAAUCAAAAAAGCGGGGUCUCCUAUGUUUCAGAUUCAUUCCAAGCAAAAUAAACCCAGUAGAAACCGAUCCACAAAUAGAGAAACCUAAGCAUAUAACCACCCAAAUCUACAGGCAUAAACGCCCCAAAAAACUCAUUUUGAGCCCAAUUUAAGCUCGAUCCUUCCCCAAAUCGACAAAUUGCAUGAGACCCAACUCCUAAAAAUAAUAAAAAAACUUGGAAAAUUCCCAAAGUUGGAGCGCGCGCGCGAGAGAGAGAGAGAGAGAGAGUUGGAGCUCAAUCGAGCAUCGUACGAAGCUUGAGAACGCGAAAACUGGGAGAGGAAGCCGCGGCGGCUCUGGUAGAAAAGUUUUAUUUGGGGGUGACGUUAUCAUCUUCGUAGCUACAGUAGACCAAGGAGAGGAGCGGUGGACACGGAAUUUGCAACCGUUGCCCCGCGGCUGAGUUUUGUUUUCACCCCCCCUAAAAUUUUAAUCAGUAACGUCCCUGAACUUUUUCUUUUUGUUCCUUAGUUAAAAAAAAGGAAUUGAUAAAGUUUAGCAUUAAAUUUUAGGGAUAAUUUACUAUAUACCUUUCAAAACUUUAAAAAUAUUUAAUUUAUCUCUACUUUUUUUUAUCUUCAAUAUAUUCCUACAAUUAUCACCCAUUAAGUUAUUCCGAAUUAAACAUGAUUUAAGCUUAGUUUGGUAUUGAGGUCCAUAGAUGCUAUUAAAUAAAAUGGAGUUAGGAUAAAAAUAUAUAAGGGUAUAUUUUUGCGUUCUUUAGUGAAACCAUAAAAAAUAUAUAAUAGUCGACUCAUGGCUAUUGAUAAUAGUUCACUGUUAUUAGAUACUACAAUUUUUAUUGACGAUAGUUUCUUAGGUUGUUUUAAAAUAUCUAAACUUUAUACCAUUUGUAUUUAUUUCUCUUUUCAAUAUAUAUCAAAAACAAUAAAUAACUAAAAUUUAAUAUGACUUUGUGCACUUUAAACAAAAAAUAAAAAUAAAUAUUACUGUAAUAAAUCGCUCAUAAUAUUAGAUCAUAUAUAUUUAUAUAUUAUUAAUACACUUCAAAAAUAUUAUGUAAACAUGUUAAUAAAUCAGUGCUCCGUGAGAACAGCAGUGGACGGAUUUGGCCACGUAGUAAAGUGAAGGAAUAAUGAUAUCUCGAUAUUUUCACUCCUGUUUUAAUUUGGCCUACCCUUAUUCAAUCAUGGUGAGCUACCAACUGUUUGUCUUGCGACUAUUCAGCAUGCAACUCUGUUCAGAGAAUAAUUUCAUGAAAACUUUCAUAAUGCACCGACAAUAUCAAUCAAAUAAUGUUUUUUUAAUUUAAAAUUAUUUGGGACAUUAUGAUGAUAAAAAAUAUUUUUAUUAUAUAUUUUUCUAAAAAAUAUGAUUAAUUUGUUAUUAAUUAUGUGGUGCAUGUGUGAUACAGUAAAUUUUCUUAAGUUCAUAACCCAACAAAUGUGAUUGGCUUGUAAUUUUUAAAAUAGAUUUAACUCCAAACUCUCUUUUUUAAAUCUCUGCUACUCUCUCUUCUUCUUUGUUUGCUCUCAGUAGCUGAUUAUAAGCUUCCAAUCCCUCUAAUCGAACGAAGCUAAUCCUCUCUUCCUUUUAUAUAAAAUAAUAAUAAUAAUUAAUAAUGCUAGCUAGUUUACCCACAAGUUAUACACAUGAGUCAUCUUUAUGAUUACUCCAGAAGUAAAUGGUGUCAAAUAAUAACUAAUAUAUAUAUAUAUAGAGUUGAGCUAGAAUACUCUCGAUAGUAAACGGAGCAUUUUACUAUCGAGUUGUUUUCGAUGAUAGAGCUUCCAAAUUGACGAUCGGCUCCGUUAAAUAUGAUCUAAACCAUUUAAACUACCUAGAAAUCAAAUUUCACGCACUUUCGAUAUUGUUCUUUUAUCCAUCUAGUGAACAUAAAAUGAAUGAUUGAAAAUGAAUAUUCUUUAAAAAAUGAUGAUAGUAGUCUUGUAAUCAAGAUCAAGAGUAUAGAUCUUGUUUUAAAUAGUUUAAAGAAUUUUCUAACAAAAAUUCAAUUGAUUUGGAUAUCUUUACACCGUUAAACGAGAAAACGUCUCUUAUCCACCAUUAAAAUUACAAAUUUUGAAACCCUUUGAUCAUUAGGCAAAUGAUGUCGAAAAGAUUUGAAAUUUGAUUUCUAAACACUUUAAGUGGUAUAGAUCAUGUUCAACGGAGCCGAUCGUCAAUUUGGAAGCUCUAUCAUCGAAAACAACUCGAUAGUAAAAUACCCCGUUUACUAUCGAGAGUAUUCUAGCUCAACUCUAUAUAUAUAUAUAUAUAUAUGAGUCCGGCUACUAUACUUUUAUAAGUAUAGAGCCUUUAAAAGUAUAGUAGCCUAUUGUACUCAUAAGUUUUUGGCUGGUAGAUCUACCCUUUAAUCAUUUUCACCGUUAGAUUAUACUAUUCAACCAACCACCCACUCAACCCUAGGGGGCCUACUAUCAACCUAACUGUAAUUACUUUCAUCCUAACCAUACAUUUUUUCAUCUGAACGGUCGAAAAUUUAUGAGUACAAAGAGCUCUAUACUCAUAUGAGUAUAGUAGCCCCAGCCUAUAUAUAUAUAUAUAUAUAUAUAUAUAUAGAGUGAGGCUACUAUGCUAUCGGAAGCACGGAGCCUUCCGUGCUUCCAGCUCGUUUUCGAUGUUGCGACUUUCGAAUCGUCGAUCGGCUCCGUUAAACUUGAUCUAGAGUAUUUGGAGUACCUAGAAAAUAAAUUUUAUGAUUUUUCGAUAUCAUUUGCCUAGUGAACGAAGGGGCUCAAAAUCAACGGCUGAAAAUAAAAAUCUUACAAAAUGUAAUAAUAUGACAUUAAAAUUUUAAAUCAAAGAUAUUGAUCUUGUUUUAUAUAGUAUAAAGAAUUUUCUAUCAAAAUUUUACGUGAUUUGGAUAUUUCUACAACGUUAAACUUGCAAACGGUUUCACUACGGUUAUUAAAAUUUGUUGAUUUUGAGUCCAUUCGAUCACUAAGCAAAUGAUAUCGAAAAAUAAUAAAAUUUAUAUAUAUAUUACACCUAGUCCACAUAUAUAAGAGUCUUCAGACUUAAUUUGACGUGCGUUACAGGGAUUACUCUAUUGGGAUCAAAGUUAGACAAUAAUAAUAAUCAUUCUUUACUGUGACUUCUUUUGUACUCCUACUACGUGUCUUAUUAUAUAUUAAAUUGUAUUUUAAGGUGGUAUUCCGUACUCAAUAACGAUUCCGUACUUAAUUACCCUCGAGCUAUAAGAAAACUGAGUCAUCUUCAUUUCCAUUUUAUGUUUUUUUUUUUUUUUAAAGCUUGAUUGAGCAAAUAAGCUCACAGUUUUUUCAAUAAAAUAAAAAUAAUUACCAAAUACGCGCGUUAUCAAACAUUAACACUCAAACAGGUCCGUACAUAUAACAUCUAAGUAUAACAUACAUAUAUAUCACAGUACCCAUGAACACGAGAACGUACUAACUUGCCAUGCAUCCACACUUACGUAACUACCACUUCAUACAUAGAACCCUAAUUUCAUGACUACAGAUACAUAUACCACCUCCUGGUCAUAUAUAUAUAUAUAGAUAGCGAGCUAAUUCACAACUCUGCAGCUCCUCCGAACCUCGCCGCCGCCCGACAUUGCGAGCCGGCCCAUGCGCACCAUGGAGGCCUUAAAGUCCUCGAAGAAGAGCUCCGGGUCGAUCGCGUAGGCCUCGACAAGUGCAGCGACAUCGCCGGAGCCAGCGGACGUGAGCGCCUGGUCGGACUGCAGGAGCCCGUCGGCGGAGAUCAGGUUGACGUAGUACUGGUUAUCGAAUGUGGCGGGCGUCGAGAGGUCGAGGUCGGCGAGAGUGUUGUUCGAGCUGGCGCAGAGCUGCUGCAGCGACUGUAGGAAGUCGCGGUCACCCAUGGAGGCAUCGGAGCUGCCUACGAGGCCAUUGAGGCGGGAGCUGAAGGAAGAACAACGGGCCUUGCCGAUGGUGUGAGCCCCUGUAGAAAAGGAUCAGAAAGUCUAUUAUACAAUAGAUACAUCACAUCAUCUAUAUUCAAUCAAUCACAUUUCAUUUAUUAAGAAAAAAAAAAAUAUUUUUUUAAUAAUUAUGAUAGGAUGAGUGAACAUGGAGAAGACUAAUUUAAUUAGAUGGAACCACAACGAUCACCCUAUGCGACUGGUAAUUAUAGUGGACGUUUUUUGGAAGAGACGUAUUGUGAGUAAUUAUUGGGUACGUGGAAUAAGUCAACCAUGUCAUCUCUAGUCUACGCAAUAAAUGACAAAUUCACUAGCCUCAUGUUUAGAUGAUCACUAUGUCAACUUAAUUUUGUUCCACUAGGUACCGUUUGGUUCGGGUAUAAACAAGAAUUAGCUAUUACAGGAAUAGGUACAAGUAUGGGGAUAAGAAAAAUAGCGUUUGGAUGAAAAUUGGGUUGUUCCCGAGGAUAAGAAAAAUAUUAGGAAGUUUUAUAUAAAAAAUGAAGGUGUUGGUGGGGAUAAGCGAGAAUUACUAUUCUCGGAUAAAAAAUUAGCGUUUGGAUAUAAAGGGGGGGAUAAGGGCCUAUCCCUAUUCCUAUUCCCAAACCAAACAGUGCCCUAACGAAUACCAACUUUUAGCAUAUUUGUAUAAUUUUUCUCAUAUUUGGCUACACAUGCCCAAAAAUAAAUAGAAAAAAAAUACAAAUAUUUUAAUUGAAAGAAUUUUCAACCAGAAAGAAUGGCCGGUCUUAUGAUCUGGUCUGUAGACCAGGUCUAGCCGAAAUUUCUCGGCACCGCUUGGAAACGGUCAAGGAGCGGAUUGGUAAACGCGUUUCUAUUAUUACCGGAGAGAGCGACCAUGUCCUUGGAGGAGAGGCCGAGGUUCUGGAACUUUCCGAUGAGGGUGGCCACGUCGGACGUCGGGGCCGGGAUGUUCGUGUUCGCUGCUUGGCGGUUCGCACUUCUGCUGUCCUUCCGCCCUACCUCCACCUGCCACGUGGGCCCUCCCGACUGUUCCACCGCGUGUAUCAGAACUUCUUUUCCUUUUAUUGUAAAUAAAUAGAUAGAUGUGCAUUACGAGUAAUAUGCAUGCUUCUGUUCUUUCACGUCACAUGAUAAUUUUUUUUUUUUUUUUUUUUUUUUGUAUGUCAUAAUUACUGUUGUAGAUUAAACUACUGUUUUUGUCAAAUAUAUUAACUAUAUAUGCAAUUAAAAUCCUUUGUAUAAGCAGUCAUUACUCUUUCACAAAUUCUGCGUUUAAGUUAAAUUUAAUAAGGUUGAAAAAUUCGAAACUUAGUAAAAAUUUGGAAGAUUAGAGGUUGUGUGGAUGAUAAAAUAGAAAUUUAUAGCAUUAAUAGGCAUAGCACUAAAAAACUAAUGAGUGCCAUUGAAAAAAGGAAAAAAACUAAAUAAAUGAGAUAUCCUGUCACAACGGUGGUGUUUGAGAAAGGAUCAAUAAUGUGAAAAAAUAUUGAGCAAAUAAUUGGUAGACAUACCAAGACAACCGAAUCUCGAGCCACAAUCGCCAGAACGUCGGCACACGAAACAGUCUCAGGGCAAGCCAGCUCGAGCUCGGCCUUAAUCGAAUCGAUCACUUCGAAUCCCCUGAGGGAGUUCAGGUUGGGUCCAGCAGUUUUCUCCCCCACAAAAUUAGGCGUAUCAUCGAGGAGCACCGAAGCAUCACAGCCCUCAAAAUUCAUCGCAACGAUCAACAUUAAUUAGUCUUAAAAUCUUAUAUCCUUGAUGAUCAUUGGUAGUUUCUAUAUACAUUUAAUCCGACGUUAUACUCACAUCGACGAAGCAGUCGUGGAAGUGGAGGCGGAGGAGGGAGGCAGCCAUGCGCGGGUCGUUCGCGACGGCCUCUUCGACCCCCGCGAAGAUGAUAUCUUCGGCUUGAGGGCAAGUAGUUUGGUAGAUGUCAAAUCGUAUGGAUCCAUCAAUACCGCCGAAACAAGUUUUGUUCGAUGCAUCGGACUUGUUGGCUAAGUUAAGAGCAUGGAUAACACAAGCUAGGAGAGUGAGCACUAAUGUCAUGUUCAAGUAAGAAAUAUAGAGCAAAUGUAGGUUGAUUUUGGACUAAAGAGGGUGUCUAUAGGCUAGCUCUCUAUCUAGCUAGGUGCAUUGCUUGUGAAAUUGAAGAUGAUAUGCUGCUCACUUAUAUAGAGUUUGAAAGAGAACAAAAGAUUCUGAUGCUGAAACUGAUUUCAGCAUUAAGAUUCGUGCCGACGAUGCGAUGGAUGAGUGAUGUAGCUCUACUUGGAAGUGGUCAAAUUGUGGUGAGUUAGUAACAUCAUUGAGAAAUCAUGGCUUGCACUUUUCAGGAAUAGCAUGCAUAUCAUAUAUAACUGCAAUCAUCAUCUCCAAGAAUAGCACGCAUGAAAUAAUUUCUCAUCUUUUAUUCGAUUAGUAGUUGACUCGGAAUCAACUCCUCCGUUUCAAAGGUGACAAAGAUGCGCGUAGUUGGUGAAACCGCCUUUGUCCUUCUUCUGCAUAUGCUUUUGAGGCUCAAAAGAAGCGUCUCACAUGGGAGCAGUUGCAAUGCCUUUUUGUAUAGUUUGUAGUGCAUAAUAUGCUAAUGUUGGCGGAGGAGAAUGGGAAACCCACCACCGACCAUGGAUGCAUAGACAUGCGCGCUCGAUCAUAUAAGAGACUUUGUGAGAGGAAAGGUGUGGUGUACAUGUCAUGCAUAUGCAUCUCGAAUCUAGAACCCCCUAGAAGAUUUUAGAAUAAAUGUUCAUCUUGGUUUAGCUGUAAUAUGGACUCCGGAGUAGGGAGCAGGACUAUUGUUCUAUUAGAGGCACAGAAACCCUCAUAUUUUUAAGUUCCUAAUCAUUUAUCAAUUUUGAUUGAUGGCUGGGGUUCUUCCCAAUUUUUCUUCUCUCUCACCCUAAUCAUCUAUCAAAAUUGAUGAAUAGCUAGAAAUUUAGAAGCACAAAAGCUGUUGUACUCCUAAUAGCACAGUAGCCAUACUCCCGGAGUAGGUCUAGUUUAAAAUUGCUUUGCCAAAAUAUCUAUUUUAUGCUCCAAGAAAGAUUUUAAUUUUUUUUUUUUCCUUGCAUACUAUAAAAUUUUGGUUGCAAUCAUUAUAGAAGAUGCAUGCACUCUUAAAAUAACAAUGGUGCUGACUAUUUCUAGAGCAAGAGGUAAAGAGUUUGAUGGUUGAUAUCUGAGGUCCCAAGUUUGAAUCCUAGUUGAUUCAUAUUUCCAGCUAAAUUUGUUUCUAAAUAAACUAAAUGAAGUGGGUAGUAUGCAACCUAUCUCUCUCAAAAAAAAAAAAAAAAAAUUGACAAUGGUGCUAGCUAGACGAGUCAUUUUUACUAUUACCUUUUUGCAUUUCUAAAUACAAAUUUAAUUUAUAUAAUAAUUAGAAAUGAUGAUGGGUAAAACUUAUUCUCUUGAUUAAUUAGAUUGCAAUAAUUUAAUAUGUCAACUUCUUUUUUUUAAAAAAACAACGAAGCACACACAAAAAAAAAAGUCGUUUCCUUGCUUCCAUACUCUGUUAUAUAAAAUUCCAAUUGAAAAAAAAUUAGAAAAAGAAAGAAAAGGCAAAUCUUAAGUCAUUUUGACUAAUUUUAAGAGAUCACUUUGUUUGUACAUAGUUAUAAAUAUAUUAUAGCUGUAACUACAUAUAAAUUUAAAAUCCGUAUUUAAUGCAAUGUAUUUAAUACUAACAACUACAGUCGUAACUACACGAGGAAAUUCACCUGUAGUAAGGACAUGUUUGGUUCAUGAUUGGAAUAUGAAUGAGAAAUAGAAUUGGAUUAUUUUGGAAUGAAAAAUGGAACGACGAAUCAUCUAAAAAUGUUUGGUUCAUUAUUGGAAUGAAAAUCGGAAUGAAAAUUUAAAAUUUUUGAGAGAGAGUUUUGAUUAAAAGAGAGGAAAGUGACGAAGGGAGAUGAGAUAGAUGUUGGUGAAAGAGGAUUUUUAAUAGUUUAUUUUUGGAAUGAGUCAAUCCGGAAUUCAAAGCCGAAUUGCAUCGUAAAUGAAUUUGGCCAUUCCCAUUCCGGAGUGGAAUGGGAAUCGAAUCCGAUUCCUAUAAAACAAACGGCAACCAUCGGAAUCAAUGAAUUCCAUUCCGAUUCCAUAGUCUAAAAUAGGUGAACCAAACAUGUCCUAAGUUGGACAGAGCAACUCAAUAUAAAAAAAAUAAGUUUAAAUUCCUCAUUACCUUUUAAAUAAAAUAUAAAUAUUUUUAUAUUAAAAAAAAAGCUUAAUUUCAUACAGAUCCCUACAAAUAUGAUGAAUAACAGAUAUAUUCCUGCAAAGUUCAACUUUCAUAAGUCAUCAUUGCAAAAGUCCUAAUGUAUUCAGAUAUGUUCUUGCCGUUAAUAUUCGUUAGAAAAAUCUAGUUAAUUAUAGUUAAAAUGCUUUAACCAUGAUUAAUUAAUAAUGUAAAUUGACAAUUUUGUCCUUCUUUUUCUUCCUCUUCUUCUCCGUAUCCUCCUUUUCCUCCUCUUUUUUUCCUCAUUCUUCUUCUUCUUCGUCGUCGUCGUCGAUGAUCCAAUCGUCGUCGCCGAUGAUCCGAUCGUCGUCGUGGUGCCCAUGUGGGCCAUCGUCACGGGCGCCUCCGAUAGCAUCGGCCUCGCCUUCACCUCCGCCUUCCGCCUCUUUCUCAUCCUCGUUGGCUGCAACCCCGACAAGCUCUGCAAGGUUGCCGUCGCCGCUGUCGUCGUCCGCUCCUGCAGCCUGAAGAAGAAGAGGAAGAGAAAGAGGAAGAGGAAGAGGGCAAGAGCAAAAAUGUCAUUUUACAACUCUACUGUUAAAAAAUUAACAAUUCUCUAAUAGAUACUUGCCAGAGAGACAUAUCUGAAUACAUUAGAACUUUUGCAGGAAUAAUUUAUGAAAAUUAAAUUUUAUAGGAAUAUAUCUAUUAUUCAUCAUGUUUGCGGGGACCGGUAUGAAAUUAACCCUAACAAUAAUCCCAUCACGACCGACACAAUGUGAUAAAAACUUCAAAAAUACAUUUAUCAUACAAACUAAAUUAAUUAUUCUAUUUAUUUAUAAUUACAGUACUUGCUGGUAUACUGUCUCCAGCUAUACUGCGUUUCCAAAUUCCAAUUACAUCGGGCACCAUUGAGAGAGAGAGAGAGAGAGAGAGAGACGCGCGCACACAGACAGAGGGGAGAGAGGGGCGAUGCCGGAGCUGCCGGAGGUGGAGGUGGCGCGGCGGGCGCUGCAGGAGCACUGCGCGGGGAGGCGGAUCUUGCGCUGCUCGGCGGCGGACGACCCGAAGGUGAUCGACGGCGUCUCCCCCUCGCAACUCGAGUCGUCCCUCGCCGGGAAGACCGUCCUCGCCGCCGCCCGCAAGGGCAAGAACCUCUGGCUCCGCCUCGACACCCCCCCCUUCCCCUCCUUCCAAUUCGGUCCGCUGCUCCUUUUCUUUCUUUUUCUUUUUCUUUUUUUUUUUUUUUCCUUUUUGAUCUUCUGUAUUGAACUAAUUUAGCCGGUUAAGUUGGACAUCUUUGUUCAAUUCAUCGCUAAUUUCAAGCAAAACUGAAACAAUCUACAGUUGAUAGCCGAGUCCGUCAAAAAAUUAGAAGUCGAAAAUUUUAGGGUUCGAUUUGGUUCACAUCGUCGCCCUCUUCUCCUGCUUUCGUGUGUUGCAGGGAUGACGGGUGCGGUCUACAUCAAAGGUGUGGAAUUGAGCAAAUACAAAAGGUGAUAUUUUUUUCUUAAUUUUACCUUCUUUUUUUUCUUUUUUUCUUUUUUUUUUUUUUUGUAGAUAGAAUCUGAGAAAUUGAGGGUUUGGAUUGCUAAUUGUAGGUCGGCGGUGAGCCCGACGGAGGAGUGGCCAUCGAAGUACUCCAAAUUGUUUGUUGAAGUACGCCUCUUUCUUAUUCAUACAGGAAUCUGAAUCAUCAAUUCGGCAACUUCGUAGUCGAUUUAAAAAAUCGGUGUCCUCCUCAUUUCAGUACUAGCUGAAUGUAUCAUUUCGAUUUUAAUCCUUUUGGAUGUUGUUCAGCUGGAAGAUGGUGUUGAGUUUUCCUUCACCGAUAAGAGACGUCUCGCAAAAGUUCGCUUGCUUGAAGAUGUAUAUACUUUUUAUUCUCUAAUUCCUUGCAGUUCUUUUUUUUUUUUUUUUACAGCCUGAAUCUGUGCCUCCAAUUUCUGAGCUGGGUCCAGAUGCCCUGUUCGAGCCUAUGCCGGUCGAUGAGUUUGCGAAUGCCCUAAGAAAAAAGAAGAUCGCGAUAAAGGCUUUGUUACUUGAUCAGGUUACAAAUGUGUGGUGCUUUAUUUUAUUUAUUUAUUUAUUUAUUUUCUGAUCCGAGAAAACCCAUUCCUUCGUAAGCUAUUAUUAAUACCUACUAAAUCUUCUUUUUUGAGUAUCGAAUUGUUUGCUUGAUGCUUAUAGUGUCGGGUCCUCUAACAUCUUAGUGCAUUGUUGUGUAGAGGUUGCUUCUCCAUGUGCUUAGCAUUGUAAAACUGCAUAGUGUGUGAAACUAUAGGCCAUUGCCAGCGUAUAUUUUUGCGCAAAUUUGGUGCUUGAUUUAGCUAGCUCUUCCUACAACCAUUUGGAUGCAGUGUGGGAAUAAGUUAUUGCUAUAUCAUUGUCUUAUUGUUUAAGAAUAUUGUAUGGGGCGCCAUAGGAACUUGAAAGUUGUUGACCCCCUCCAGUUGUUUAGAUAAGUGUGCUACUUGCUUCAUCUUGCCAAAGACGUCUUUGCGUCGAAUAUAACUAGUAGUUUUACUGAUACAUCAAUUUUAUCAUGCAGAGCUUUAUAUCUGGUAUUGGUAACUGGAUCGCGGAUGAGGUGCUCUAUCAGGUUAGUUUUAUUUCAUUUCUGUAAGAAAUAUAGUGCUUCGAAUAGGAGAUUGUAUUUUCCUGCGCUGCUUUAUUCACAUCUUUUCUUUUUCUGGAUCUUAACAUUUUCAGCCAUUCAUCAGUAGGUUUGGCUUUCACUCUUUUACCACCAAUUCACUGCAAAAGUUGGGGCAUAGUAGUUAAUAUUGAUUAAAACCUAUUUCUUGCUGCAUAUUUGUAAAUUUUUUUAAGUAAGUUAUAUGACAGAUAUCUGUUAAAGGAUUCUCUUUUCUCAUUUGUGCAAUUUUUUGUUUUUAGGCAAGGAUUCAUCCCAUGCAAAUUGCUGCAAACCUAUCGAAAGAGAGCUGUGAGACUCUCCAUCGAUGCAUCAAAGAGGUCAGUGAUUCGGUGCUAAAGUUUGUUCCGAAGGCAAUAAAAAUCAAUUUCACUAAAAAAUAUUACAAGAUAAAAUCUUUAGAUUACGGAAUAUGCAGUAUGUUUCAUGCUUACAAAAGAUGUUUUAAAAAAUUAAUAGGCUGUUUCAUCUUCAAGAGUCUAGAAAAUUAGUUAAUACACCCUACUGUUAAUUAAAAUUUUUUUGCAGGUUAUUGAAAAGGCCCUUGAAGUCGGUGCAGACAGUAGCCAGUUUCCAGAACAUUGGAUUUAUCAUUCUCGUGAUAAGAAACCUGGCAAGGCAUUUGUGGAAGGUUCGACUUUUUUAACUUUUUAUGGUCGUCUUAUUUGAGUUAUUUUCUCUUUAUCACAACAAGAGCUGCAAGAUUUUAUUUAGAGGUGAAAAGAAGUUAUAUUUAUGGCAGAUUUCUACACGUCUGGGAUUUUUUGAACUUCCGCCAGAUUUUACUUCAUUAAAGCCGAUCCUUUCUUUCGUGUUUUAUGCGAAAGUACCAACACAAAUAACAUUUAAGUAUUCAUGUAUUCAAUCAGGAGGUAACCAACAUUAGGGGUAAUAAUUUAGUUAUUUUAGGGAUUUAUUGAAGUCAAAAUACUAGAGCACAAUAGAACAGUUCUGAUUCUGAGAUCUGUAAGUGGGAUGCAGAAAUGAAAUGCUGACGAAGUAAAUUUUUUUUGUUCUCUAUCUCUCUCAUCCAUGAAAAUUAUUAAAUUUGGCGAACCUUUUUACUCCUUGCAGGAAAGAGAGUCGAAUUCAUCACUGCAGGUGGCAGAGUAAGUCCAUAAUCUGAUAGUCUCUCUUUUUUUUGUUGCUUGUUGCUCCUAACUUAUAUUACUUCAUUUGCUCAGACCACAGCUUUCGUGCCAGAAUUGCAAAAAUUUGAAGGCCCCCAGUCAAACGAGAUCCCGUCAACUAAAUUAAAGAGAGCCAAAACUGGUAAAAAAUUUCCUGGUAAGCAAGAAUCAGAUGACGAGGAUGCAGAAGUCAAUGAAAAUUCAAAGCCAAAAAGCGGCCAAAAAAGUUCCAAAGGUACUAAGAAGCAGCCAAAGAAAGCAAGCGAUGACGAUGAGGAAGAGGAGGAAUCAGAGAAGCCGGCGAAAGGGGCGAGGGGGAAGCAAGUUAAAAUGGCAUCAAAGAAAAAAACUAAAUCUAAUACAGAAGAGUCCGAUAGUGAGGACGAGGAAGUUAAUGAAAGUUCGAAGUUCGAGAGGAGAAGGAAUAGCUCCAAAGGCGGUAAGAAGCCAAAGAAAACAAGUGAAAGCGAUGACGAUGACGAUGACGAGGAAGAGGAGUUAGAAAAAACUAGCAAGAGGCAGCCAUUAACGAAAGGAGCCAAGUCUAACCAAGCAAGCGCUCAGCAGAGGAAGAAACAACGUAAGUAGGACACAACGCAAGUAGGACCGUGGUGGUCCUCGAAAGAGUUUUGACUUUUGAAGAAGCAUGUACAUAUAGUAUUUUGCUAUCCGAUUUUCUUGUUGCAGUGCUUGGAAUCUCUGCUUUUAGGUUUGAAUGUUAAUGAUACUUUUUCCAUCUUGGUAGUCAGAUGAGGACAAAUGCUUGUAGAAACUGUCUUGAUGGAUCUACUGGCAUGCUGAAAGGCCAUUUUGCUAUUUAGGCCAAACGAUGUGAUCUAAAAGAUUGUGACCUUUUUUAACCCCUUUGCAGAUUGUUGUUUGGCAGUUUAAGACAAAAUCUCUCACUCUCAACUAUGAUUCAACUUAUCUUCGUCGUGACUGUGACUACAUGUGGCUAGAUGAAUCCAUGCUUUCUUUAGAGAAAGACAAAGUUAAUUCACACUUUCUUACGGAAAGAGAGAUCAUUUUCAACACUUCCAAGUUAUACCAUAAUAAAAAUUAUGAAAAAAUAAUGGUCCAAAUUGUUGGACCAAUAUCUUCUUCCACGUUAAACCGCGCUUGCGCAAUUGGUCGAUUGUGUAUAAUUAGAUUGAAAAGAUAGUAAGAAAUUGACUUGCUCCAAUGAUCAGACCUUAGCAGAGGAUAAGAAUCUAUACAUACAAAGCAAGCAAGAGUAGGAUUUACAUAUGUACAUAUAGGAGCCUAUAAAUACAAGGAUUAUCGAUAUAUUUUGCUGUACAACAGGAUAAACCAUAACAGAGGCAUUUUUCAUUCUCAUCUCAUCAUAUGGAGACGAAACUGUGGGAGAACCUUUCUAGUUGAGACCUCAGCAGGCUAACAAAGGAGAAGCCGUAACCAUCACCGCCCUCCGAGCUAUACUUGUGCGGCAACGCUUGUUCGUUCCUCACCUGGAAUGCGAAAGGCUCCAACUCUCUCUUUAUUGAUUCUAUGAUUCCCAUGUCAACUUUGUUUCCGGAGAUAUCCCGGACGUACAAGACGCUCCUCGUCUUCUCUCCGCGGGUCGCGAUGUCCGCGUGAGCUACGGUGAGCCCGUUCUCUCGGAGGACCCGCGUGAUGUAAGAGAGCAGUCCUGCUGUGUUUUCUGUGCAUAGCUCUAUCCGGACCCCCUGCUAGAAAAAUAGAUACAAUGAAAGAGAAAGAAAGAACGAAAACUACUUACAUCGGACGCCCCAAACUACCGCACUUUUUGAAAUUGGUUUAAACUUUCAUAACCAUAAUAUGUGAAAGUGCGGUAGCACGACAGUUUGGGAGAAAUCUGGUGCACAUGUCCCUUAGCAGUAUUCAUAAGUUUAUGAACUAUAAUCGAAAGAACAACAAUAAAUUUCACAGCGAUAUCCUCACCUCGCAAAUCCUACGCUCAAUUGCCGCCUCCAGGCAUUUGACAACUAGUUGCUUCUCACCCGCGGAGUCCAACAUGCGCCCAUCUUUGUGCCGAAUGUAGUACUCCUAGAAGAUUCAAUUUCCAAGGUAAGUUCUUAUAGCUUAUAAGGUUAAUGAUACCAUCAUCAGACGCUCCCAAUUGUAUUGAGCCCUUUCUAUCCAUCUAUAAAAGACUUAAAUUGAGAAGAGGUUUACAGCAGGCAAUGAAAUCAAUUGAUGGAUAAGCACAUACCUGAGAAGCAAAAGGUCCAUGAGAAGUACUCGAAGCAUGGAAGACAAUGUACUGCAUAUCUGUGAGCGUACACACGGUGUCAAACAUUAGCUUCGGUCGGUCCACGCAGUCCACGUUCACAACGGAGUAUCUUUUCUCAUUGCAUCGGUCAAUUGACACGACCGUCCUCCUCCCCUCUCCGUCGCCGUUGAUCUCCAUCGAUGAAAAUGUACUAGCGGUCGUGGGCCUUGGUGGCCCAUCAAAGUCGCGGUUAGCUAGCAUCAGCUGGUGCAACCGCCGCUCGGUGUGACUCAUCGAGCUGUCGCACCCGAGAAAAUGCGCCCUCACGCCCUUAUCCCGAUCACAGUAAGCUGUGGCAGGUCGGAGGACGGUGGAGAGGUGGUCUUCGAUAGUGGCCAGUCGAUCAGGGUCAUUGAUCACAGUCGAGGUAGAUUCGUCGGAGAUGUAAGCUACACACGCUAGGCAAUCGUUAUGGCUCCACGCGUGGGCUUCAACAACGUUGCACCUCUGCUCGGCAAGAACUGCGGAUAUCUCCGAGAAGAGCCCCGGUCUGUUAGGACCAAUCAUCUCGAUGACCGUGCACUCGCUAGCCGUUUCAGAUUUGGUGGCAAUGCCUUUCGAUAUUCGCACUUCGGAGUUCUUACGAUCUCUUCUUGCACCUAUGGCCUACAAAAUUACAGAGAAUUCAUGCACUAUUAUCAAAUCCUAAAGCGCAGCUCCCGUUGAAACAGCAGUAAAACCUGUUUAACUUGAAAUUGGCAAGAAGAUAACAUAUUAGACAUGCUUAUACACGUAAUUUGUCUUAUCGUAGAGAAACAAAGGCGCACCUCUUUUAUGUAGCCGAUAAUCUUCCUAUCGUAUAUCUUACUACCUCGCUGAUCUUUCACAUGGAAAACUGCAUCAAGGAGAACAACUUAAAUCACAUAAUAACUUAGGUUGUAGACUAACAGAGCAUGAUCUAACCCCCAUUAUAUGAAUUUGAUACAAACCGAGUAAAUUCAAGUACAAAUUUCAUCACAUCUGUUUCUAGAAUUAGCGCUAGCGCGUGUAACUUCAAGAAAAGGCAUACCAUCCAUGAACCAUCCUGCAUCAGAAGAUAUAUAGCUUUUGUUGAUGAAAAGAUCGACGUCGGCCAAAACUUCCAGGACUUCAAGUAGGAGGCCUUGUUUGUUGAGACUAUUCACCUGAAACAAAACAAGAUCGGCCUACUCAACCGAUUGCAUAAUCGACUUCAUACAACUGAGGUGAAACACAAAGUUCUUACCUUAACAACAGUGCAUCUCUCGCAAGACUCAUUGUCAACAUAAACCCUGCAAAAAAUAGUUCCAGAUUCAGCAUCUCUUCCCCGCAUAAAUUAUGCGUCUAGAGCAUCAUUUUCGCAGAUUGGAAAUAAGCGACGAACCUCGGGCCGUAUAUCUUCUCAUUAAGAUUGUCAAAUUCAGGAUCAAAGUAAGGGCAGCAAACUUCCAUUCUUCUACCAAAAAAGAAAAAAAAAAAUCCUUAUGAAUUCAGGGAUUUAAUUUAUAUGAUGCCGCAAAACAAUACAUGUAAACAAAAAUAAUAUGUAAACGAAGCAAAAUACUGUUCCCCAAAUUCACAGACCCUCAAAGGAGUUUGUUUAAUCAUCAGGAACAACUCCCCUGUUUGGAUGCUUGCAAAUUCGUGAUUCCUAUUGAUUUCGAUGAGCAUAAGCAAUUCCUUUUCGAUGCGGCGAUCACAUAAAAUCACAAAUUUUAUACUUCAAAAGCUAAAUAUAAUAACUGAUUCUUACUCACCAAGUAACCCAAAAAAAAAAAAUUCAUUCAGAAACAUCAUUUUUGUUUCUUAAAAAAUCGAAACCACAUCAAAAUUAUACCAGCUUAAUGCGAUUCAAGCCUAAUUCACUGCGGAGGAAAAAAAAAAAAAAAAAACCCCAUACCUCUUGUUCUAGGAGAGGAGAUUGAAACAUUGGAUCAAUUGAGAGGGAGAGAGCGAGAAAGAUGGAGAUUUAUUUGAUUAAUUACGUAGCAACCAUUUUAUUGUAAUUAUUAUUUUAAAUUAGAAGAGGAGGAGGAGGUGGCGGAUGCGGCGAUGUGCGGGGGUUUGGGAAAUGCGAUUUAAAAUUGGGACCGUCGAAUUGUAUUACUACGAAGACGACGUGUGUGUAUUUGACUCGGGGAGCAGGCACGAGAAGGGGCUCUCGUCCCCGCAUCGUCUCUUCCCCACACGUGUGAGGACGAGGCGAUUCUGAAAAUUUAGAUACGUUGUUUGUCUCAGCCUCGGAUAAGGACCCGAGGCAUAGAGUCCUUACAAAACAAGCCAACUAAUAAUACACACAAAGUAGGAAAAAAAAAAAAAUUCUAAAAUGGAUAAGUCAUAUUACUAACGUAGCGCCAUCCAAAUUAUUAAAAUUCCGAAUUAUUUUUUAAUAGUUAUUAAAAAUUUUAUUUUUCUUAUUCAAAAAAUAAUAUGUGAUUAGCUGGUAAUAUAUGACAUGAUGUGAUUGAUACAUAGUAAAAUUUUUUGUAGAGUAGAAUUCUAAUUAUUCAAAAUCAAAAUCCAUUCGAUUUAUUUAUACAGAUUUAAGUGUUCAUUCUAAUCUAACUAGAAUUUAAUUAUAAAUCUAACUAAAUCUCAACAAAAACAGUAGACUGUUGAGAAUAAUAAUAAUAAUAAUAUUAUUAUAUUAUUAUUAUUAUUUAUUAUUUCAAAAUAUAUUUGCCCUUUCAUAAGGAGGUGGAGAACAUCAGCGUGCAGCCCCAAGCCUAAACACGUGAAGGCAGAGAGCACUUCACGUGAGGGUCGUGACUUCCGCUUUGAGAAUUUUUUCUCUUUUCAAGUAAAAAUUGAAUCUUUUCCUCCCUCUCUCUUCCCCCCCCCUUUUUUUUUUUUUCUUCCAAGUUCGCUUUGUUAAACAGAAAGCUAAUUUUAUUGAAAUGUAUGUAAUCUCUGUUUUAUUUAAGUUCAAAAAAUACAUAAAAAGUUUUUUUUUUUUUUUUUUUUUUUUUUUACAGUUUUUGUAUAAAGUUCUUAGUGUUUGUUGCUUAUUUUUGUUAAGCCUUUGUCACCAAAAAUAUAUCGAUCACAUAAUAUAUCAUACUAGCCAAAUCCUGAUUUUGGUACUUAUGAGAUGAUUCUAUACACUUGUUGCAUGUAAUAUUAAUCUCUGCCACAGGCAUAAGAUGUCGUCGUCGUCGUCAUCGUCGCCGUCUUCUUCUUCUGUUGCAUCUACAGAUGCUUCGGCUUCGGCUAUAAGCUCAAUUUCAACUAGCACAAGCACAAUAUCCCCUAAUGAGUUAGCAGAGAUUCAUAAAUAUUUGGAGACAGUAAAUGGCCCUGCUGUAAAAACCAUUAUAGUAAGAUUAUUGAUUAUCGACGUAUAAAUAAUUCAAACUUUUCCUGUGAUGAAUCAGUUUAAAUAGAUUCGAUUAAAUCAAUCAAAAUUAUAUCAGCUAAUAAUACUAAUAUAUUUUGUAACGUGUUACUUUCUUUACCAACUAUGGUAGAAAAUACCAGAGCCGCCGAAAAUUCAGAUAAGACUUCCCUUGGGGUGCAAAAGUGUGGUACCACAGAGCCUCACAGCAGACAUUCCGGAGGGAACGGUGCCGAGGCGAAGGGUCACGCUGGAGGACGUCCUGCGAGCCGGAUCUUUGGCUAAGUUUGGCAAGAAGUCACCCUGUUCGGCUCUCCAAUUUCGAAGAAGUAUUCGCAGUCUUUCAGAAGCAAAAAUAGAAUAGUCUAUCAUAAGUAUUUGAUCAUACUUUUUAUCUAUCAUAAGUAUUUGAUCAUACUUUUUAUCUAUCAAAUAUAUAAAUUUAUUAAAUAAAUUAAAAGAAUAUAUUGAACAAGAUAUUAUAAAUUCAAACAGGAUGUAUAUGUCGGUGGCCAGCGUCAGUGUCGUAUUAGGUUUUGAGUUCAAAAUAGUUGGGGCAACGUACCUGCCACCCAACUUCAAUACUGCUGAGAUCGCCGUUGCCGUACGAUCCUGCCACAAGCCAGAUCUGCGUGAGGCUGAACUCAGUAGAAAUGCCACGGCUCCGUGCCAUGGCUUGCGAUAUAUCAUCGGCCCAUCUUGUAGCAUUGUUUCCCCUUUUCCGUUCUGUAGCUUCCCGCGCCUUUGAUGCGUUUCUCUAGUGAAGCUCAUAAGAAAGAACAACAACAGUUGCCAUACAAAGUUCCUCAAGUAAGAUUACAAAUUAAAGAGAACAUUAAGAUUGCAGUACUGAACAUACGUAAUAUACAAAUAGCUGGUGGGCAGAAAUUUUCUGAAUAUUAAGGCUACAGAAAUCUCAUGCUCUUAUGCGGACAGCACAUGAUGAUAUUAUAUAUAACAAUGGCUACAAGCGCCAAGUAACUCACAUAUAUGUGCGUGCGCACACUUGUGCGUGUAAAUUACAGAAUAAGACGAAGGAUGAGAGAAAGGAUGGAAUGAACAAACCUGAAACUUGUUCUUCCUCAUCACAGGAUAAUCCCGGGAGUGUUUCUCUGCAGGUACAAUUAUGUCUCUUUGACCCUGCAUAAAUCAGUAAAAAUUAGCUAUAAAUGUGAAGCCACUCGGCUUCGAACUUGGGACAUCGAGAAUCAAUUAUCAAAUAUUUUGCUACUUACACAGUUACGCUAAGUCAUUUACUCUUUUUUUUGUGAUUAAAAUUCGCAGAAGGGUUUUUUAAAUCUUAAUAAUGAUCAUAGUUCUACAACUCUUUCUUGGUUGUGGGCGUAGCAUUUUGUCAAAAAUGUUAACAAGUGAGUCAACCGAUUCAAUAUUAUAAGUUAAUAAUAGACAAUCUUACCUCUUCAGCUUCCUUUUAAGAUACUUUCCAAUCUCUUCUGAGUAGCUACGAAUUUUCUGAAAUAUUAUAAUUUUGCGCUAAAACAUGUGAAAGUCCUCAUAGAAGAAGCAAAACAAUAGAAAGAUCAUUAAGUAAGCAUAGAUCAUAAGUAAACAUCGUAGUUUAAGGGUUUGGUGGUUGGUAUCCGAAAUCCAAAUUCGAAUCCUAGUUGAUUCAUAUUUGUAGCUAAGUUUAUUUUUAAAUGAAAUAAACGAAGCGGGUAGCGUGCUACCUCAGCAAUUUUGUGGUGAUUGUUUGGCAAUAUAAACAUUACUUGCCCGGCCCCCAUAACCCUUAUAUAUAUAGUGAUCAACUGGAGAAUUAAUUAAGUAGAGAGCUGUUAGAAAUUGGUUGGUGAUGAUCAAAGGUGUCAGGUUAAGUAGGUAGGUUCCCCACGCAAUCGGUAAAUUAACCCACUUUUACAAUUGGAUAUACAUUGCACAACUACGAAGUUCCUAAACUUUUUGCCAAGUUUUACUUUGGACCCUGCACUUUUAAAUUCCACAGUGUAGACACUUGUCGAAAUUCAUUCUUUUUCAGUAAUAGAUAUUUUUGUAGCUGAUAACUAUUCUAAUAAAUUUUUUUCAUCAACAAAUAAAAAUCAUUGCAAAUCGUUGCUAAUGAAUUAAUGUUGCAGUAAUAAAUUACUAAAUAGCAUAAUUUUCAUUGUCACAAAGACACAAACUGUUGCAACAAAAUAUAUUUUGCAAUAAUUUAAUUUUGAAGCAAUUUAAAUUGAUUUAAUAGAAUAUGAAAUUUUUGUAGUGAGAGAUUCUAAACUUCCUGAAAUAAUAAAUACUACUUAUAAAGCCAAAAGUGUGGGUGUACAUUUUAUUGUCCGAUUGUUGGCGCUAAUAAUUAAUUCCAAAAGCUCACACGGUUAGAAAGAUACAAUAAAUUCACUUAAAGCGUACAGUCAUAUCGUCCACGGAUCUCGAUCAGUUGUGACUCGGGCUAACUAGCCUCCCACUACUUCGAACAUUACUUGCCCCAACACGACUCCCGCCAUUUCGAACGUAAUUCGACCCAAAAGCCCAUUAAAAAAAGAUAAAUAGGUAGAGAAUUUAUUUGAAUUAUGGACCAUUUUUAGUUGGCUAUGUAUCUAAUAUUUUAAAGUUUUGAUUUUACUAUCUAAUGUUUCAAUUUGUAAGACAGUCAACGGCAUUUUGACUUUUGUCAAGUUUUGUAUGUCUUUACCAAAAAAUAAUAAUAAAGAUUAUAAAAAUAUUGGCCCUUGGAUAAAUAAAAGAGAAUAUUUAAACAUAAUAUUUCGAUGCACAUGUAGCAUUGCUCAUUAGGAACCCUUCAUUCCGGUACUUAUUUAAGGGCAGGUUUGUUUGCUCGAAAGUGGGUGAAGUGAAAAAAAAUCACUUUCACAAAAGUGACUUUUCAGUUCGAUUGUUUGAUUGGCUAUAAAGUGAAAAAAUUAAAACUAUAAUUUUAAAAUUUUGAUUAUUAAAUUAUAUAUAAAGAGGCGAAAAGAUAAACAAACGACUUAUACUCGCAAUGUAAAUUAAUAAUUUAUAUUUAUAUUAUAUUAUAUUAUAUUAUAUUUCAAAAUUAUAUUUUAAAAUUUUAAAUUAAUAAAUCUAAGUUGAAUUUAUAAUUAAAAUUUAAGACAUAAAUUUAAUUUAUAAUUUGAAUUUAAAAUUUAAGUUCUAACUCAUAACUAAAAUUAAAUUUUAAAGCAAAAGUUCAACAUAAAAAUUAGAGCAUUUAUUCAAAUUUGAAUUCAUAAUUUGAAUUUAUAAUUUGAAUCAUAUAUUAAUUUACUCUUUGAUCUUAAAUUCUUGAAUUCAAAUAUGAAUUCACAAUUUAAAUUAAUCUUUAAAUUAAAAUUAAAAUUUGAGUUUAAAUCACAAUUCGAAUUGAAUAUUUGAAUUCAUAAUUCGAAUUCAAAUUCAAACUGAACCUCAUUAUUAAAUUUAAAUGUAAAUAAAAAAUUUAAAUUUGAAUUUGAAUAUGAACUUAAAAUUUUAAAUUUUAAAUUCAAAUUUUAGUCAAUAAUCUGAAUUUAUAGUAGGAACAAUUUGAAUUCAAAGCUUGAAUUGAAUUUCCUUGCUAAAAUUAAUUUCAUUAAAAUUUAAAAUUUAAAUUUAAAUUUAAAUUCUAUCAUUCAAAUUUAAAUAAAAAUAAAACUUAAAAAAUAUAAAUUUAAAUAUAAAGUCGUAAAUUUGACUUUAAAAAUUUAUGUUGAAUUUUAAUUUACAAAUAAAAUUCAGAAUGUGAUCAUGAUUUUAAUUCAAAUUUAAAGUGAAAUUCAAUUUUUAAAAUAAAUUCAAAUAUUAAAAUCACGACUAAAGAUAAUCUCUUAGCUAAGCUCUCCAUUUUCGGUGACUUUCGAUUUUUUUGAGUCGAAAUUAAAAAAAUGAGAUUUAGUUAUAACUUACUUUAUCAGCUCACUUUCGUAAAGUCACUUUUAUAUUUAUUUUCGCAAACUAAAUAACCGAUAAGACGUCACUUUCUAAAAGUGUUACUUUCGAUACUUCACUUUUGGCCAACUAAACGUACCUUAAGAUGAAUUAUUAUUACUGGCACUGGAUUUAUUUGUACAUGUGAGGACCACAAAUUUGUUUACUCUCCAUUCAUCUCUUACUUUCAAUCUAAAAUAAUAAAUGGAGGAUUAAUUUGUUUAAAUUUUUAAAUAAAAUAUUAAUAAGAUAAAUAGAAAGUAAGAAUUUUUAAAUAAAUAUGGUAUAGAAAUACGCAACCAAUUCACUUAAAGCGUAUAGAAACAACGCCCACGAGUCUCGAUCGUGACUCGGCCCACCUGACCUCACGUCACUUUAAACAUGACUCGGCCCAACCCAGCCUCACGUCAUUUCGAACAUGACUCGGCCCACAUGGCCUCCCGCCACAGGGCAGGAUGCUGGCCCAUUUAAGCCAACAUACACGAUACACCUAGUUCAAAAAGUAUAUGAUUUAGCCUAUUCUUACUUUAGUAUCCUAUGAUUUAAAGUGUAUCACUUAAGUACUCUGCGGUUUUAUUAUUAUUUUUUUCGUCAGCCCCCCGUUAACUCUCCUUUAAAACAUAUUAAAAAAAUACUUCAAAUAUUUCCGUGCUUUAUCGAAUAUUCACUUUAGUAUUCCGUAGUUUAUAAAAUUUUAUUUUAGUAUCCUAUAACUUUAACUUUCUCACUGAUUUAAGAAAAAAAUUAACGGAGAAAAUAACGGAAAGAGAAAAACGAUACCAUAGGGUACUAAAAUGAUACAGUCAGAUUAAAUGAUACUAAAGUGUAAUAGUGUUAAAUCAUAGGGGCAAUAUUUGAAGAUUUUUCCUAUAUUUUUUUUUAUAGAAUGAAUAUUUUAUAUUCUUUUGAUUCUAAUUAAGUAUUCAAAAAAGAACAUUGAUAUGACAAAAAAAAAAAAAAUCACUAGUUAGAAGAUUAGAACGUAAAUUUUACAACGGUGCCUACAGUGUAUGGCCAUGUGGGUAGUAUAUUAAUUGCUCUAAUUUUAAGUGUUAUUACGUGCAUGAAAAUCCUAUUGAAAAAGUAAAAGAUAGGAUAAGACAAGUGAUGGGGUAUCCUCUUGCAAUAGUAUGCACGUGAUAUGUACGGACAAAUAAGAGGGCCAUGUGGCGCAAAGCCCAUUCUGGCACAUCUUUUUCGAUCUCCACGUAUUCCAAUUAACUGUUCAUUUCUUGUAUCCUUUUUCCUUUUUUCUCUUUCCCUUUUUUUGUUUUUUUUUGUUUGGUUUGUGAAAGCAAGAACACAGAAGUGUUCACCACUGGCUUAUAUAUCUAGGACACUGACCACAAAUUAAGAAUGCGGUUACCAAUGCCCACUAAUUUAAUUAAUAAUUGUUGUGUUGUAUGCAUGCUUAUUUUGUUGAUCUACAUAGAUUUGAGAGCUAUGCUAUGCGCGACAAUUAAUAUAGAUCACGAAUUAACUUAUACACUUGUGUACAAUUGUCGCCGUUCACAUGUAAGUCCGUGGCAAGCAUCAAACAUACACGCAUUCAUAAUUUCCUUUUGGUUAUAUAUUUAUCAAAUAUAGAUGAUAGAUUCUUCUCAAAAAAAAAAAAAAAAAAAAAUUUGAUGGAUGAUGAUAUGUUGAUUUACCUUGAUUCCUUUUGGUUCAUAUAUAUAUAUUAUAUAUAUAUAUAUAUAUAUAUAUAUAUAUAUAUAUAUAUUAUAUAUAUAUAUAAUAUAUAUAUAUAUAUAUAUGUAGUACCCUCUUUUUUCCUUCUCACACAUUUUCUUUUUUUCUUUUUGAGGCUUCGACAUUACGUAUAUUCAUGAACACGUGCUGGUAAUUAAGGUCCCUAUUUUUUCUUUCUCUUUUCUCUUUUUAAUUUUAUACUUUACUCAAUUCGCUUCUCCAUUUUGAUGUUACGCAUGGUUGUUGUGGAGUGAAUAUAAAUAGCGCUACCUCUCAGCGCGAUCUGCAAAUAUAUCCCUCUCCUUUUCUUUUUAUUAAAGGCGAUGAUCUGUGAAUAUAUAGCCAUUAAUCUCGACAGCCAUAAUUUUAUAUUUAUUGUGAAAUAAUCGUUUGUUUUUUAAAACUUAGUUAUGAACUCAUAAUCUGCUCCUCUACUAAAAGUCUAAAUUGUCGUAAUAUAUUUAACACUUACGCUUUAUUAGGUUCUUUAUUUUGUUUUGGUUUUUUAUUUUUCGUUAUAUAUUAUAUAGUUUUAAUUUGGUAAGUAAAAUGAGCUAGUGCAUCCCAGAGAACAGAGUAGAAGCAAACAAAUAAUCCAUUAAACGAGGACACAACUACAGUUGCUCACCAAUUUGAAAAACACGAAAAUACAUGAUUACAUGAACAUAUUGGACAAUUGCACUGCACCAAAACAAAAUUGCAAUAAAAUCAAAAGGCUUUUUUUUUUUAUUCUUUGGGGACAAACAAGAACGCUUUAGCAACUUGGACAUCCUCUCAUGUCACACAUCAACUAAACCCCACACCAUUUUUCUCCCUCCUUAAAAUCACCACCGGUGCGUUCAUCCAAAGAACCUGCAUUUGCAUUGACACACUCACUCAUGUCAAUAAACUCCAAAAAAGAAACAAACUUAUAAAUAACGUCACUAUAAAAAUUAUUGUUUGUGCGGGAAUUUGAUUGUUAUAUAUUAUGAUCAUUUUUAGUAUAUCUGAUUUAUUUUUAAUAGAAGAUGACUCUAUUAACAUUCUUAUCAUAAUUAACAAAGUACAAGAUGUAAUGGAAGUAUGCUUAAAGACAAAAUGUCAUGUACAUGAUCUUGUGUGUGUGUGUGUGCGCGCGCGCGCGCGCGAGAGAGAGAGAGAGAGAGAGAGUACCUAAAACUCAUGCGUGUGUGCAUGCAAGUCUAAGUGAUUCAAAUGGUGCAAGUGUAGCCCGGAGGUGGGGUCUUGCCGCAGGUGAGGAGGAGCUGGAGGGCGAGGGGGAGGUAGAUGUUGAUGUUGAGCAGCUUGAUCUUGAUGGUGGUGCAGAGGCAGACGGCCGCCUCAAUCUCCACCAGCCCCUCCAGCAGCGGGCAGCACUUGUUCACCACCGGGUCCCCGAUCCCGAUGUGCACCAGCCCCCCCAGCAGAUCCACGCAUGCUCCUGAAAGCAUAUUAGAACACGUACCAUUCUCUCACAGCUUAAACUUUUAUACAAAAAUAGCUUUCAUGUGGGCACCACAUUUAAAGCUCUACGAUCUUCUCAGUAUUAAAGUAGGAGGUUUUGAGUUCAAUGAUUGUCUCACACAUACCUAGUUUGAGAGUGUCCACGGGGCACGACGCCGGUGGCGCAGGGGUCACCGGCGUUACAGGCGGAGGGGGGCAGGGGGUGGCUCCAGACCCUGGCGAGGGAGUCGUCGGGGGUCCGACAACCGGAGGGACCGGGGGGCCGAUAACCGGAGGGACGGGGGGACCGACGAUCGGAGGGAGAACAAUGGGUGGCCUGGGGGGAAGCUGCGGAACCCUCGGAGGACCGACGAUCGGCGGGACGGUAAUGGGGCCCUUAGGCGUCCUGGUCUUGGGGGGGCGGGGCGUCUUCGGCCCCUUCGGCGGCUUCACGAUGACCGGGCCCCCCUUCGGGGGCUUCGACUUGGGGGGCUUAGGGUUAGGGUUAGGGUUCGGCGGGCAGUAGCCGCAGGACACGAUGGGAGUGAUAGAAGAGAGGAAGAGCAUGAAGGUGAGGAGAAGAGCUGUGGCCUUGGAGGUGGAGUGCUCCAUACUUGAUGGGCUCUCUCCCUCUCCUCUAACUCUUCUCCUCUCUCAAUUUCUCUCUCUAGGGUGGUGUGGAGAAUACAGGGNGGGAAGUAGGGGGUCAGGUGGACGCCCACGGCGAGGGUUAUAAAGAGGGCGCCGCUGAAGAAGAGCAUCUUGUUGCGGCUCAGGUGCCACCCCGCCAUGCCCAUCGGCACGAACAGCACCACGCACGCCGCCAACACCCCCAGCUGCGCCGCCGCCACCAUCACAACCACCGGCUCAGAUCGGUGCGCCGCCCAUCGCUCUAUACGCGGGGAUCGGCGCACGUUAACGUGCGUGGAAAUCGGGGGGCGACGACGUUAAGUGAUGAUAGGAGGGAAGCGGUGGUUGGACUUUUCGGUAGCGAGCGACCAUCACCGCGAAAAGAACGGGACAACGGAAGCGGCGAGAGAGGAACAGCUUAGCACCGUGCGCGAGUCCACGCUAACGUGCGCCGCGGCGAUCGAUUUCCAGGUUCGCCCACUACCUGAAUUUCCCGUCCUACCCCCGAAUAAAAGUCAGACUACAUUUCAUUUCGCUGGGAUAUAUUCGUAAAUUCGCAUAGUUAUAUCGCCUAAGUAUCGACUAUAGACACGCGGCCACGUUCCGCCAAUCACAUCACAAGGAAUACAAAUCGAGACGAGAUGAUUUUUGCUUUAAUAUAAUAGAUAAUAAUAUUUUUCGCUACAUUCAUCAGUCCGAAGCUUGAAAGAAAAUACACUAAACAACCCCCAAUUAAAACCCUACUUUACGCAGAAGCGCCCUUUCGGGGAAAGAUGAAGAAGAAGAAGAAGAAGAAGCGCUUCUAGGAUCAGCCGCCGAAGCCGUAGAGGGUGCGGCCCUGGCGUUUGAGGGCGUAGACGACGUCCAUGGCGGUGACGGUCUUGCGGCGGGCGUGCUCAGUGUAGGUGACGGCGUCGCGGAUGACGUUCUCGAGGAAGAUCUUGAGCACGCCGCGCGUCUCCUCGUAGAUGAGACCGCUGAUGCGCUUCACGCCACCGCGCCGCGCCAGGCGCCGGAUCGCCGGCUUCGUGAUCCCCUGGAUGUUGUCGCGGAGCACCUUGCGAUGGCGCUUCGCCCCGCCCUUUCCCAGCCCCUUCCCUCCCUUGCCACGCCCCGACAUUGCCGCCGCUACUGCUGCUUCCUCUUCUUCUUCGUCCUCCUCCUCAGGUCGGCGUUAAGGAAUUAGGGUUUUGAGCGGACGAGAUGAUUGAGAGCGAGAUGGGUAGGGACUCGGAACAUUUGGGGGGCAUUAUAUACGCGACGGGAUUUGGGGAUUUUUUUUUUCGGAGAGGGAAGCGAAAGAUCGGGAUUUGAAGUAGCAAAUCUGAGGAGACCGCGCUUUGAUUGGAUCCGAGGUGAGUUGUCCGUGGCCGUUGGAUUGGGUAUCGACGGCUGCUGCAGGGAGGAUGGGUUGGCUGCGGAUCGAUGACGUGGCGGGAUCACCUCGAAAUCGGGCGCGCAGGAGUAUACAACUUUUUGUUUUCCAUUUUAUUACUGCUGUGCCAUUAGGCCCAUCAUGAGCCCAGAUCCUUAGUCUCCCGUCACGGACUGGGCCUAAUCAACUAGCCCAAAACAAAACAAAAAAAACAAAAAAAAACGUUCAAAAUUUUAAUGCCGUGAAAUUUUCUUCAUCUUCGUCAUCAUCGUCGUCUUCUUCCUCUUCUUCUCUUUCGAACCCCAAGUCCUCCUCCCCCAUGAGAGCUCUGAAGAAAUCGGCGGUGCUCUACCACUACCCGUGCCCGGACGGCGCUUUCGCCGCCCUCGCCGCGCACCUCUACUUCGCCGGCGCUUCCCUUCCGGUCCUCUUCUUCCCAAACACCGUCUACGAUCCUAUCCGGUACUUUUAAAUUCAAUUUGGCUCAACAGAUGUUGUUUUCGGUACCCAAUUUGAGUAUAAAAAUACACCGACCGUAAACUCCGUAGUAAUAAUCGCUGAGUUUUAGUAUUUUGGAACUAUAGUUUGAGCCUAACGAGUUGAGUUAUUAUUGGUAGUAGUUGCAUUUGAUAUCUAAGCCGGAGCCGGAGCCGGAGCGAUGAAUCAUAGUGUUAAAUAAAUAUAUUAUUUCUUUUCUGUUCUGUUACUUGAUGUAGUGUUACUCAUGCUACUUUCGUCUCUUCCAGGAGCGACUCUCUCCCUUUGGAUGAAAUCAGUGAUGUUUACCUCCUGGAUUUCGUGGGACCCCCCGGUUUUGUCGCUGACUUGUCUUCCAAAGUUGACAGGUCUGUCUCAGUUCAUUCCCCGGCGACGAACAUAAUAUGGAUAUCGAAAAUACAUUUACUAAAUUCGGAGAUCCUAGAUGCAUUAUUCCUCUAUCUCAUUGCUUUCAAUAGCUGCGUAGUUAAAAAAAUAUAUAUAUGAUUUAUAAUUUACUCUUACCUUUUGAUAGUUGUUAUCUUCCAAGAUUUAACAUUCUCUAGCAUUUGCUGUCCUUACUGCUCGUUUUUUCAGAGUGACUGUCUUAGACCAUCAUAAGACCGCAUUAGAAACUUUAUGUGGAAAUGCUGCGAUUCCGGAGAACCUUGAAAAGGUCAUAGAUAUGAAGAGAAGCGGUGCCACAAUUGCGUUUGAUUUCUUCAGGGAGAAGCUUUCGGCAAAAGGUGAUGCUUCCGGAGAUCACGAAAUCGGCAGUAAUGCCGUUUCUGGGGCUAAGCUUUUACCCGAUAGCCAGUUUGAAAGGGUGCAUAAACUUUUCAAGUUUGUCGAAGACGGCGAUCUUUGGAGAUGGGCACUUCCGUGCAGCAAGGCCUUCAGCAGCGGCCUAAAAGAUUUGGGUAUAGAAUACAAUGUCAAUGUGAACCCUUCGUUAUUUCAUAAGGUGAGAACGUUCUCUUCUUGCUCACUUUUAGAUAUCGUGGCUAGAUCAUUCAUGGUAUUAUUAAAAUGGAUUAAUUAUUCUGUGCCCUGCUACUUGUUUGCCGUCUAACACUAUUGGGUUUUAAUUAAAAUGAUUUGAUCACCAGCUUUGUCGUAAAAUUGCUGCUCAAAUGGCUUAUUCAAUUGUUUUAUUUGGCAACAGCCAAUUGGUCGGUCAUCCUCAGCUGCCUCUGUUCAAAGAGUUUAUGUUAAGAUUUUCUUGUAUUUAUUUUUGUUGUACUCAAAAGUCUUGUUGUGAUUUUGCUAUAACUUCUGGACUACCAUUGCAUUUUCAGAUACGGAAAGUUGUGAUGUUUAGUCCUUUGCAUUUCUUUUUUUUUUUUUUUUCUCUCUUUCAUUUCCAAAAGUUUCACUAUCAACAGUUUAAUCUCUGAGACGGUCAUGUAAUUUUGACAGUUAUUGGCACUGGAUCCGGAACAUGUCAUUUCACAUGGCCAAGAGACACUUUCGCACAAGCAAAAGUUGAUAGAUGAAGCUCUAGCUCGGUCCUAUGAAAUCGCACUAGGUUGUGGGCUAUUUGGACAUUGCCUGGUACGACUAUGUUGCUUUAAAUUUCUUGUUAUGCUAUAAGAAUUGUUUGUGAACGAUCCUAUGAAAUUGCACUACCUGAAGAGUAGUCCCAUCUCUCUUUAUUUUUUGGCUGUGUCUUUUUUGUUCUCUUCUUGAAAUAUGAUCUGUUUCAAAGAAGAGAGAAAUUUUCUUGCUAGUUUCUAAGUGCUUAGUAAGUUGUUCUUGUGUUUCCGAUCUAUUUGUUGCUAUUAUUAAUAGUUCGAUGGAGUUACGUGUUCUCACAAACUGUUUGGUAUAAUGUUUAUAUAGAUACACCACACGCACUAGGCCGCCAUAUUUCUCAAUGCUGUAGCAUCGGAAUCAUAUUUCUUCUUCUGAUCUUUCAAGUGUUUAGGCUGUUGAUGCUGAUUCUAUUUCAAACCUGAGGAGCGAGCUUGGGCACCAGCUAGCUAAAAGGAGCCGAUUCCUAAAUCUAAGGUUGAUUUUCUAUUAUUUCCUGACGUAUCCAUGUCUGUCUUCUGUUGUUUAUUUGUCUCUAAGAGUGUAGUAUGCAACUUCGAAAGUCUUUAUUUGGAUACAUGACUUGCUUACAUGAAAAUCUUUGAACAAACAGAAUAUGUACUUAUACAACAAUGCCGGCCUUAUUUAUUAUCUUUGAGCUCUAUGUUAUACAAUUGUAUGGAGAUUGUAGACGCACUAUAUUAAUUGAUUUGUCUCUACUUCAAAAUAACCUUUGCUUCCGACUUUACAAUCAGGAAACUUAAUUUCCAUUCAAACUACUAUUGAAUUAAUCUCUGCGCCACUCUAUAUGUGACUCAUAUUACUCAUUAUCCCUACAAAUAUUCAGGGGAAUCGGAGCAGUGGUGUAUAAGGUCCCUGAGCUUAACAACGACCAGAUGCGGAAAAUAAGCCUUCGAAGCGUGGAUUUGGAAGACACAACCCCCAUCUCACAGGUAUGAUUUUUUUGUUUACUUUCUCUGAGGUCCAUCACCUAUUUGGCUUGAUUAAGAAACACAUUUUGCUUCUUUCCAUAUACAGAAAUAUGGCGGUGGUGGGCAUCGGAAUGCAAGUUCUUUUAUGUUAAGAUUAUCUGAGUUUGAGAGCUGGAAAGUACAGACCAAACCUAUAGACGAGGCAAUCAAUUGAGUGUCUAUUAAUCGAAAGAUGGCCUGUAGCUCAAAAUCAAAGUUGUUCCUCUCUCAUAUCUUAAUUUAUUGUAAAUCCUGUACUAAUUAAGUAUAAAGGUCGAAAAUGUCAAAAAUGGUGCUUGUUCCAGAGUGUAAUUUACUGAGAAUUUCAAGUUUGUCAUGUAUAAUUUGUAACACUAAGUUGCAAACAAUGUCCCCAUCUUUUACCGUGCAUUGGAAACACAACUAGUGCCCUCAAACUUGCAUUUGAAUUGGAUGUAGCAUUAAGUUAUUCCGCUUUACAGCUUUUAUUUUGAUUCAAACUUUCUUUCGAGCCUCCAUUAUUUUGGGACAUUUUUAGAGGGAAAGCUGUAAUCUACUGUUAUUUCUUUUAAUUACUUUUAAACAGUAAUCAGCGAAAAGAAUCCCUUUUCUACUUUGUUUCCAUUCUGUUCCCUCUGUGCAAAUACCCAAGUUUUAGAAUUUAGUUUUCUUUUUUCCUUGGGAAAUAUUAUUUGUAUUUUUUUUUUCUCAAAUUCAUAGUAUUUGCUAUUUAGAAUCAGCAAAAUGUGAUAAUUGAGGGAUUAGUUUCUGCACUUUCUAUUUUCAAUUCUGAGUCUGCGUGUUGGAAUGUUCAUUAGAACACACGGAUUAUAUAUGGAAUUAUUUAAUCAUUAUUAUUAUUAUCUUUAGGGCAUGUUUGAUUAUACGAGUUUUGGAACUGAAAUGGAGACCAGCCCUUUCGGUAUCCUGCUACAGCAAAAGAUCAAAAAAAAAAAAAAAAAACUUCUACAUUUGCUAACCUCUCUAUUAAGUUUGUCGCUAUCGAAAAGAAGGAACAGUAACAGAACCAAAGAAACAAAUUUUUUUUUUUUUAAAAAAAAAAAGUACAUUAAACUUACUAACUCUAGCUGUAUCCAACUCGACUUUGGUCCAAAUCUGAGAUUGGAUCGGUCUCGACUUUUGCAACCAAAAAAGCAAUGAGACUAGUAAGAAGAGCAUAGUUGUAAGGGUGCAGGGGCAAUAAAUUCUACAUGGAGACAUGAGUGAGUACGUACUAGAGCUCGCAUUGAGGAGAAUUUGGUGCUACGCGUUGACAGAAACACUCAUCAGGGGUGGGUAGAAAAAUUUUAGAAUGCAACGGAUAUAUUACUGACGUGGCGUAACGAACCAAUCAAAUUAAUCAUUUUAAGAAUAUAUGUCCCAUCAUGAUUGUAAAAAAGUAUUUUUAUUGUACUUUUGUUUGAAAAGAAGAAAUGUAAUUGACUUGUUAUUGAUGACAUGGUGCAAGUGUGACAGUGUAAAAUUCCUCGGGGUGGGUGGGCCUCAGUCCUUUUCUUCUCCCGACCGACACCUACUACGAAAGGGCAAUAGCAAUAUAGCAUCAGCAUCCUAUAUUCAUAGGCAUAUGCUGCUACAUAUCAAUCAUAAGAUUUUCUCAAAAACGUACUAUUGAUAUAUGAUCCAUAUAUGUUAUUCGCAGAUAUUUGAUUAAUUACAAUCUACAAACUACGUUUAAGAAUCUACUAAGGCAAAAUAUUUUUCGUAUAUAUUAUGUAAAUAAUUUGAUGCAUAUUAUGAUCAGCAUAGCAACGGUCUACAAAUAAAAGAUGACUCAUUUAUGAAAAGCGAAUAAAUAUUUUUUAGUUACAUAAAAUAGAAAUAUAUGAAUUGAAGCUGCAGCUUUUUCUUGGUCUGGAGUUUGCUUCUAAUCACGCUGGUUCGUGUGUCAGCGUUUGCUGGGUCCUGCUGUUGGUUUUUUUUAUAUUUUUUUCUCUUUUCGAACUCUAAUCUCUAGUUCUCUACUCGUCGCACGUGGGUUAACCCCGUGAAGGGGGAGACCACUGCAUGGCUCUCCCCAUCAUGCUGCCUCCUCCUGUGCUGCUACAGCUGCAAUCCAUGAUCUAUCUCAGCACCUCUCUCUCUCUCUCUCUCUCUCUCUCUCUCUCUCUCUCUCUUCAUUCAUGAUAUAUUAUUGCCUCCCCCGAACUUAAUUGGUCUCCCAUGGAGCCUAAUCUAUCUGAGCACUCUUUUUCAUGCAAUAAAUGGGUGUAGUACUUAAUACUGUUUCUGUACCUUUAUCUCUGCCAAUAUUAGUUUCCCUAUGGAACUACUGUUUGAAACCAUAUGGACCAUAUAUAUAUAUAUAUAUAUAUAUAUGGUAUCAGGAUACCGACCAUCUCCCUAGUGCAAGUGAUAAAGAAUUUAAUAGUUGAUAUUCAAAAUUCUAAAUUCGAAUGCUAGUUAAUUCAUAUUUCUGGCUAAUUUUAUUUUUCUCAUGUUUACUAUUUAAUUAUGUAUAUAUCGUGUCUUUCAGUAUUUGGACUGUUAGCGCAUAUAAAGUGAUUCAUCUAGUAUAUGUCUAUUAUCAUGCACGCCACAUAGAAGUGCUGAUACUAAUUAGUUUCGGACCAUUUUCAAUCAAAUUGAUAUUUUGGAUAAGAAUCGUAGUACUUUACAAUUAAACACUCUAAUCAUUGAAUAUUUACAUAAAUUUCACUUUAGUUGUUAGCUGUUAAAAAAAAAUUAUCUUUUAUUUUAGAUAAUUUACUUUGCAUUGUUAAAGUGAAUUGGAAUGAUUGGUGGGCUUUUCUCCAUUUACUUUGCAUUAUCUCAAAUGCUUCAUUUGUAUUUCAAUAAUUGGUUGGAACUUUAAUUAAGAAUUAUUGUUUACAUUUAGUACUGAUUAUGCCUUGAUUAAUCCUUAUGCAUGGUAAUUAAUUAAGUAUGCUUACACAUCAUUUAACACAUCAUUCGCAGUAACCACAUAAUCUAGCUGCUUUUAGCUACUUUAAAUAUUAAUCCGCAAUGAAAAAUAAUUAACUCGGCAACUAUAUAUAUUAUAUAUAUAUAUAUAAAUAUAUAUAUUAAAGCAUGCACCUGUUCAUGAUAUUAACUUAGCUAGGUGUGCACGAUUAUAAUCAUGCCACGCCUUUUGAUCAAUCAAAAGUGCUACUACAAGCGACAUAUUUACAUUUGUCUAAUAUUAUUCGAACUCUAAAGUUAUUAAUCUCUAAUUAAAAAUUCACUUUGUCUUAGUAGCUAGGGUUAAUAGCCUCACCUGUAGACUCAUGAAACCCUAUAAAUCCUAGACUAUACUCAUUGAAUGUAAAAAGCCGCUUUUCACAUACGCGAAGGACAACAAACCUUAAUAAAAAAAUAUAGCACGAAGUACACUCGAAGAACCCCCCAUUAAUUAAUUAAUUAAUUAAUUAACUUGGACUAAAAGGCAAGUUUCCACGUAGAAUACACACAAAACACGUAUGCACGAAAGGCUAUGUUUUAGCCAUGCAAUAAGGAGCCACAAUAACAAUUAUUUAACGUUCUAAGCAUGAUUUAUAAAAAAAUUGUUUAAUUAUAAAUAAGAUCCUAAAAGUUUAUAUUACUACGAAGAUAUUAUAUCAUGUGCCUACGAUUUGUCCAUUGGUGAUGUAGAGCACAUGGCGAGGCACCCCUGUUUACUGUUUACCACACAUUAAUAAUUGGAGAAUGCGUGGAAGGUAUGCGAACCCCACAAAAUCAAUGAUUAUCGUUAUUUUAGAAGGGAAUAUAUAUAUAUAUAUAUAUAUAUAUAUAUAUAUAUAUAUAUAUAUAUAUAUUAGGGAUCAUUCUCACUAAUUUCUUUUGGUGUUUAACAUAUCAAAUUACAUGUACAAGUGGCUUCACGACUCUACCUAUACAAAAUCAUGAUUGCUAUUAAGUAUCAAAGCACAUAAAUUAAUUUAUGUAUUAAAAAUUGAAUAUAUAGAUCUGGUGUGCUAUUAGGAGCACGCAGGCCUCCGUGCUCCUAAGUCGUUUUCAAUGAUGGAGCUUUCUAAUCGACUAUCAGCUCCAUGAGACUUGAUCUAGUGUAUUUGAAGUAUCUAGAAAAAAAAUUUACGAUUUUUCGAUAUCUUUUACCUAGCAAUCAAAACGCUUCAAAAUCAACAGCUGAAAAUAAAAAUUCCAUAAAAUGUGAUGAUAUAGUACUAAAAUUUUCGAUUAUAGAUUUGAUCUUGCAGUAAAUAAUAAAAAGAAUUUUCUAUCAAAAUUUUAUCUGAUUUGAAUUUUUUUACACCGUUAAACUUGCAAACGAAAUACAUCAACCAUUAAAAAUCGGUGAUUUUGAAGAAAUAAACCUUACAAGUAAAAUAUACUAUCUGACUAAUUAAAUCAUGACUAGUAAUUAAACCUUUUGAAGAAGUUAAAAAAAAAAAAAACCAAAUAAGGCCAAAAGUAUUAAACAAUUAAAUAAACUCUGUAAAUAUGCAUAUGAUAUGAUGAGAGGUUCAAAUCUGCUAUCUAAAUCGAUCUCAUCCCAUCAAGGAUAGAUAGAUAGCAACCACUACUGCACUGGACAAAUAAAAGUGGUCAAGUUACAGCCACAUAGCCACUUGCAGAAGGACAUAGUUGGAAUGUCACAUGCCUUUGUAUUUGCUCACACAUUCAUGCGUGAAUUUCGCUGAAACUCCCAUGCUCAAAUUGCAGAGACGAAUUAAGCUUUUGUAUGUACACAAACUGGGGAAGAGAGAGAGAGAGAGAGAGAGAGAGAGAAGGGGAAUUAUUGCCUAUAUUGACCAUAUAUAAUAGUCCAAAAUGAAUCACCCUCCUAUAAAAUUCUAAAAUUUUUAGAAUAAACUGAUAGUUUUAUAUAAUAUAUAUAUAUAUAUAUAUAUAUAUAUAUAUAAUAUAUAUAUAAAUAUUAUUUUCUGACUGUAACUUUAUUAGAUUAAUAUUUAUGUAAUGUCUGCAGGUCAGUCUUAAGUCACACGUGUUUUCGGGAAGGUAAAAAUAUAUAAAAUUUAUCUCAGAUUAGAAUUUAACUAUCUAAUCUUUGAAAAUUUUGAUCUUACUAUCUGACCUUUUAAUUCAUUUGAUUUGAACCAAUUAAUAACUUUUUAACUUAAAAUUCUAAAUGCGUUAUUUAUCAUUACGGAUAUAAUUAGUAUUAUUUUAUUUUAUUUAUGUAACAUUAAAUUUAUUAAAAUAAGCAAUUAGCUUAAGAGUCAUCAAAUUACUUAAAAAUUAAAAUGUUGGGUACUAAAGCUAAAUUUUUUUUAAAAAAAUUAGGUAAUCCAAUCAAAAUGAUGCAUAGUUAAAGCAAGUUUUUUUUUUUUUUUUUACCUUUACAGAAUUUUGGGUGUAAUUUUCAUAUCAUUUCUAUCCGGUAUAUGUUAAUAUGUGUAUCUUAAUUUGUUGAGAUUGUUAAUACUGUACGUUUGAAUAAUUAGAUUUUUAAAAUUAUAUAACAACUGUUUUGAAAUUGUAGGUCACAGUCAAUAAUAACUUACAUUUAAGAUUUUACAAGAUCAAAAAUAAGGAUUUAUGACACAUGGACAAAUCCAAGCAAUAGUUUAGAGAGAGAGAUAAAUAGAAGGGAGGAGAAAGAAAGAAAAAGAUAAAGCACCAGCUAGCCAUGUGAGUGUUGCCAAAAGCGAGAGAGAGAGAGAGAGAGAGAGAGAGAGAGAGGCCAUGUGCUUACCAAUGUUUGAAUCUAAGAUUGGAAGGACAUGAAAAAAACAAAAAAAAAAGCUAUUUGUUCACUAUCACUCUUGUCGUUUCACAUUUUUCACUUUAAUACCCUAAAUAAAAAUAAAAUAAAUUUCAAAUAUCACUUCUUUAGUUUUGUAUUUUUCACUUUAGUAUCAUGCAGUAUAAAAUCUCAUAUAUAAAAAAUCUCAGAUACUUUAUUUUAUUGAAUAUUUAGUACUAUAUGAUUUUAACUUUAUCAUUGAUAUAAUGCAAAAAAUUAAUAGAGGGGAUAAUGAAAAGAGAAAAAUAAAAUCAUAGAAUACUAAAGUGAUUAAAUAAAUCACAUGAUACUAAAGUGAAGAAGCGCGAAAUUACAGUGAUGGUUUUUGUAGUUUACCCUAAAAAGAAAAAAGUGGUGAGAGAGAAAAAAGAGGGAGAGUUUCUGCCUGUGUAAAGAUGACAAUAAUAGGAUAAUUUAAUUGAUCGGAAACGUAGAGAGACACUACAAAAAAAACGGUCUAUAACAACACUUUUAAAUAUAGAUCCAUGUCAAAAAAGUACUACUAGCUAAAAUUACCGACACUUCUAAAAAGUGUUGCUAUAUGUGGGGUCGCUAGGUAUAUAGUGACAGUUAAAAAGUGUCGCUAUAAUCUAAAAAAGUGCUGCUAAUUUACCAACAUUUAUUUAAGUAUUUAGCAAUCGCCGAAACUCUAUCUCGUUGGCUGCGGUGGUGGAGAAGGACGACAGUAAAUGCUCUUCGUCUAGAAUUUCAGUGGAUUGAGUAAAGAGAGAAGAAAAGAUGGUAAUUGAUUUUUCUUUUUUUUUUCUUUUCUGUUUGUAAUCGGGCCAAAUAGACUGGGUGUGUGGGUUGAGUAGAGUAAUCUUUUAUUUUUGGUUGGAUUGUGCUUUAUAUUUAGGCAUUAAUAGAUGUUUUAAGUUUUAGCAUAAAUGGAAUACUUACUUAAAAGUGUUCCAAAUAUAUGUCUUUAUAACCUAAUUCUGUUGUAGUGAGAGAAUAAGGUGUUACUGACAUAUUUUAAAGAAUUUUUUUUUUGUUUUUCGCGCCCAUGUUUUAGUGGUUGUUGCGUUGUGGGGAUUCGGAAAGAAGGGUCGGUGGGUGUGCGUCAUGGAUAUGUACCCGUCCGUGAAUGGGUGCAUGGUUUUAUGCGAGUCCGUGACAACUCUUUUUUUUUUCAUUUUAUUUUAUUUUAUUUUUGUACCCCUUAUUUCUCGUUUUUCUCGUAUAUUUUAGCAAAUAGCGGUGGUAAUUCCAUUUGCUGGAUGAUAAAUAAUAUAGGGUACGGAUAAAUAUUUUCAUAUAAAGAAAAAUUAAUAUUAAUAUACGGAGAGUAUCUUCACUGAGGCGAUUACGGUCUAAUUAAUUAUCAAUUAUUUAUUAUUAGUUUAGAAUUCGAAUAUUAAUUGCAUAUUAUAAACAACUGGCUAGAUUAUAUUUUAUGGGCAAGAGUUUUUUUUUUCUGUAUAUUUUUCAUUUUCUUUUUGUUGUUGAAAAGCAGUUCAAUUAAUGUUUUUUUUGGAUAGCGUCCAUGUAUUUUUCCUUAAUUUUUAAUAACUCAUUAAAAAAAAAUGUCUAAUCUACCGUUCACUAUUUUCAAAAGUCUAAACUCAACAGUAGGAAUUUCAAUAAAUACAAAUACUUAAAAUUUUAUUCGAAUUUGAAUCAUAAUAGAGUGGAUAAAUCUAAUAUUGAAUAAAUUUGGAUGUAUGAAUAUUAAAAACGAAAAUUCGAUAGAUUUGGACUCAAGUAUGGAUUUUGAUUGAACGUAAUUCAAACCUGAACUAAAUCUGAAGCCGAAAUUAUUUUACAUUAUAUAUAUAUAUAUAGAAAAAGAGAGAGAAAAUUAUGCUACUAUACUAUCGAUAAUACCAAAUGCUUAAUACUAUCGAGUUUUCAGUUGUUGUAUGAGAGAGAGAGAAUUAUGCUAUUGUACUAUCGAUAGUACUAAAUAUUUAAUGCUAUCGAAUUUUCGGCCGUUGCAUGAAAAAAUAUACGGUUAGGAUGAUAGUGAUCCCCUAGGUUAAAGCAUGUGGUUGGUAGAAUAAUAUAAUCUAACGGAUAAAAAUGAUCAAAGGGUAGAUCUAACAGUAGAAAACUCAAUAAUACCAAAAGUUUGGUCCUAUUAAUAGUAUAGUAGUCAGACUAUAUAUAUAGAGAGAGAGAGAGAAAUGUUAUCGGUAGCAAAUGGGCUCCGUUGCCACUCAUUUGUUUUCGAUGAUGGAGCCUCCAAAUCGACAAUCGGUACCGUUGAGCAUGAUCUAUACCAUUUGAAGUAUGUAGAAACCAAAUUUCAAAUUAUUUCGACAUCAUUAACCUAAUGAUCAAAGAGUUUCAAAAUUUAUAAUUUUAAUGAUCGAUAUGAAUCAUUUUCUCGUUUAACGGUAUAAAGAUAUCAAAAUCAAUUGAAUUUUGGUUAAAAAAUUCUUCAAACUAUUUAGAACAAAAUCUAUAUUCCCGAUCUUGAUUACAAGACUUCUAUCAUCACUUUUUAGAAGAUAUUUAUUUUCAGGCGAUCAUUUAAAUUUUUUUGUCCACUUGAUGGAUAAAAGAACAAUAUCAAAAAAAUAUAAAAUUUGAUUUUUAGAUACUUCAUGUGGUAUAGAUCAUGUUUACCAGCGCCGAUUGUCGAUUUGGAUGCUCCAUCAUAAAAAACAAAUAGAUGGCAAUAGAGCUCGUUUACUACGUACCUAUAGCAUUCCCACUCAACUCUCUCUCUCUCUCUCUCUCUCUCUCUCUCUCUCUAUAUAUAUAUAUAGUCCGGCUAUUGUAUUAUUGAUAGUACCAAACUUUUAAUAUUAUCGAAUUUUUUAUCAUUAGAUCUACUUUUUGAUCAUUUCCGCCUGUUAGAUUACACUUAACCUUAGGGACCGCUACCAUCCUAACCGCAUAUCCUUUUAUCCAACGGCAGAAAAUUCGAUAGCACCAAGCGCUUGGUACUAUAUAAUAUAUUAGCAUAAUUAUAUAUGUAUAACUGCUUGAUGCUAUAUUUGAAUUUGUAUUUAAAAAUUUACAUUUAUAUAAUUAUAUUUUGAAAAUUAUAAAAAGAAAUAAUUAUUUUGGAUUUGAAUUUUCGGAUUCGGGCACAGGUUUGAGUUUUGGAUGUUUGGUUGGGCUCGGGUUUGAAUAUGGAUUUUUAAAUUGGUCGGAUACGGGUUCGAAUUGAGAUUUCAGAUUUUAUAGUCGGGCUUGGGUUCAGAACUUUGAAAGUCCAUCCCGAAUAUGAUCCAUUGAAUUCCCUACUCUAAAGUCCAUAUUUUCUUUGUUUUUUUUCUUUAUAAUUGGCUUUAUUUUCCUAAUUUGAAGAACUUUAAAUUUAAACUACGUAACAUGCCUUGGUUAUAAUCCGGGUCGUGGUUGUUCGCAGUUUCAUUCGUUAUGAAGAGCUUUGUCACUGGACGUCUUAUAACAAAUCUAUUUCACUGAUCGUCCCUAGCGCAAGUGGCAAAGAAUUUGAUGGUUGGGUCCCAAGUUUAAAUUCUAAUUGAUUCUCAUUUUUAGCUAUGUUUAUUUUUUAAUAAAAGAAAUAAAACGGGUAACACGCUACCUAUCUCUAUAAAAAAAAAAAAAAAAAAAAAAAAAAAAAAAAAAAAAAAAAAAAAAAACUAUUUCACAUUUCAUAGAUAUCUCAUAUCCAAUGUAUUCAAAGAUUUAAUGCAAAUAUGUUUCAAGAUUCAAUCUAAAUAAAUGAUCUGUAUCAAAGUCAGAUCCAUCACAGCAGAAUCAAGCCCGAAAAAAAAAAUAUAUAUAACUUUAAAAUUUAAAAUAAUAACUUAUUGUAAUCAAUUUAUAGUAGUAAGAAUGCACGAAAUAUACUAACUAAAUAUGUAAAAACAAACGACUUAUUUAAAUUUAAAAACCAUAGUGAAUAGUGACUUACUAAAAUCAAAAUUUUAAAAAAUUAAAUAACUAAAUCAAAAUGGUCAAUAUUUCGGAUGAAUUCAAUACAUAUAUUAGCCUAACAGAUAUUGCGCCCCAAAAGUUUCGAACCUGAAGCGAAAUUGGGAACACGCUUCUCUGUACUUUGACGGGAAUACCCUGCGGGCGCCCCACUCGCUGCGUUUAGUCCCACAUCGGGGGCACGAGAGUUAUGCAUAGCAUUUAUUAACUCAACUCCAAGCGCCUCGAUCGCCGAGCUUAGUAACGCGAGCUUGUGACCCAAGUGGGGGCUGUGGAUGGGUGCGGACGUUUGAUUGGACCGUUGGGUCAGGGCUCUUAUUUGUGCAGUUGACUUGGGCCCGCCCGUUCCAAGCUGAGCAGUGGGCCACGUGGUUCCUGGCGAAGGCCUGGGUUCAGUGGGUCCUGAAGUGGAGGGGACUGCGUGAGGCUGGUUUCACAGAGCAGCGAACACCUCCCGCUCUCAACGGUGGAAGGNUUUUU